rnacentral:lncRNA from 1 species
CCAGUGAUACUAGUUAUCACAUCCACCACAUGACCAUGGCUACCGCCUCAGCUUCGCUAGCUGUCGCCCUACUAUUCGCCAGCCUCCUGGCAGGCACGGUGUUCAGUGAUGAUAUCAUACCCAUCAUGCGCAUACCCUUGUUGGAGCGGUUCCAUGCCUGGCAGGCUGAAUACAAUCGCACCUAUGCGACCCCAGAGGAAUUCCAGUACCGCUUCAAGGUCUAUUGCGAGAAUGUCAAGUUCAUCGAAACCAUGAACCGGGCCGGGAGCUCAUAUGAGCUCGGCGAGAACCAGUUCACCGACCUCACCCAAGAGGAGUUUGAGGACAUGUACCUCAUGAAGCUCAACGAGGUGGCCUCAGCCCCAGAGGCCAUGGGACAGCUCGGCACCAUGAACGCGGGGGGCACGUCUGGCGGUGGCAACACCGACGAGGCCCCCAACUAUGUGGACUGGAGGACCAAGGGAGCAGUGACGCCGGUCAAGGACCAGCAGCAAUGCGGUAUGCGAAAACAUUCACAGCUACUCCCUCCGUUUAUCUAAGUAUUUCAAGUUUAUGUUAUAAAAAAUAAAAAAAAUAUUGACUGAAUUAUUGGUAAAAAAUUGUAAAGUUUGAAACCUGAUGUACGUUUACUAAUGAAAAUGGAGGGAGUAUCUAUAUCGAUCACAAACGCUGUUUCAAUUCUAGUACGUCAAUACAUGUGUUUGCGUAGAAAAUUAAGACUGAUACCUGUUGACAGUUGUUAGCACAUCAAUUUGUGAACCGCAAGCGUACGGAUCAGUUGUAGCUCUUCUCUCAGAGUAUUCCCCAAGGUUUAUGAAUCCGUGAAACUUAUAGCACUGUUAUUAUUAACUUUGUGUUUGUAAGAGAUUCAGAUCCAAUCUACUAAGCAUAUACAGACAGAUAACAGAUAGAGCAAAGGUAACCGAUCCACCUAGCCCCUUCCUGGGCUCGUUGAUUUUCGUCUUUGUUUGGUUUGACGCUCGUUCAGUAGCUUAUCUAGAAAUAUGUUUUUAGGUCUAAUUUCCUGCAAAAACACGACAUCCUCCAAAUACGUUGCUUAUGUGACAAUGAUCGGUUUAUUAGGUGUAAUCAAUAGUUUAGGUAUUAAAUUCAUGUUAUUAUUGAAAAUAAAUAGGGGUAAAAGUGAGUCAAUAGUGAGCAUCAACGAUAACACCAUGUAUGUACACGGCUUCAUGUCUGACAAGACCUAGCCAUGCAUGUUUGAUUCUAUACAUCCUUGCAUGCAGGCUCUUGCUGGGCGUUUGCUGCGGUGGCGUCCAUCGAAGGUGUUCACAAGAUAAAGACAGGCCGUCUCGUGUCUCUGUCGGAGCAGGAGAUCGUGGACUGCGAUCGUGGGGGGAACGACCAUGGCUGCCAUGGUGGUUACCCUAGCUCCGCCAUGGCGUGGGUCGCACGCAACGGCGGCCUGACCACUGAGUCGGACUACCCGUACGUGGGAAGGCAGGGACAGUGCAGGCGUGACAAGCUUGGUCACCACGCGGCCACGAUCCGUGGCGUCUGGGCGGUGCAGCGCAACAAUGAGGCCAUGCUGGAGCGUGCCGUGGCGGGGCAGCCGGUCGCCGUGUCCAUCAACGCGAGCCGGGCCUUCCAGUUCUACAAGCGCGGGGUGUUCUCGGGCCCCUGCAACACCUCACUGAACCACGCCGUCACGGUUGUCGGGUAUGGAGCCGACCCCGAUGGCCGCAAGUACUGGAUCGUCAAGAACUCAUGGGGGCAGACGUGGGGUGAGAAUGGCUACGUGCGACUGGAGAGGCGUGUCAGCUCUAGGGAGGGCAUGUGCGGCAUCGCCAUGGAGCCGUACUACCCGGUGAUGUGAGUUUCAUCUAUCCCGUGCUUUCGCACGGUCCUACAACGACGGAGUGUUUAACUAGUUACCAGCUGCCUGCUGAUCCUGAACAAGUAUGGGUGUUAGCUUGGAGAAGAGUGCAUGGAAUUAAAUAAACUGCAGCUCGCCGAGGAUGGUACGGUGUGAGUUGCGCUAUGCCGAUGUUAUCGUUUGUUUGCUAAUGUAACGAAAUCUCAAAAGCUAAUGACUUUUGGGAUGCAGUAUGUGUUGUUAUUAAAGAGAAUUAAUUAUCAUCGUUUGCCUUAAAACAGCAUCACUGUGAUGAUGCAAGAGGUUAGUUUGUCAGUUCCGUCUCGGAACGGCCAGAACGUUUUAUUUCAUCAUUGAGAAAAGGUUAUGCAAAGUCUUUGCAUUCCAUUCCUCUCGAACUUCAUCUUUCCUUUCCACUGCAGCAUCUGUGAUUUUUCCCAACAGCUAAGUUUCCGACAGUUACAUAAGUUUCCUCCUGCAUUUGACAUGAAGCCCAUGAAGAGACUUCCAUCCAAACCUUGCGAGAGAAGGGACUUUCAGUUAUGCGAUGGUGCUGUGGACAGUCUCGAGGUUCCUUUCGCAGAGGGGACAGAAACACUCGUUAGGCCACUCUCUUUGCAGCAGCCUAUCAGCCGUCCAGAUCAUGUUCUGCAGCAAUAACCAGAUAAAGAACUUUCCACUGCUAGACAACUCACCUCUAAUUACCGAUCAGAACCCUUUAGUACGAGGCGCCUUACGAGUAUCGCUAUGCAUUUAGUACCGGUAAAACCAAUCGGUACUAAACUGCGAGCCACGUCGCGCUGUUACGGAUGGCAGUUUUGUACCGGUUAGUUUUAAUAAUCGGUAUGCAUUUAGUACCGGUAAAACCAACCGGUACUAAACUGCGAGCCACGUCGCGCUGUUGGGGAUGGCAGUUUUGUACCGGUUAGUUUUAAUAAUCGGUACUAAAGUUUAUUCCUUUUGUUUUUUUACCCUUUUGUUUUAAUUCAUAUUAGUAUCCGAUCGUAGCAUUACUAAUAAUAUUAUGCUAAUAUAUCAACCUAUUGAAAUUCAAGCCAUUCAAAUCAUUAACACUCAGUACUUAAGGUCUUAGAGGAACAAGUUUAAAUCCAUAAGAAAAGGGUACGGUAGAGUACAUCCGUGCAUGCUACAUAUUUAAUAAUUUGUUUCGCUUAUGUAGAUAUGCCACAUAGCUUAAGUCUCCAAUCGUGAAGCCUACAACUUCAUCAAUAUAAGCUAGAGCAUGAAUUUGUACACUCUCUAGCGCUUCACAAGGACGGUCACAUAUACUACCAUAAAUCUCAAACAAUGCAGACGACGUCAACUGAAAUAGUCUAUAGAAAGUGAGAUGAGCCUGGAGUUGAAAUCUCUAGUGUGUACCGGGUUUCCAUCGGUGUAACUAUAAUUCAACCCAUCCAAUACUUGAGCCAGAAUCGCAUGAAAGCUCAUUGCCGCAAAGGUUUGACCAAAGACAUCCUAAAAGAAGAGAAUAACUUGAUGAAAUUUAAAAGAUGUAACAUAAUUAAAGAUAAAAGAAUGAUUAGAUAAGUUCCGUACCAUGUCAUGUUGAUUCAGCUGACAAAACCUUUAAGUAGUCCUAGUCACAUUGCUUUCUCCCACCCCGAGCACCUUUAUUCGAAAAUAUGAGAAGUCUGGCACAAAGCACCCAUGAUCCUUAAAUUUUUAUAGGCAGGCCUCCACGAUGGUCCUUUCGAAAGUUACCCUACUUGGUGCUAAUUGACCCCAUGCAAUAAUUGAAACCAUCGGGAUGGGCUAUCCUGAUACUCUCAUCCAGUUGGCCUAUGUUUUUCGAACAUGUACUUGAAAAGAGAUUUUUACUCUUUUAAAAUUCCGUGGACCAAUUAUCUCGGAUUGCAUUAAAGGAGAAGUACCACCUAGAGCUUCGACAACAUUUUUCAGCCAUCUAAUAUUGUCGAUAAGCUACAUUGUAUGUAAGUAAAUUUAGGAAUUAUUCAUGUGUUGUAAAAAAACAAUUACAAGAAAGAAAUAAUAUUACUAUGUUGGGAAUUGCUCCUUUACUUCGAUCGCCUUUUGGCAAGUCAAUGAUGCAACUAGAGAAGUGAAUUUCUGGAGAACGAGUCAACGGUGGCUCCUCGAAAAUGUAGUGCCCACAACCGCCACCACCACGGCAGCCACCUCCACGGCCGCCACCACCAUGGUGAGAACUUCCACUUGCUAUAGUUAGCCCAAAUUAUCUAAAUAAAAUUGUGAUAAGAUAAUUUGCCACCAUAAGAAUUUAUGCAGAUGGUGGGUGCCAAUGUUUUCCAGGUAUCAGCUGCGCAUGACGAUGAUAUAGUCCCCUCAAAUUGCAGGUUGUAGGCUGACUUAGCUGAGUAAAUCCACGAGGACAUCCGUAUCCCAGUGAUCUGAUACUCAUUCUCAAAUUGUAGAUUUAGAUUCUCUUCUUCCACCAGCCUUAAAAAACUGAAGAAUUCAAUUAGUAGGUUAAAACUCAGGUUAUGAUAGGUAUUUCCCCAAUUUGUUGUCUUUCAGAGCUUCUCCUACAGUCCUGUUCUUGGUAUUUCAUUCAGUCACAGAUAUGCUAGCGACAUAUAGGUUUUCUUCACUCAACUAUUUAAAACCUUGAUUAAAAAUAUUUUUAUAUGAUAAUUGUAUAUAUAUAUUUGAAAUGGCACAAGUUUAUAAUGAAAUCUACUUCUUGAAAGUACAGUUUUGUUAUCACGGCGACAUUUUACCAUACGACCACUCAUCAUCAAACUAUGAGAUACGUGUGCUUAGUCUAUUUGUAAUUAAAAAUUAACUUACCUAUAUAUUUACACACAGGGGCGGAUCUAGCGUUGAGGUGGGCGGGGCUUCAGCCCCCCUACCCUGUCUCGGAUAGUGAAGCCCCCUUUAGCCUCUCCACGAUCUUUUAGGAAGAAGAAGAGAAGGGAAGGGAGAAAAAUAAAGAGCAAGAAGAAGGAGCCCCUCCUAAAUUUAGGCUUUGAGAUCUGAAAGAGAGACCGAGACGUGCGCCAUUCAAGUUAAGCAUUUGCAGUGCACACGAAAGAAAUGAGGAAGAAGCAUAACAGAAAUUCCGAAACGAAUGGAAUAUGUCUUGAGCUGUGUACUAACUUGGUCCUACUUCAGUCGAGUUCUUUGUGAUUGACAAAUAGUUCCCAAAGCUGCUUAUUUCAGUUGCUCCCGUAUGUUUCAUGAAGAACCUUUGCAAAAGUACCAAGUAUAGGCAAGUAUGCUAUUACUCUCUCAACAUGGUUUUUCCUUUGCUCAGUACACACAAUUCAUCAGCAUCAGUACAGCCGUACAGCACCAUUAUCUCAUAUCAAGUGCAGACGAAGAAAAUCAUUGUUCAUCUCUUGUGAAAAGAAGGAUCAAAUAAGGAACGAUCCUGAACGAACUUGGCUUAGAUCGUUCGGUUCUAUUCCUUGCAAUGGAACCAAAUCAUCUCGGUUCAAGUCCUAGGCUCUUGUUUUUCUAUAUUUAUUCUAAGAAUUAAUGGCAUUAUUUUUAUAGGGUAGCUAGUCUCGAUCAAUAUCUACCAGAUAUGUUUAUAGGGUAGGAUGGCUUACCGUAGUAUGUGUUUCAGUUGAUACGUGGCGAGGCACUUGGCAAUCUCUCCUGACUCUCCAUGCAUCCACACUCACAUGGUUAAGAUAAUAGCGCGAUGGAGGAUAAACUUUAGAUCACUUGGCUGACAUCACCAUGAAUUAAGGAUUAUAACAUCAUCCAACCCUUGACCAACAAGAAGCCAAUGGAGAGCUCCUUAUCCUCGUUGCUGCAACUUAUUUUACAUGUACUCCUAUUAUUACUUCAUCGCGUAGUACUAUAUAGAAUAUUUCCAAAACAAUAAUCAAAAUAUUUUGCACUAGUUUCCAUUUCCCCACCUGGUGAGCAAACUAGCAAAGUUUUCCUCAUAGGAUGCAUAGGUAUAUUAUGCUUUGCCACAAAUUGAUCGGUUAUAAAUGAAUGUGUUGCUCCAGAAUCAAAUAAAAUGGAUGCAGGUUCAGAAUUGAUGAGGAACGUACCGAAUACAACAUUUGGAGCUUCCUUGGCUGUUUCAGCUGUCACAUGGUUCACCCUACCAUGCAUGAAGUUUUGUUGGCCCUUGUUGCCCUGAGGAUUUGCGUUUCCACUACGUGCUUGAGACUAUUGCUGACCAGGCUUUUGACCAUUGUUCUUCUGAGGGGUCUGCAUGUUGCACUUGGGGCAACUGUUGGCGUAAUGCCCUACUUCACCACACCUAAAGCAGCCAUUGGGUUGAACUAGUGUAACUGGAUUGUUUUGCACUAGUGCAUCUAUUGUAUUGCCUGCUCGGUUUUGCUGAGGGUUGGGGGUGCGCUGCCCUUGUUGGUUGAAGUGCUAGGGUUGCUGAGAAGAGCGUUGAAAUUGUUGGUUCUGCUGAUAGCUUCCACCUUGUUGUAGAUAGGCCUCCACGGUGGUCCUUCCAAAACUUACCAUACUUGGUGCUAAUUGACCCCAUGCCGCAAUUGAAACCAUCGGGAUAGGCUGUCUGGUACUCUUAUCUAGUUGGUCUAUGUUUCUCGAACAGGUACGUGAAAAGAAAUUUUUACACUUUUAAAAUUCUGUGAACCAACUAUAUCGGAUAGCACUAAUGGAGAAGUACCACCUAGAGCUUCGACAACAUCUUUUAGCCAUCUAAUAUUUUGGAUAAGCUACAUUGUAUAUAAGUAAAUUUAGGAAUUAUUCAUGUGUUGUAAAAAAAAUCAAUUAUAAGAAGUAAACAAUAUUACUAUGUUCAUAAUUGCUCCUUUGCUUCGAUCACCUUUUGGCAAGUCAAUGAUGCGAUUAGGGAAGUGAGUACAAGCUGACGGUGGCUCCUAAAAAAUGUAGUGUCCACGGCCGCCACCACCACAGCGGCCACCACCAUGGCGAGACGGACAUCCACUUGCCAUAGUUGGCCCAAACAAUCCAAAUAAAAUUUUGAUAAGAUAAUUUGCCAUGAUAAAAACUUAUGCAGAUGGUAGGUGCCAAUGUUUUCCAGGUAUCAACUGCGCAUGACGAUGAUAUAGUCCCCUCAAAUUAGCUGAGUAAAUCCCUAAGGACAUCCGUAUCCCAGUGAUCUGAUCCUCAUUCUCAAAUUGUAGAUUUAGAUUCUCUUCUUCCACAAGCCUUCAAAGACUGAAGAAUUCAAUUAGUAGGUUAAAACUCAGGUUAUGAUAGAUAUUUCCCUAAUUUAUUGUCUUUGAGAACUUUUCCUGCAAUCCUGUUCUUGGUAUUUCAUUCAGUCACAGAUAUGCCUUGUGACUCAUGACAGUAGUCCACCAGAUCCCUAGUUGCAGUUUUUGUCCUUUUGGAUAUCACCUAUUUUCAUAUUGAAAAGAUUCUAGUACCUUCACCACAAACACAAGGCCUGCUGCUCCCUAAGUUGUAAAGUCGCCCGUUUGGUAAUCGGAGUGAAUCUAUACUUACUCAACUACUAACUCUGAAUGUUCUCGCUCUCGAAGGAUUUCUUUCUUUGCGUAUGAUGAUUGAGGCUCAAUUCCUUCCCGAAACAAAAGAAUAGUAGACUGACAAACGUAUCUUACUCGUUCCCUCAACUGCUCGACUGAAAGAACUCUUAGUUCUCAUUCUGUUCUUUCUUGUUUUUUGAGGAUCCAGGAAAGACUUUCUUUAAAAAGAGGAAUCCAGAUGGAUAGAUUGUGAAAUAGAGUAUCUCCUUCGAUUGAAACAUUAAGGAUGAAAUAGUGGACUUCUAACCGAAUGAUUGAUGGAAUUCAGGUGCGAUUCCUAGUAUUCAAAUAAAAGAACAUUAGAUUACAUAUAAGUUCUUCGUGUUCCUACUCCAUUCUAUUCUCUGUCGGGUCAGGAAGAUAUUGAUCAAUGCCGGCAUCUAUAGCUGCCAAUGAGAUGUGGGCUAGGAUCAUCCAUGAAGGUCGACUUUUUGAGGUCGUUGGUCGAAAUCAGCAGUGUCAUCAUCAACAUCAAAGCGGAUCUAAUCUCCGUGUAAGCACGAGGCUUGCCUUGCCUUCAGAAGUCAGUGGCGAUCCUAAUGUCGAGGGCGGGGCGGCCUACUUUCUCCUCUUCAACCUGCGUGGAGUCGGGUCCGCCUAACUGAUGUGGAGGAUUGUACUCUUACUCCACUUACAAGUUCAGGAGAGAGAUUUCCGGCUUGACUUUGACCGACUUGGCUUUGGCCCUUUGAUCAGCUUGUCUUUGACCGCUUUGACCUUGACCGGCUUGACCUUUGAUUGCCCGAUUCGAGAGUGGAAGCUAAUUCAUGGGUUUGCUUGGAAAACUGCCCUUCCUCUUUUUAAGCUUGGCAGGAGUCGGAAACACACUUGACUCACCAAAUCAAGCAACAGGAGAAGUCAAUCUAUAACAGUUGAUCGUAUUUGCUCCCUUCCGGAUAUGCGAUGCCUUGGGAAUGCCGGAGUUGACAGGUGCAACAGUUUGACCUCAGGGAGGAGAAAAAAACCAUUCCAGCACGAAGAUAGGCUACACUAAAAAAGCGUAGGCCCUAGGUGAAAAACAUGGUACGAAAACGGUUACAUUAGUGGAGUCAGAUCCCGAUCAGAGCGGCCUCAUCGAAAUAAACAUAUCCAAGAAGGUAGGCACACGACUGGAUAUCAAAGGUGGGGCUCGAAGCUGCCAUCUCCAACUAGUUGGUUGAAUUCUUUAAUCGACAGGUGAGGCGGAAAGUAGGUAAUCGCAUUCCGAAGCAAGGAGUUAGGAUCGACAAAGCACCAUUUCCUCCGCUAUGUCUCGCUCUUCUAUCAAGUGAAGAGCUCGCUGUAGCUGAACUGGAAGGCUACCAAAGGGCGCUAACCCUGUCUUUCCCAAAAGGUAUCGUCUUGUUUACUUUCCCUAGGGAGGACAAAGAUUAACCAAUAGUAGUCCCGAGGAUUGUAUGAGCAAGGUCCGAACUGUUUCUAUUAGUAGCAACAUGAGGAGCCCCGAAGGGAGAAUAAGAAAGAUUAACCGAUGCCACGUUUUCAGAAGAAGCAACUGGAUAAGAAUCAUACACUGUGAAUGAGCAGACGAAUCGACCGAGGGCUUACACACAAGAACAGAACCUAACUCUACUUCUUUUUCCUCCUCUCCUCUUUACUGCCCCCGCUAUCCUAUCAACAGGUCAGUCAAUAUCUGUAGUGGAGAAAGAAGAGUAGCCCCCCAGGUCAUCAAUUAGUAAUAGAAUAAUCCCAGUAGUAGUCCUCUUGCCUAGCGGAGUCAGCCCUUAAUGGGCAGACCAAAGAUUGGACAUCGUUGUCUAAGCGUGCUUGCUUUGCACACCGGCACAGCUGAAUGAGAAUCCGCUGGCUCAGAUUGAGUGGCUCACUUCCUUGAGAAGGACUUUCUAUAACUAAGAAAUGAGAAUUGCUGACCCAUAUGAUCUCAGGCUCAUAAAGAGGAUGAAACUGAGAAUUUCAUUCACACUUUGAGAUUGAGCUCGUCAGUGAUCUUUUCCAAUGUGUCUAGAGAAACCUGCUUUGAACAUGACAUUCGUACCCAAGGAAAGUUUUGGCAGGCAUUACUGUGAUCUUGAAGACCUUGCUAGGAGCUAGUCGGUACGGCUCACUACUAAAGAAGGUUCUGGCAUGCUUCGACUUAUCCCACUGCCCGCUGAUAUGUACAUGGCAAUAGAAGACUAUACCCACUUUUUCGGGGAAGGUUUUCAAAAGCGCUUCAUUGUGUGACGAGUUUAGACGAGUAAAUAGGCAGGCCGAAGGCGGCUUACUAAGCGAGAAGGCUCCAAGCAGCCUAAUAACGCAUUAGAAGGGAGCUUGCAGCUUUGCAACCUAAGCAGUAUAGCUAAGCUUACUCAUCAAGGGCCGAUAGAUAGAGCAGCUCUUGUUGCUAAUGGAGAAAGGUUGGAGUGAAGUUUAGUAUGCUUUCUAAGAUCAGAGGAGGAAAAGAAUGAAGGUGUGGGCGGGAAGGAGGAGGCAAGGCCCCCUCAAUGUGUAUUCGACUACUCAUUACGGAACCACCGAUUGAUCCGAUUAGACUUCCCGCGGGGUAGCACGGGGAACUUGCUGAAUCAACUCCUUGGAAUCGGAGGCCUGACUGAGGGUCAAUCCUAUGGUAACCUCAACCUAGGAAUGCCUGUUUCACUUCCUUGACAGAGCCAACUGAGAUGCUCUGUCUCGAUGUUGACCUAACAUGGAUUGAUUAGAAAUUCUGAAGGGUCUCAUCCUGAUCUCGCAAAGGAUCAGCAAUAGCUGUGUGUACUUGAGGACUCUUAGGGAAAGAAAAGCACUUUUCUCUCUCACCAGUUAGACCGGCUAUGGGCAGGUUGGUUAUAUACUGCGCCUUCCUUCUUUCGAACCUUUUGGUAUGUAUUGCCCCCUAACUAUAGAUCAGAUCCACCGGACCAGAAACUCAAUUCCGCACUGCUGCUGAGUCGUCGGACUUAUCCACCUCAGGGAUUCGUGGAAUUUCCGUUUUUGAAUUGCGUUGGGGGAAAUCUACCAAAGCUAGGCAGAUAGAUAGACUCCUUUCCCGCUGCUAAGGGAGAGCAAGAAACUAAAUCACAUGAUUGUUUUUUUCACCAGCACCCUUUUUUUUUGCGGGUACUAAGAGUCCUCUCACUACCAACCAGCAGACAUCAUCAUCUGGCUGGGUCUUGCCGGUAUCAACAACGAGAAAGAAGAACCAAAUGGAAACAGCAACUAACUAUGGCUCUUGGCCCAGACAACAUCCUAGGCGUAGGGGAGAUAAAAACAAGAAGUCACGCCCAGACGACGCGCCCGUCCUGGGCUGCAGUAAGUAGAUCGAGAGGUCGUUCCGCCCCUUGUCCCCGAAGAUGGGUAAUAUGUUCUCAUACAAUGUUGCUCCAACUUUUUUCUAGAGGGCCUAGCUGGCGAGCGAUCCCAGUCCGCGGCGGAGAACAAGACAGCAAGCGAGCGUACCUUUGUUCGCUUCUUUUCCACCACGCACAGAAGUUUAAGGAGAACUGUAGGUCGGUGGCUACCUAAGGAAACUCCGAUUCGAUCCGCCCCCCGGCUGGGAGGCAUCUACCUCAUCCCGAUCACAAGGAGAGGUUCACCAUGAUGGGGGGUCAGGUACUUGAAUUCGAUUCGUUCCGGAAAGAAUUCAAUGCAUAGGGGACCAUCCUUUUUUUUUGCGGCAUGCUGUCUGAUUUACGGAUUCGUAGGGGGCCGAGGGCCAACCUUAGUUGACUGACAAUGACAAAGGCUUGCGAAACAAAGUAGCACCUUUGAAAUGGAAUCUUAAUUAAGUAGUCUAUCAGUGGUGCGAAGCAGCUUUGCCCCGGGGAGCGAAAGGUUAUACCUUUGUAAGCGAACAGCGGUUCUUCUAUGUAGGGUAUUCCUCCUUUACUCUCUUAAUUAACGUCGAGCUAAGUGACUUCGUGUAGCGUAGUAGAAUGAAGGCUACGUACGCACCGACACUCUCUUAUCCCUAAGCCUCUUCUCUAACUCGCUCGCCUACAAAAAAAAAUAGUAGGCGAGGCUAGGCAAACUCAGCCACUGACUUUGACUGUACUGUAGUAGACUUUCGUCGCCUUUUGUUUUAUAACCCUUUCUCAUGUUCUUUCAUUCAUCAAGUAGGCGAACCGUCAGGUCCUUAGUAGCGUUGACAAAGAAGAAGAGCCGGUGAAAAAAAAGAAAGCUAGAAUUUCCAAUAGUGAGACCAGCUUGACAAGCUACCUUUCCUCUUGAUCUGGGGUGCGAAGAUAAUUUUUUAUGACUUCCACUUCUCGAUCCCGGCCCGGAAAAGUGACCGACCCCUUGAUGAAUGAAAGAAAGGGUUUAUGAGCCCUAGCCCUGUAAGCCCACACCUGUGUAGAGUAGAUCGUUCAACACCUGCGGCACAAACCCAUUUUUGACCAAUUGGUCCGUAUAUCAUAGGCGACCGAACGGCCGCCCCCUGUCUUACUAGACCAACCUGCUAUAAUUAUUUCAUAAACACCUAGCGAAGAUAUGGCAAACAAAUAAAGUAGCCCUAUGUUUGGAUCUGACAAUACCAUACCAUAAUCAAAAGGUACAACGGCCCAAGCGACCAGACUUAACAUAAAUGUAGCCACUGGAGCCAUUCUAAAAAGGGAGAAAUUAGCACUACUUGGUGAAAUAGGUUCUUUUAGAAUCAAUUUAAAACCAUAUGCUAGAGGUUGUAACAAUCCGAACGAUCCCACUACAUCAGGACCCUUUGGACGUUGCACAAAAGCCAUUACUUUACGUUCAGCUAGCACUAAAAAGGCUACUCCUAGUAGAAGUGGUAGAAUUAAACAAAGUAUUUCCGCUGGAACAGCUAUGUACGUUUUAGAUUUUCUAUUCACUCAUGAUCGGGCCUGACCUGGUCAACCCGAUCAAACUAUUUCACUUAUGAUCUGGCCUGGUUGACCCAAUCAUGAUAUUGAAGGAUGGGACCUUUUCUCGAUAAACUCCGGAUCCCGAGAAGUUUUGAAGAUGGUGCUCCUGUUACGUUACUUCGAAUGGAAUCCUCACUUGACUAAGCAUAAGCAAAAAACGUGGCUGAGAGUAAGCAAUCCCCUUUCCUAGUUGUUGAGUCAUGAUCAGAAAUAUUGCGAAAGAAAGUGAAAUGUCCUAUCGUCGUCCCAAUUUGGGUAAUCCACGAUGUCUUCAUUUUAUGUACCCAUCUUUACUCGUUUUCGGUGUAUCGAUAGUUCGUUGUACUACACUUUGAACUAACCUAGAGGCCGUGCUUAGGCAAAAAUCGAUAUCAGUGAAGUAAUCCCGGAACUCUAGAAAUCGUGAAGAAUUUCUUCCAUUUUUUUCAAUAUCGCGAAUAUAGUGGAAAAGGGCCCCCUCUAGAACAUUCCUUUGAAUGGAAUUGUUCAUUAGGUUCGACUUGUUGUUCAAAAAAAUCAAAAGCAGUCUCUCGUAUGUUAUUGUAAGGUGAUUCAUUCAUAAUAUUUAUUAUGUACGGUUUCAAGAUGCUCAAAAAGUAGAUUUUGUAAUCGGCUUUUGAGCUCCAUUAUGUGUACUUCAUCAAUUUAGGAAUUAUGGACUUGGCGGUAGUGGUCAAUACUAAUUGCACCGUCUAAAUGCUCCCUGACCAAGUUAGCGUACUCGCUAGGGUUGAGUUGAGGGGGCAGCCUGUGCGCUAAUUGGGCUUCGAGGUUGGCUAUACGCGAAAAAGCUCGCUUUCUACUGAGGCCUGUUCUGUCCUAAACAGUUCCAGAAUGUUAUUUGUUUCAUAGGAAGAUUCCAAAAGCACAUUGAUGCCGAAAGAAUCUUCGGAACCGGUGGAGAGGCUAUUCUGAUUGAAGGCUAGACAAAUAACAUGACUGAGGUAUGUAAAUCAAACCAGUGAAAUAGCUUUAUAAUAUUAUAUAGAUAUAGAAUAUAAAAAGCAAAAGCCUGAUAAUGGGUUUCAAAAGAAGAAAUGAAAAAAAAAAAGAUUUUAGCUUUCUUUUUUUUUUGUGCGUGCUUUUCGCCUGCCUUCCCGACCACGGAUAGGCUACGGGGCUUUGCACUUCGGCCCCCUUUAAUACCACAUCAAGGUGACAGGAUUCGAACCUAUGGCCCUCUGUACCCAAAACAGAUGCGCUGACCAGACUGCGCUACACCUCGUCUUCCCCCCGGAACAUAUGGUAUGGAUCUACCUGAUCGAAAAAGACUCGAACCGCAUUCGCCCACCCCGCGGCACAGGGAGGCGAGAACCACCGCUUUUAGGAAAUAAGCCUAAAAUUUGAUUCUCGUCUCGUUUCACUUGCAUUUUCUUUCAUUCAGUCUCGCUCUCGUUCAUGAGUGGAAUCGAACCACUUACUCCGUUUGGAUUUAUAGUCCAAAGGGCCCAGGCCCAGCGAACGAAAGAGGAUUUACAGUCCCACGCCCACUGCCUUGCAAGAACCAUUUUCUUGCUUGAUUUUUAUACGAUUUUUUGAGCAACUAGCGCGAAAGCCGUUGCGCUAACGCGCAUUCUCCACCACACCAUUUCUAUACGCAUUUUCAGAGGAGCAACAUGAGAUGAGACUUGAUUUUCCUUUACAAGAUGGCCAUCAAAGAUUAGCAAAGCUAUACCAAAAAUAGGUUCACAUAAGAAAGUGCGUAUUGGUUUGCGUAGGAAUGCCCGUUUGCACGUAGAAUAACAAAAGGGGUUAUUCAUGUUCAAGCCAGUUUCAACAAUACCAUUAUAACCGUUACAGACCCACAAGGUCGGGUGGUUUUCUGGUCCUCCGCAGGUACUUGUGGAUUCAAAAGCUCAAGAAAAGCAUCACCCUAUGCUGGUCAAAGAACAGCAGUAGAUGCUAUUCGUACAGUGGGUUUGCAACGAGCAGAAGUUAUGGUAAAAGGUGCUGGUAGCGGAAGAGAUGCCGCAUUACGAGCCAUUGCUAAAAGUGGUGUACGGUUAAGUUGUAUACGCGAUGUAACACCUAUGCCGCAUAAUGGAUGUCGACCCCCUAAAAAAAGAUGUCCGUAAAAAAGUGAAACCGCUUUCAAGAGAAAUAAACGAUUCAAUGAUCAAAUAAUAAUACUAGUCUGUGAUGGUUCGAGAGGAGGUAACAGGAUCCACCCAAACACUAGAGUGGAAGUGUGUUGAAUCAAGAGUAGAUAGUAAGCGUCUUUAUUAUGGUCGUUUCAUUCUGUUCCCGCUUAGAAAAGGUCAAGCGGAUACUGUUGGUAUUGCCUUGUGAAGAGCUUUACUUGGAGAAAUAGAAGGAACAUGUAUCACACGCGCCAAAUUUGGGAACGUGCCACACUCUUAGUAGGUAUUGAAGAAUCCAUACAAGAAAUUUUACUAAAUUUGAAAGAAAUUGUAUUGAGAAGUAAUCUCUAUGGAGUUAAAGAUGCAUCAAUUUGCGUCAAAGGUCCUAGAUACAUAACCGCUCAAGAUAUAAUCUUACCGCCUUCCGUAGAAAUCGUUGAUACGACACAACCUAUAGCUAACUUGAGAGAGCCCAUUGAUUUCUGUAUUGAGUUACAGAUCAAGGGAGAUCGCGGAUAUCAUACGGAACUCAGAAAGAACUCUCAAGAUGGAAGUUAUCCUAUAGAUGCUAUAUCCAUGCCUGUUUGAAAUGUGAAUUAUAGUAUUUUUUCUUGUGGGAAUGGAAAUGAAAAAUACGAGAUACAUUUUCUAGAAAUAUGGACGAAUGGAAGUUUAACUCCUAAAGAAGCGCUUGAUGAAGCUUCUCGUAAUUUGAUUGAUUUAUUUCUUCCUUUUCUACAUGCAGAGGAAGAGGGCACUAGUAGCCUUAUCACGUCAGGUAGCUUGCUAUCCGAACAACUACGAUAUAUGCCGCUUUGCUACAACUACUACGCCUAUGGGCAAAGAUCACUUGAAGAUAGAGAGUCAUGGGCAUCUAUCAAGUACUGGAGGCAAGCUCGUCAACUAGUACAUAGCCAUAGCAUAGCUAUGAUGAGUCCAAGGUUUACGCAUCCUAUUUUCGCCAGCAUAUCUUCUCAAUCAGCUUCCGAACAAGACAACCCAGCGCAACACUACUACGCCGUAUUGCAAGCGUUGUCAACAAUACAUUAGGAAUGUGAGGCAAGCAAGCAUGGCACAGGAAUCUAUUCUAUAAGAUUGGUAAUAGUGUCUGUGUACUAGGAGAACAGGAUAUGUUAUGAGAAGAGUGACGUGGGAAUAGAUUGCAUUUCAAAAAGAAUCUAUACACUCAAUAAGCCAGAACGGGAAGAUUCAACUGCAAAAAGAACUGGUACGGUGUGAGAAGAGGCCUAUUCUCAAUAAUGAACAAGAUGAUGCAACUCUAGUUGCUGGAGGCAGAGGACGUGGACGCGGCAGGAAUAUGUGUGCUUAGUCUGUUUGUAAUUAAAAAUUAACUUACCUAUAUGUUUACACACAGGGUGGAUCUAGCAUUGAGGUGGGCAGGGCUCAAGCCCCCUUACCGUAUCUCCGAUAUGGAAGCCCCCCUUUAACUCCCCCACGAUUUUGGAGGAAUAAGGAGGAAUAAGAAGAAAAGGGAAGGGAGAAAAAUAAGGAGCAAGAAGGAGCCCCUCCUAAAUUUAGGGGCUGCAUCGGCCACUGUUUACACAUGUGGCACUAAUAUUGUUCGACAACAUCUUUCAGCCAUCUAAUAUUGUCGAUAAGCUACAUUGUAUGUAAGUAAAUUUAGGAAUUAUUCAUGUGUUGUAAAAAACCAAUUACAAGAAAGAAACAAUAUUACUAUGUUUGGAAUUGCUCCUUUACUUCGAUCGCCUUUUGGUAAGUCAACGAUGCGACUAGGAAAGUGAAUUUCUGGAGAACGAGUCAACGGUGGCUCCUCGACAAUAUAGUGCCCACAACCGCCACCACCACGGCAGCCACCUCCACGGCCGCCACCACCAUGGUGAGAACUUCCACUUGCUAUAGUUAGCCCAAAUUAUCUAAAUAAAAUUGUGAUAAGAUAAUUUGCCACCAUAAGAAUUUAUGCAGAUGGUGGGUGCCAAUGUUUUCUAGGUAUCAGCUGCGCAUGACGAUGAUAUAGUCCCCUCAAAUUGCAGGUUGUAGGCUGACUUAGCUGAGUAAAUCCACGAGGAUAUCCGUAUCCCAGUGAUCUGAUACUCAUUCUCAAAUUGUAGAUUUAGAUUCUCUUCUUCCACCAGCCUUAAAAAACUGAAGAAUUCAAUUAGUAGGUUAAAACUCAGGUUAUGAUAGGUAUUUCCCCAAUUUGUUGUCUUUCAGAGCUUCUCCUACAGUCCUGUUCUUGGUAUUUCAUUCAGUCACAGAUAUGCUAGCGACAUAUAGGUUUUCUUCACUCAACUAUUUAAAACUUUGAUUGAAAAUAUUUUUAUAUGAUAAUUGUAUAUAUAUAUAUUUGAAAUGCCACGAGUUUAUAAUGAAAUCUACUUCUUGAAAGUACAGUUUUGCUAUCACGGCGAGAUUUUACCAUACGACCACUCAUCAUCAAACUAUGAGAUACGUGUGCUUAGUCUAUUUGUAAUUAAAAAUUAACUUACCUAUAUAUUUAUACACAGGGGCAGAUCUAGCGUUGAGGUGGGCGGGGCUCAAGCCCCCCUACCCUCUCUCGGAUAGUGAAGCCCCCUUUAGCCUCUCCACGAUCUUUUAGGAAGAAGAAGAGAAGGGAAGGGAGAAAAAUAAAGAGCAAGAAGAAGGAGCCCCUCCUAAAUUUAGGGACUGCAUCGGUCAAUGUUUACACACGUGGGAUUAGGAGGAAUUCAAGAGCUUAGUUAAUGUGGUGGAAGAUAAAGAUACAGGCCUUUACUAUUAUGUGUUUCUGUUGGAGACUUCAGUUGUAACACGUUUUGCACCGUAAACCUACAUGUUACAACAUAUUACUAUUAUUAAAAUUUGAUCUCUAGCAUUAAUUUUCUAUUACUGGAAACAUCCUUUGUAUCACGUUUUAGAUCUGGCAAAUAAGAAUUAUGUAGUAAAAUAAUAAGAAUUAUGUAGUAAAAUAAGCUCUACAUUAACGGAGUAAUCUUUUGAUAGUAUUUAAUGUAAAUCGCGCCAGUUCAGUGGCAUAUUUUCAAAGCCGGUAAAUCUUUCGGUGUCCCGGAACCCUUCUCCCCUCAAAGUAUAUAAAAAAAAUCAUUUGCAACAAUAUAUACUACGUAUUUCUUGAAGGACGACAUUCUAGCUCUUUUGUAACCACAUCACGACACGUAGCUAUAGGCUUGGUAUAUUCUUUUAGUAAGAUUGUUUCAUUACACCCAUUUAUUUGGCAUACAGCAUACGACAACGACCAUACUAAUUGCAUCGAGAGAUUUCAACCUGUUCUCUGCAUGUACCUCGUUGCCUCGAACGUCCAUAUGCAGGCCAGAACGAGAACGAGGCAAUACAAUACCGUACACGAGGUAAGAGUCCUUACAUCACCGGGUAGGUGCAUGCCGUCAUCGGCCGUGUAGUUCUGGUAGCGGCGGCCACCCUCGCUGACCGGGCCGAAAUGUGAUUUUUUUAUAAAUAUUAUAUCUCUACCUGGUUAUCAUCCGAACUUUGUCUAUGUGUAACUCCAAACUAUGAGUGAGUAAUAAGUUCUACGUAUCUAUUGUCUUCAAUCGUCCAUUGGACCUUCGAAAAGAGUCAACUUUUUUGCCCUCAUACGAUACCCACGGUCAUCAAGGGACAUGAGCAUUUUAUUUUUUAACUUACUUUUUAUAAAAUAUAAGAUUUUUAAUGCAUUUAACUCCUAAUAAAUACAUGAAGGGGCAUACGCUCUUGGAUCCCUAGUUUCUAACUACGAUGUGUCUUCCAAAAAAGCAUGACCUCUAAUCAGGACAAUAUAAGGACGUGUAAGUGCAGGCGCAUGACCUCUAAUCAGGACAAUAUAAGCAUAUGGUAUCUACUCCUAAGUCAGAUCAGCACAUCUGCACAAGGAAAAACUCGAUGUCCUUGUGUUGCAGUGUUGCUUCACUACUGGCGCAUGGUCAUCAAGUCUUCCAUCGCUGCACAUAUAUAGUGUUGUCCUUUAUCAUAGUCAGUCUCUCUGUUUCCAAAUUAGAGUUCAGUUUAGCUUUAUAUUAAGUGAAAUUCUCUUAGUUUGGCUAAGUUACUAUAAAAAAUACCAACAUCUAUAACAUCCAAUAAAUUUUGUUAAUCCAUUGAAAUAUGAUAGUACAUUUAUUUGUAGAAAAUACGCUAAAUAUUAAUGUUCAAGGUGUUAAUAUGUUUUCUAAAAACUUUCCAAUUAUUAGUUCUAUAUUGAAUUCACUAUGUAAUAUGUUUUGAUAGUAUAUAUUUAUUUUAGUAUUAUAGGUGCUAAUUUUUUUUCUAAAACUUGAUUAAAGUCAAACUUUGGAUAAAUGUAAGUAAAUCAUAAUUUAGAACGGAGUAGUUAUAGAGAAUUUGGAACAAGGAAGUCCUAACAGGCGGAUAAAACUUUGAGAUCUGAAAGAGAGACCGAGACGUGCGCCAUUCAAGUUAAGCAUUUGCAGUGCACACGAAAGAAAUGAGGAAGAAGCAUAACAGAAAUUCCGAAACGAAUGGAAUAUGUCUUGAGCUGUGUACUAACUUGGUCCUACUUCAGUCGAGUUCUUUGUGAUUGACAAAUAGUUCCCAAAGCUGCUUAUUUCAGUUGCUCCCGUAUGUUUCAUGAAGAACCAUUGCAAAAGUACCAAGUAUAGGCAAGUAUGCUAUUACUCUCUCAACAUGGUUUUUCCUUUGCUCAGUACACACAAUUCAUCAGCAUCAGUACAGCCGUACAGCACCAUUAUCUCAUAUCAAGUGCAGACGAAGAAAAUCAUUGUUCAUCUCUUGUGAAAAGAAGGAUCAAAUAAGGAACGAUCCUGAACGAACUUGGCUUAGAUCGUUCGGUUCUAUUCCUUGCAAUGGAACCAAAUCAUCUCGGUUCAAGUCCUAGGCUCUUGUUUUUCUAUAUUUAUUCUAAGAAUUAAUGGCAUUAUUUUUAUAGGGUAGCUAGUCUCGAUCAAUAUCUACCAGAUAUGUUUAUAGGGUAGGAUGGCUUACCGUAGUAUGUGUUUCAGUUGAUACGUGGCGAGGCACUUGGCAAUCUCUCCUGACUCUCCAUGCAUCCACACUCACAUGGUUAAGAUAAUAGCGCGAUGGAGGAUAAACUUUAGAUCACUUGGCUGACAUCACCAUGAAUUAAGGAUUAUAACAUCAUCCAACCCUUGACCAACAAGAAGCCAAUGGAGAGCUCCUUAUCCUCGUUGCUGCAACUUAUUUUACAUGUACUCCUAUUAUUACUUCAUCGCGUAGUACUAUAUAGAAUAUUUCCAAAACAAUAAUCAAAAUAUUUUGCACUAGUUUCCAUUUCCCCACCUGGUGAGCAAACUAGCAAAGUUUUCCUCAUAGGAUGCAUAGGUAUAUUAUGCUUUGCCACAAAUUGAUCGGUUAUAAAUGAAUGUGUUGCUCCAGAAUCAAAUAAAAUGGAUGCAGGUUCAGAAUUGAUGAGGAACGUACCGAAUACAACAUUUGGAGCUUCCUUGGCUGUUUCAGCUGUCACAUGGUUCACCCUACCAUGCAUGAAGUUUUGUUGGCCCUUGUUGCCCUGAGGAUUUGCGUUUCCACUACGUGCUUGAGACUAUUGCUGACCAGGCUUUUGACCAUUGUUCUUCUGAGGGGUCUGCAUGUUGCACUUGGGGCAACUGUUGGCGUAAUGCCCUACUUCACCACACCUAAAGCAGCCAUUGGGUUGAACUAGUGUAACUGGAUUGUUUUGCACUAGUGCAUCUAUUGUAUUGCCUGCUCGGUUUUGCUGAGGGUUGGGGGUGCGCUGCCCUUGUUGGUUGAAGUGCUAGGGUUGCUGAGAAGAGCGUUGAAAUUGUUGGUUCUGCUGAUAGCUUCCACCUUGUCCUCCACAGCAGAAUUGAGAUCCUUGUGAUGAGUUGAAACGAGGAUGAGUGUUGCUGCUGGAUUGCCCUUGGGAUUGGAACUUCCACUUUUGCUCACCAAGUUCCUUAUGCUUAUUCUCCAAGCCUAUAGCUUUGUCCAGUAGUGUCUGGAUGUUAGGGAAAGUGUGACUCUGCAGUGGCCCUGUCAGACCAUCCAAGAAACACUCCUAUCUCUUUUCAUCAGUGUCCACUUCAUUUGGCGCGUAACGAGACAAUUGUGUGAACUUGUCUCAGUACUCGCUGACUGUCAUGCUGCCAUGUGUCAAAGACAGAAAUUCCUUCUGCUUGAGCUUCAUCACACUAGCUAGGAUGUGGUGUGUGCAAAAAAUGUUCCUGAAUUCCUCCCACGUGAUGGUGUUGGUGUUGGCAUGUGCCGUGGUGUAGGCAUCCCACCAAUCAGCUACAGAUCCUUCCAAGCAUGCUGCAGCGUACAAGACCUUCUCAUGAUCAUUGCACUGUGCCAAAUCCAACUUCUUACUAAUGACUUUCAGCCAGUCAUCAGCGUCCAAAGGAUCCACUGAGUGAGAAUAGGUGGGAGGGUGAUGGCUCAUGAAUUCUCUGUGCUUGUCUCUGGGUGCUUGAGGUGCUUGCGGUGGUUGCUGGUUUUGUUGGGCUUGCAGAUUUUGAACAGUGGUGGUUAGGUUCUGCAACAGUUGCAUCUAAGCUGCCAAAAACUGUUCCAUUGUUGAAUUUGGUGGUGGAGGUGGUGCUUGAUUCUGUCGGUUGAUUAUGUGAGCACACCUUUGACUUCGGACAUCCUAUCCUCCUCCUGACCUAGUGUUUACCAUCUGAUUGUUACAAAAAUGAAUCCCAGAUAAGACUGAUGAGUUGAUAAUGCAGAUAUAGGAGUAGAGAGCCAAGAUUUAAACCCAGAUAGACUAUUAACUUUAAUUUAUUUAAUUUAUUUAAUGAUGCAUUAGUGGUCAUCACUCCACAAAACAUCUCACUCAUUACAAAGAUCCAAAUCAAACAUUAUUACAUCGCACGUCCUCGCAGGAAUGGUUCUAUUGAGACAACUCUGGAAGCCAACCUAGAAACCUAGCCUAGAAGACCAGUGAUGGAGCCAGAUGCGCCAUAGCGAAGCCUCUUGCGGGGUGGUGAAAUGGAAGGGUAGUGAAACUCGUCCGUCUCCUCGGGUGGCUCCUCUCCUGCAAGCUGGGCCUCCAACUGUGCAAUCUUCGCAUGAGCCUCCUGUAGCUUCUCAUGGGUCUUGGCAAGCUCCGCGGUGGCUCUGUCGAGGUUAGUGUUGAGAGCUGUGGUGACUUGAGCAAGGAUGUUGAUAUGGUCUUCUCCAGCUUCUCCCAAUAGUACUAUUGUAUCCUUUGUGCCACUUUGACGACGAGGAAGGUGAUGGUACUCGGUGGAGCUCAGCUCCUGGCGAUGGGUGAAGUAGAGGGCCCACAGAGCUCUCCUGGCGGCAUCGUUGACAGAAGCGGCGUAGGUAGUGUUGGGCGUAGUGGAGUCGUGCGUCGAGCGAGUCCCCAAGCCCCUGGAAGUCUCCAAAUGUUCCCGGAUGUGGACUUGGGUGACAAAGUAGCCAUCCAUUGUGGAGUAGGAGAUGCACUAGGUGAUGCAGAGGGGCUUCAUGGUGCUUCCCAGCUUCUGCAGCACUUUCCGGAGCAGCGUGGGAAAGUAGCCAGGCUCAUCCUCUGAGUGAAACUCACAGGUUGGCGUCAAACUAUGAGGACCAUCAUCCUGGUUUCCAUCUCCAUCAUUGUUGUUGUCUUGGCCAUCGUUGUUGCUAUGGUCGUCAUCGUCCUCAUCUUCAUCAUCGCUGUCAUCCCCGGAGUCAUCCAGGUCUCCACCAACGGCGGCAGGUGCUGGAGCGUCCGAAGUAGGAGCAGCUGAUGGUACUAGUGAUGUUGUCGAGAUCACCAGAUUUCCAUCCGAGUUGACCUCCAUGAUGUUGCCAUCUUCCACCUCAAUGUAGAAGUAGACCUCUUCCGGAUCCUCCUCAACUUCUUCGAUGGGUUGAGUCGGAGGAGCUGGCUGAGCGGGGGCAAUGUGAACCUGAUGACUUCAAUUGCUUUUGCGAGCAGUUAGCUUGGUCCUUGCCAUCUGACACAACAAGCACAGAAACUCAGAACAAGUUCAAAACCAAAAGAGACCAGAUUUUGACAAAGAAACAAGAAUAUAGAUUUUUAUGAGGAAACUAAGAUGUUUUUGAGAGCAGACAUGGCUUGCUAACAAUGUGCCCAUCAGCAUCUGGGAAUGGAAGAAUAAAAGUACUAAUCCAUAUGCACUCCCGAAUACAGAAAAGAAUAUGAUGAGGGAAGAUGUCAAGAAACAUUUUACAUUUCCCAAAGGAUAAAAUGAAGACGAUGUGAAAUCUUGGACGCUGAAGAAAAUGGCCACACAAUUCCAAACAUUCAAGAAGGGCCGAACUCUGGAUUUCGACGAGUGGCCAAAGUUGAGGGACCAUUGGGAGGCAUUUGUCGAAUACAAGAGGAGCAAAGGGGGUCUUUUGUCCCGGUUGAGUGACCCGGGAUAAAAGACCCCCCCUUUUGUCCCGGAUGGUUUAUCCCGGAUGCGUUUUCGAGAUAAAAGCACCCUACCAACCGGGAUUAAAGCUCACUUCUCUACCAGUGCGAGAAUGGCUACGUACGACUGGAGAGGCGUGUCAGCUCUAGUAAGGGCAUGUGCGGCAUCGCCAUGGCGCCGUACUACCCGGUCAUGUGAGUUUCAUCUAUCCCGUGCUUUCGCACGGUCCUACAACGACGGAGUGUUUAACUAGUUACCAGCUGCCUGCUGAUCCUGAACAAGUAUGGAAUUAAAUAAACUGCAGCUCACCGAGGAUGGUACGGUGUGUGUUACUCAUCUAUACCGUUUGUUUGCUAAUGUAACGAAAUCUCAAAAGCUAAUGACUUUUGGGAUGUAGUAUGUGUUGUUAUUAAAGAGAAAGAGAAUUAAUUAUCAUCAUUUGCCUUAAAACAGCAUCACUGUGAUGAUGCAGAGGUUAGUUUGUCAGUUCCGUCUCGGAACGGCCAGAACGUUUUAUUUCAUCAUUGAGAUCGAAAAGGUUAUGCAAAGUCUUUGCAUUCCAUUCCUCUCGAACUUCAUCUUUCCCUUCCACUGCAGCAUCUGUGAUUUUUCCCAACAGCUAUAUGAGUUUCCAACAGUUAUAUGAGUUUCCUCCUGCAUUUGACAUGAAGCCCACGAAGAGUCUUCCAUCCAAAGUUUGCGAGAGAAGGGACAUUCAGUUAUGCGAUGGUGCAGUGGACAGUCUCGAGGUUCCUUUCGCAGAGGGGACAGAAACACUCGUUAGACCACUCUCUUUGCAGCAGCCUAUCAACCGCCAGAUCUUGUUCUGCAGCAAUAACCAGAUAAAGAACUUGCCACUACUAGACAACUCACGUCUAAGAACCCUCUUUAGUACCGGACGUCUGACUAGUAUCGCUAUGUCGGUACUAAAUGCCACGCUAUUUAGUACCGGUCAGCCCAACUGGUACUAAAUGCGCUAUUUACACUAGUAGAGAACUCACCUUCCACGCGCCCCUUUUUGUCCCGGUUUAAAGUUAGCCCGGGACAAAAGGGGGCAUGCCACGGUAGGUUAAAAUGGGCGGAGCUUUAGUCCCGGUUGCUAUUUGCAACUGGGACUAAAUCCCUCCUUUAAUCCCGAUUGUAACAGCUAGUUGUCAGUCACCAACGGCGCCCCCCUUUUGUCCCGGUUGGUAACUCCAACCAGGACAAAAGCCAACCAGGACAAAACGUUUACUCCUGGUUGGUAGUUCCAACCGGGACAAAAGGUGUUCCUUUUGUCUCGGUUGGAAUUUCAACCGGGAUAAAAACUUAUCCCCUAUAAAAAUCGCAAGACAGAGGCCUUCCUUUUUCCUCCAGCCUGAGCCACUCCACUCCACAAAGAAAGAGAGCUUCAUCCUCUCCAUGGCGCCGAAGCAAGCCUAGAGAAGGUUCUACCGAAUUUUUUUUCCUCAUUUCCGUGGCGAGUUUACCCAGCCAAAGUGUUGUGAAGGUUAGCUACUUCAUUCUCCAUUCAUUUAUUGUUGUUUUGCUUUGUUUUAUGUUUUAGAGAACAAGAAAAAUGAGUUUGCUUGUUAGAAAGAGGGAGAAUGGAGAUGAUUUGUUUUUAUACAUGUUUUUGAGCUAGAAUGUGAUGGAUAGUUUGCUUGUUAUAUACGAUUCGUAUUAGUUAAAAUAACUUGAUGUGUAGAAUGGAGAUGAAUAGUUUAUUUGCUAGAAUGUGAAGUAGAAAAUGGAGAGGAUUUUGAGCUAGAAUGUGAGGGAGAAUGGAGAGUAAAUGUGAGGUAGAAAGGAGAGGAUUUCAAUAUUAUGUAUGAGGAAAAAAUUAGAGUAAAUGUGUUUUUAAUAUUUAGAAAUUACCAUAAAAUUAAGGUAAAUAAAUUGUAGGCGUAAGAAAAUAGAAUUCGGUCAUUGCUACAUUUUUUCAUGUUACUAUAAUUUAACACUUAAUAAUUGUAUUUAUUUGACCAAAAAUUUAUUUAUCUCAUGUUUAAUGCAAGAACUAAAUUAUAAAUAAUAAUCCUAUACAAAAUCCUAUGUUCAUUUUCCAUGUAAUACGAUGCAGAUGGACCGGCAAUGGAUGUACCACCUCUGUUCAUCCAAUCCCAGUUAAUAGAAUGUGCUUACGCUAUUCUCUACACAUAACUCGAUCUUCUUUGAAAUCUAUGGAGAGUCACCUCCGCUCCUCCAGUAUUAGAAAAUAAUGGUAGAAUAUAAGAGCUUUGAGUCCACAAAUUCUGGUUGAAUAUCAUAAAAGAAUGUUGAAAUAAUUAUCCAAACGCCUUUUGAAGCUUAAUUCUCAUAAUAGAAGUAUGUUGGUCCAAUAUCCUCUUCAGGAAGCGAUCUGUUCACUGACCUUGACCUAGCAGCUUUUGGUUGGUUUUGGCUUGCCACCGUGGGCCAUGCUCAGUGGAUAGAUUGUUUUCCUGGAUGGGCUAUUGUGUUUGUGCCACCACACUUCUAUUAUCAGAAUGUGGCUCUUGCUCCAAAAGAUGUUUGGACAAUUAUUUCAAGAUUCCUUUAUGGCAUUCAACCAGAGUGUGUGGACUCGAAGAUCUUCUGUUGUGCCAUUAUUUUCAUCUACUGGAUAUGUGGAGGUGACUCUCGAUAGAGUUCGGAGAAGAUCGAGUUAAGUGUAGAGGUGGCUUGGAGGGCAAACAUUCUCCUAUGUUGUACCAUCUUUCUUGUGUUGUUUUGAGUGUAACCUCUAUAUGUAUCUUUAUUGGCGAACAUUCGGCUAUGUUGUACCAUCUUUAUUGUGUUGUUAGGAGUGUAAUCUCUAUAUGUAUCUUUAGUGAUUGUUAUGAAUGUGGAAUUAAUGGUACAAUUGUCAUGUGAAUUGUUUCAUUCCAUUAUCAUGUUUUUUUAUCUAAUACGAAGACCUAUAUCCAUUUUCAUGCGUAAUUUGAUGGGUAAUGCAGGUUCAUAUGUUGUCCAUGCAUAAUCCAUUUUCGUGCGUAAUACAAUGCGUAAUACGGGUUCAUAUGUUGUCCAUGUGUAAUCCAUUUUCAUGCGUAAUACGAUGCAGAUGGACCGGUAAUGGAUGUAUAACGUGGACAGACGGAGCAAGAAGUUUCUUGAUGGCUCAUAUUAUUUUCUCGAAGUGGCCAAAGCGAACAAGCCAGAGAAUAGGUUCAUAUGUUGUCCAUGCUUCCAAUGUACUAACAAGAAGGACUAUUCACAGCCACUUUAGAUACGGUUUCAUGCCUAACUAUUUGGUUUGAACCAAACACGACGAAAGAGGGGUUGUAAUGGAAGACGGUGAAGAGGAGGGGGAUGAGGACAACAUUUCGGAUUGGGCUGUAGGUCAAGCUUUUGCAGAUACUACAAUGGACAAGGCUGAUGAAGAUGAGUUUGCAAAAGAUGGCCCUACUGAUGACCAUGAUCAGGUGCUACAGGAUGUACACAGAGAUUGCGAAACUGAGAAGGAAGAAGCAAAGUUGCAGUGCAUGAUAGAUGAUCACCAAAAAUUGUUGUACCAAGAUUGCCAGCAGAGCAUAAAAAACUGGGUACCAUACUAGAAUUUAUGCAAUGGAAGGUCAAAAAUGGUGUGUCCGAUAAGGUAUUUCGGGGGAUGUUGAAAAUUGUCAAGAAGAUUCUUCCCAAGAAUAAUGAAUUCUGUCCACAACAUAUGAAGCGAAACAGAUUGUUUGCCCUCUAGGAUUGGAGGUUCAGAAGAUACACGCACGCCCUAAUGAUUGUAUCCUCUAUCGUGGUGCUAAAUAUGAGAAAUUGGAUGCUUGUCCCAUGUGCGGAGCGCUGCAGUAUAAGAUCAGGCGAGAUGAUUCUGGUGAUGUCGAGGGGCAGCCUCUCAAGAAGAGAGUUCCCGCAAAGGUGAUGUGGUAUUUUCCUAUAACACCACGCUUGAAGCGCUUGUUCAGGAAAAAGGCGAAUGCUAAGUUGAUGCGAUGGCACAAAGAAGAACAUAAGCAAGAUGAGAUGCUGAGACACCCCGCUAAUGGGUCCCAAUGGAGAUCAAUUGAUAGAGCAUUCUUGGAUUUUGAAAUUGAUGCAAGAACAUAAGGUUUGGUUUAUGUACUGAUGGAUUCAAUCCAUUCGGUGAGUUGAGUAGUGGUCAUAGUACUUGGCCUGUGACACUAUAUAUGUUCAACCUUCCUCCUUGGUUGUGCAUCAAGCAGAAGUUCAUUAUGAUGCUAACGCUUAUCUAAGGACCAAAACAACCCCACAACAACAUUGAUGUGUACCUAAGACCGUUGGUUGAUGAACUUUUACAGCUCUGGAAGGAUGAAGGUGUACAUGUGUGGGAUGAGGAUAAACAAGAAAUCUUUAACCUACGAGCAUUGUUGUUCGUAACCAUCAAUGAUUGGCCUGCACUGAGUAACCUUUUGGGAUAGACAAAGAAGGGAUAUCGGGCCUGCACCCACUGUUUAUAUGACACAGACAUCAUGUAUUUGAAGCAUUGUAAGAAGGUCGUCUAUAUGGGUCAUCAUCGAUUUCUCCCUACUAACCACCCGCUGAGAAAGAAAGGGAUGCAUUUCAAAGGGACGCCAAACAGUCAUAAAAAACCUGCACACCGUAAUGGAAAGCAUGUCUUUGAGAUGAUAAAGAAAAUGUAAGGGUAGUCUUUGGAAAAGGUCUUGGUAGCCAACCUGUUCUGAAUGACAAUAACGGACGUGCACCCAUGUGGAAGAAGAACUCAAUAUUUUGGGAGCUACCUUAUUGGGAAAUCCUAGAGGUUCGCAAUGCAAUAGACGUGAUGCACCUGAUGAAGAAUUUUUGCAUUAACGUGCUAGGCUUCAUGGGUGUUUAUGAGAGAUCAAAAGAUACAUUGGAAGCAUGACAGGACCUGAAAUACAUGGGCAAUGAGAUGAUCUACGUCUGAAAAAAGAGAGAUAAUGGACAGGGCUACUUACGUCCUGCCAGUUACACUCUCAGCAAGGAAGAGAAGGAUAGCAUGUUUGAAUUCUUGAAUAGUAUGAAGGUCCCGUGUGGGUACUCCUCGAAUAUAAAGGGAAUAAUAAAUAUGAAAGAAAAGAAGUUCACAAAUCUCAAGGCCCAUGACUGCCACAUGUUGAUGACCAAGUUGCUUCCGGUUGCAGUGAGGGGUGUUCUACUAGAGAAUGUCCGAUUGCCGCUCGUAAAGCUAUGCGCGUUUGUCAAUGUGAUUUUGUAGAAGGCAAUCGAUCCAUGCAAGCUAGCAAAGCUACAAAAUGAUGUGGUGCAAUGUCUUGUCAGUUUUGAAUUGGUAUUUCCACCAUCCUUCUUCAAUAUUAUGAUGCACCUCUUGGUUUACCUAGUAAAAGAGAUUGUUAUCCUCGGACCAAUAUACCUACACAAUAUGUGGCCUUUUGAGAGGUUCAUGCCAAUCCUAAAAAAACUAUGUUCUUAAUCAUGCCCGUCCAAAAGGAAGCAUCACCAAGGGAUAUGGAACAGAGGAGGUGAUUGAGUUUUGUGUUGAUUUUAUUGACUCAAUUGACUCGAUUGGGGUUCCAACUUCACGCCAUGAGGGGAGGCCGCGGGGAAUAGGCACCCUUGGAAGGAAAUCAAGUUUGAGUAGUGAUACUGAUUUGUUCGACAAGGCACACUACAGUAUUCUGCAAGAGUCAUCCUUUGUGGCUCCAUAUAUCGAGCAACACAUGCAGAUGCUAGUUUCCAAAAACCUGACGAAAUCCGAUGCUUGGCUUAUACACCAUCACAUGGAUACUUUUCCCUCUUGGUUGUGCCAACAACUUAUGGAUAACUCUAAGAUUCAUACACAGCUCGCUUGGUUAGCUAGGGGAUCUUUUAGCACAAUCUUGAAAUUUCAAGGCUACGAGAUAAAUGGUUAUACGUUUCACAUGAGAGCCCAAGACCAGAAAAGCAGGAAUCAGAAUAGUGGUGUCCACAUAGAUGCCAUAGAUGGAAACAGUAGCAAGGACUCGUAUUAUGGUUUCAUAGAGGAGAUAUGAGAACUCAAAUACGGACCGCUUUACAUCCCUCUAUUUCGUUGCCAAUGAGUGAAGCUAGCUAGUGUAACCAAAGAUCAGUAUGGAAUGACAAUAGUGUACCUAAGCAAGACUGGAUACAGUGAUCAACCAUUCGUGCUUGCUAAUGAUGUGCAUCAGAUUUUCUAUGUGAAGGACAUGUCUAGCAAGCCUAAGAGAAAUCCAGAAGAGCCAUGGGAGCCAAAGCACCACAUAGUUCUUCCAGGUAAAAGAAAAAUCAUGGCAAUUGAGGACAAAACAGACCAAUCAGAUGAUUAUGAUCAAUUUCCCAUUUGCUAUUGAAGUUGACCGAAGCAUCUUGUUAUCCAAAGAAGAGGCUCUGUACUUAUGCCGCGAUCAUGACCAAGGAACUUUUGUUAAGAAGAAGUUUUUUAAUGUUACAUUGUAAUGCGCUAAAUUUGCUUCACCUUUAUGUAAAGUUACACUAUAAAGUUCUGUGAUUUCAUGUACUAGUUGAUACAAUUUUUAAUUUAACGUAUCUAUGAUUUCAUGUGUGUUUAAAUUAGUUGAGGUGAAGAUUUAUUCGAUCAAUAUGAACAAUGUUAACCACAUACAUCAAUUGAAUUUUUCGCGCGUUGAAAUUAUUUAAUUGAAUAAUUUCUGGAUGAUAGUGAUGCAGUAAAAUAAUCAUUUUAGAAGCUAAAAGAACUAGUAUAGAAUUAAUGACUCAUUCAAACUUAUUGUAAAUAUACUUGCUAAUUUAAUCUAUUUUUGCAUGUUUAAAAUAUGUAAAGUUCUUAUUUUUUCUUUAACAAAACUAGUUGAAAACAUAUAUAAAUUUGUGUGUUUAAAUUAGUUGAGGUGAAGAUUUAUUUGAUCAAUACGAAUAAUGUUAACCACAUACAUCAAUUGAAUUUUUUGCACAUUGAAAUUAUUUAAUUGAAUAAUUUCUUGAUGAUAGUGAUGAACUAAAAUAAUUAUUUUAGAAGCUAAAAGAACUAGUAUAGAAUUAAUGGCUCAUUCAAACUUAUUGUAAAUAUACUUGCUAAUUUAAUAUAUUUUUGCAUAUUCAAAAUAUCUAAAGUUUUUAUUUUUUGCUUCAUGAAAUCUAGUCAAAACAUAAAUAAAAUCCAUUUCUAAAAAAUAGCCAGGAGACGAAAAAUGGGAAAAGGACAUUUUGUCCCGGUUUCACUUUGCAACCGGGACAAAAGGCCCCCCCUUUUGUCCCCGUUGCAAACUAAAACCGGGCAUAUCCUUUUAUCCUUGUUUCAGUUUGCAAGCGAGAUAAAAGGGGGGCCUUUUGUCCCGGUUGCAAAUGGCACCCGGGACAAAAGGCCCCUUUUGUCCCGGGUUCAGUUACGAAAUGAGAUAAAAGGUGGGGAUAAAAGUAACAGUCAUCUUCUACCUCCUCCCCCCAACCCAACACUUCGUGAAAAUUUCACUAGCCUCUUGCAAGAUCCUGCGCGUCUGCCUUCCUCGCCGCCGAUCUCUCGUCGCCGCCCGUCCGCCUCAAUCGUUUGCCACCGUUGUCCUCGUCGCCCGCCACGUUGGCCGCCGUCCACUAUCGCCCCUUGAGCCAUCGCCCUAUGCCCCGGCCACCUCGCCUAUGCUCGGACCGCGGGUGCCGCCUCCUCCAUCGCCCCGGCCCACCACCUUCGUCCCGCCGCCGCACACCACCCGAUCCCGCCCGCCAUCCCCACCGUAACCCCGCGGGCCUUGCUUCCGCAUCUACAGCGCAGGGCCCUUGCGGACGUAAGGGCUCCUUUUUUAUUUUUUAGUUAGGAAAUCAAUAGAAAUUUGUAUAAAACUAGUAUUUGUUGAAAUUCAGCAGGAAAUCAAUAGGAAAUUACUAUUAUUUGUUGAAAUUCAGCAGGAAAUUCCUAGAAAAUUAGUAUAAUUUAGUUCUUCGGAUGCUUAAUAUAAUUUGUAUACAUUUUGUAUAACUUUUAGAAAUUACUAUGUUUUAUUAUAAAUGAUUCGAAAAUUAGUAGAAAUGCUUAACACUUAUUUAGUAUAAAUGCUUAGUAUAAUUUUGUAUACAUUUAUUAUAAUUUUUAUUAUGUUACUAUGAUUUAGUACAAAUACUUCAAAAAUUAGUAGAAAUUUGGUAGAAAUUCUGGCAAAUUACUAGAAAUUUGGUAGAAAUGCUUAGAAAUUCUUGCAAAACCUUGCCGUGGCGGAAGGUUUCGGCAAGGUAUAUAUUAUUUCCAAUGUUUUACCCUAUCUAUAAUGUCUUAUUCGUUAUUACUAUGUACUCAUUAACGAAUCUUGAACUGUUAGCCCUCUGGAUCGACGAACCAUCAGAAGCCUCGAGGUCGUACAAGGGUGAUGGAUGGAAGGCUUAUCAUCACAGAAGUCACAUAAGAGGGCAGGCCGGUUGCUCCCGAAAAAGUGGCAAAAAAGUACGUGAGUUAGAUCAGGUAAUGGAAGGGCAAAAGUACUAAUACAUACACUCUCCCAGAUAUAGAAAAGAAUAUGUUGUGGGAAGAUGUCAAGAAACAUUUCACAUUUCCCGAAGGAUAUAAUGAAGAUGAUGUGAAAUCGUGGAUGCUGAAGAAGAUGGCCACACAAUUCCAGACAUUCAAGAAGAUGCUAGAUGCCAACUACAUAAAGAAGGGCUGAACUUCGGAUUUCAAUGAGUGGCCAAAGUUGAGGGACCACUGGGAGGCAUUUGUCGAAUACAAGAGGAGCGAAAACGGUGUGAAUAAGGUUAGGACCAACGCUGCAAAUACUAAUCAGAAGGAGUACCAUCAUCGUCUAGGGUGAGGUAGUUAUGGCACAGCUAUUCCCAGACGGUGCAAGAUGGAACAAGACCUGAUCAAUUGGGGUAUCGUACGAGCAACUAUUGAAUGGCCCGAUCAAUUGAAAAAUUGGUAUUAUGCUCAUGGAGGCUUCCUGAGCUAAGAGGAUGGGACGCUGAUCUUCAAUGAAACAAUACGUCAGAAGGCCGAAAGGCUUAUCAAGAACAUUGAAGAUGCUAAGGCUGGGAGGUUGAAGAUGGACCGAGAGAAUGAUGAGCUCACAUUGGCCCCCGAGAAUUCCAAGCACCCAGGACGUUGCCAAGGGUUUGGGGUCGUUCUAUGGAAGUUCACUUUCCGAGGUGACAUCGCCUCGUACAAAAGCUGGUGGCGCAUGCUAGAAUCCAAAGUGCAUUCACAAGAAGUAAGAAUGCAGGAGGAAAUCAAUUAUUGAGUGGUUCGCGUAGUUGCAGAGUUGGCCCAAUCUGGAGCACUGACGCAUCCAAACGUCGCCGGCCCUUCUCAACACCUUGGGAGCAGUUGUGCUUCCACAAGGCUCUCUGAUCCGCAAACACCAAGAUUACCUGUGGACGAGCAACGGUUCCCUGUGAAUGUCAUCACGCAACGCACCUCAUGUGAGCUACAUACAUCGGUCAGCAACCUCACCAUUAAGAUAUACUUAUAUAUAAUAUUUAUGCAAUCUUCUCAAUCGAUCCAUGCCUCGGGAUCAGAGUUUAAUAACUUAUUUAUUUCUACUAUAUGUACAGGUGGCGUACAGGAGUGUAUUACGAAUCCUGCCAGGGCAGACAAGCCAUCGCAUGAAGAUUCCACCUAGCUACGCCAGCGUCGGCCUAGAGCAGCUUGCUGAUAGCUAAUAUGAAGGUCUAGAGCUCGACCUCCCAGGAGGUGACGGGGAAAGGACACUAGGAGAUGCGCUUCACGGGAUCAUUCUAUGGUGCAAUCGCUACAUCAUCAUCCUCGCACGGAGGCAUCUCCUCAAGCUCAAGACCGCUCCCCGCAGAUCCCCAGUAGCGACCAUCUCCUCAAAGCUCAAGACCGUCAUCUCCACUACGGUAUGCUCCAGGACCAUCAUCUCCAGCACAACCUGCUCCAGGUCCAUCAUCACCACUGAGACUGUUGCUUCCUGCUCGAUCAAGGUCUCCAUCUCCACCACAUCCUGGUGGUGCGAGCGACGAUGAUGACAACAACACCCCUCCCCGAUCACCAUCGUCGGGACUAAGAGCAGACCCGAGCAAGGAACCUGCGGCACCAUUUAAGAAGUCGCGACCACCACCUCCCAAGCCAAGACAGAGAAAGAAGAAAAUAAAAGAGCUUGAAGUGCCUCUUGAGGAAUGCCGGGAGGCAAUGACCCGAGCGGACUAUUGGGCCGAAGCCCAAGUAGAAGCCAGGGAGUGGUUUAGGAAAAAGUUUGAAGAAAAAAAAGGCAAGGGAGAUUGAGCCACCGCCAGUAGAUCAAAGAAAAUUAUUUUUUUAAAAAAGGAUGUAUUUCACCUAAAUAUAUUUCUUUUUGUAACAGGAAGAUAUAAUUCUUUUUGCAACAGGAAGAUGUAUUUCGCAACACAUAUUGCAUUUUAUAUAUUUGGAUAUUGAAUCAUUUGUGCAACAAAUGAUUUCACCAAAAUAUGUAUUGUAUCAUCAUGAAUAUAAAAUGAAGCCAUCUUGAUAAUCAUCAAGUAGAAGUGCUAAAUACAUUCUCCAAAACGAAAAUAAUUCAUAACUAGUGUUGGGUGAUCAAUAGCACUAAAUCUAUCUUAUGUAGGCUGCAACAAGCAUGCACUGCAUUGAUUUUCCUUGUGUCGACCAUGGCAUGACUCCGAGUCUGUGCGAUCCAUUCAAGAUGAAUGUUUCUAUUGAAAAAAAGAAUGCAGUGCAUCAGCAAAAUUCAUGAGUAAGUCACAGCCACAUAUGCUGUCACAGCAAGAGCAAAGGUCAUUCAAUUCUGAGAAUAAGAAGGCAUUAGUUCUGUCAUGGUCAUAUUAGGUAUAAACAAAAUAUGUUCAGUUAGAAAUAACUUUCAAUGCUGCAAGAAACCUUCAGCUCUUAUUGGGUCACACACAGUUCAGCUCUUUGUGUUAUAACGGACACACAGUUCAGGUCAUUGGUGGAUCCAUCUCUUUAACCUUGAGGCGUGAUUCAUUUACAUGAACCUUAUCAUUAGGUUUUCUAUCACCACAUGAACCUUGCUGCAGUUUUAUUCCUCAAAUACUGAACUGUAUCCAGUGACAAUGAAAUGAGGGCCAUGCUAGAUACCGAACUGUAUCCAGUGUUCUUACAUGCUUGUUCAGGCUAUUACAAACUUGCAAUGCAAGGACACCAAAGUGUUUCCAGAAUACUACUAAAAAAUCCAUGAUGUCUAUGUUAAGACCACUUGACUUACGUUUUCAUAAACUACAUCCUAGCUACUAAUAGUUUCCGCAUUAGUCUAGUGCUGCCAUGAUUGUUAUUAGCAAGAGAGAUGUCCAAACUGUAUGAUUGUUGCACUGAAUUGUUGUUAGCUUUUGAUAAUGUAAUGUGAUCAUAUUUUACAGGAAUAAAUUAUAUUUCUAGCUGAUUUCUAACCAAGUACAACUCUUGUUUUGCGUAGAAAAACAAAGAGGCUACUAGAUGCAGGCACAAGACUUUCUUGUGCCGGGAUGUGAUCUGAUUGGUAUAUGGAAAGGACCAUGCAGCAGGUGAUGCAGCAUGGACUACAGCAGAAAUAUGAGAUAAACAAGGAACAGAGUAGCAACAAAGAGCCUACUUCAUCGGUAACUUCAGCGAGUUUUAAGAGGCAAAGGUCUGGUGAUUCUUGCACUUCAAUGAUGGCUGAAAAUUUGGAUAAAUUAACUAAAACACUUAAACAUAGAUUAGAAAUCAGAUUUGCUUUUCAUACCUGUUGGCUUCCUGUGCACACACGUUUUGUAGCAGCAUUCAGUAGUUGAUGUGAAGUAAUAAAACCUCCUGCCACAUCACCUUGGCUGUUUUGAAAAAGACCUCGAGACACUGUACUAGUUCCAUAUUAGCUAGCAUUUUUAUCAACUAUUGGCGUAGAUACAGUUGGGAUGAUGCUCUAUGGGUCAGUCUGCAUAGGAAAAACAAGUGGAAGGAAUUUAGCUACAAAACACAUUCCAAUAUGCUCAUGUGUGUAACAAAUAUCAAAAUUGCUCUAUUCUGCAAUCUUUGAUAGCAACUUUGACAUGAUUUCUUCCCUAAGUGCAUACCUUUUCUUAUUCUCUUCUUGUUGAAUCUAUACCAAUUUUUCUUCCAAUAUCCUUUCCCUUUCAGCCUUUUCAUUUGCAAGUUGUUCUUCUAACUUGUCAACCUUAUCUUUGAGCACAUUAUUUCUCUGGUUGGCUACAUCUGUAGCAUGGGCUUGCUCUUGGAUCUGAGUGUUCAGCAAUUCACUACGUGAUGGAUUUUUAGACAAGAAAUCAUGACCAUGUUUUUUUGGAGGUUUUGCAUCCUGUACUUUGCUUGUAGGGUGUGUGGAAAACAUUGUUUUCCUCUGCAGUCGAGAUGCAAUAUGUAUCAUCUUUGUGUUCUCUCUCCGAAAGUAUUAGGCAUGCAUUGUCCUAAUUGAAAUAGCAGCAUUGGUGUUAGCAUUGGACAUAAAAAAUAUUAUGAAUCAUGUUGUUACCAGUGAACUAUGUAAAUUACUUACAUAGAUAGCCUUAGAUGCUUCAUCUGACCAUUGCCCAUUCUUCAUACAUCCAAAGACUUAUAUCACUUUUUUCUUCUCCUGUAUCCGGGUCUCUCUAAGAUGGCAUGAAUGAAGCACAUUAGUUUGACACGUAUGCAAAAAGACCAUAUAGUAUGCAAAAAGACCAUAUGGCAUGAAUGAAGCACAUUAGUUUGACACGUAUGCAAAAUGGUUUGGACCCCAUGAUAUGCUUUGUCUUUUGUUCCUUACGGUUUUUGGAGUUAGAAUUCUGCAUAAGGUUUAAGUAAAAAAAAUACGUUAGUAGUGCAGUGAUCAAAAUAAUAAUUCUAACAUGUGAUUUAUGAAAGGACGAAAAGGAAAUGCUAUCAUACCUUGAACUCAGGAGAUCCAAAAUACAACAUCAAGUGGUGCUAUUCAGCAAUGUCAAUGUCUUCUGGCUUGUGUUUCAUUCUUGCAGCAUAACUGUUGUACGCCUUGUACGUAGCACUGAAUGUUAAUCUCCAUCCUUUGUAUUGCUCCUUUGCUAUAGCCCAAAUCUUUUCCUUUUCAUCAUCAACGUUUAGAAGCUCCCACCUAUUAUGUUUAUUUGAGAACACAUUGAAAAGGAGAAGUAUUUGGUUAGUUGAGAUUUCUUAUAGCAAUCAGGCAACAGAAUUAAACAUCAUACGUACCAGUAUGUCGGAUGCUAUAGAAUUUUUCACAUUUUGCUCUAUGUCUUUCCACUUUUUUACUCCAAUCAGUGGAGCCCUUUUCCUUGUAAACAUUACCAUUUCAUCCACAAAUGACCCAGCCUUGUGGAAAAUUCAACUUUCAGUUUAUGUGAGCCGCUCUUUAUUCUUUUUGUGGCUGCUGAUAAACCCUUAAGGGCACCACGUCCACCUUUAUUGCACCCUUCACCGGUCUCCUAUGAAUCCAUUAAGUAAAAAUGGUCAGAUAAUUUCAGCAGGGAAGAUGACAUUAAAAAAAUUUACAAUGCAUAACACACCAUUUCUUGCUUUUUAUUUACGCCGAGCAUGAGAUGGCCAAUCUGUUGGUGCUGAUUGCCUGCUAGCAAGACCUUCGUUAUCAAGAAGGUUUUCAACAUCACUGUCAUCCUGAUCUAAAUAAGAUACUGCAUUUCAUAAAAUGGCUCCAUCAAUCUAUACAUUUUUUUUGUUCGCACAAGUAAUAUUAUAUUUGAGGUCUGAGUGACUGAAUAGAAAUUACUAAUGUUCUUGACGUCUUAACCAUUCUUUAUAUGUCUUGAUGGUUUCGUCCCUAUAAUCAUCUUUAAAUUCUACAUGUAAUGAAUAUGUAAGUUUACUGGACAAUGACACACAUAUCUUAUAUUAAUCAUUAUGAGCGAAGGAACUUUACUUACCCAUGUCUGGUUGAUCUUGUUGCAGGGCUGCAAGCCAAUCCUUGUAUGCAUCAAUUGGUUCCAUCUAUUGGUUCUUCUGUAUUUCUCCCCCUUGCUCGCUUCAUGGGUGUUAUAUGCUCACUAGCAAGUCAGUAUGUUGGUCCCUUGUUAGCACCAUCCUGACCUGCCUCUCUCUCUCAUUGUUAGCUAUCAUGGCUUGUAUUUGAUGGUCAUAAUCAAUAGACAUUAGGCUUGUUGUGUCCCUGCCACAUCGUUUCUUGUAGUACAUGUAGCCCCGCCCAGAAUACCCAAGCUUUGAUUUUAUACAAGUCAAGUUGUAAAAUGUGAUAUCAGCCCUAUCACAAUCAAACUCAACGUAAUCUUUAGGAUCAGGUACCCCGAUGCAUUGCAAAUGUAGAGUCCACUCCUAACCUAUGUGUACUGCACAAUUGAACAGCCUUUACACUACAUGUACUGUUUGAUAGCAAAUCUGAUGGGAAAAUGAUAAAUGUGCAGUGCUGGUUAUAUAUGAUUUUCAAAGACAAGCUACACUGGAUUUCCUAGGCCUAGAUAGAAGUUUCUAUCUCAGAUCAAGUGGAGAGUUGGUACAGGAAGUUUAGAUUCUACCUAUUAUUUGCCACUUAAUAAUCAAAUAAAAUCAGUAAUUUAGGUGCCAUGCUAUCACGGCCAACCAAUUUGAAACCAAACUGAACCGUGUAACCCGAUCUCCCAAUGAGAAACAGAAAAUGAUGGUCAAUGACUUUCAAGUAAUUGUCUACAAGACUUCUGUGAGACACUAGUCUAUCGUCCAAACUGAAAAGAAAUUCCCCUAAAAACCAAUCUGAACAACGAAGAGAGAGUGGUAGAGAAGUGCAGCAUGCACAUCAAUGGAUAAUAGAUUAAUCAGGAAAUCAGCAUCACGAACCAAGAACCAUUCCAGAAUCCACAUGCUUCCACUAAUGUUACAAAGAACCAACAGUAACAAUUACUAACACUCAAGAACCAACAGUAAAAAUGAAGUGGACAUUAAUUUCAUAAGUUAAAGCUGUAUAUGGGACAGCAAGAGAGUAAUUGGACAAUAUGAACUUCUGAAACUCAACUGAACUGUAAACAACUCUCAAGAAGAAAUUGGCCAAACACAGCAUAUUUUGGUUCUCAGUACAAAAUUUUAGAUGUACACCACAUUAGAAAUAUCCCACACUUUCAGAAGUUAAUGGAACAGAUAACUAUCUCUGCCCAAGACUACAUGCUUUCAGUCAGUUCAGAUAAGAAUUAGCAGAUCAUAGGGAAAUAUUAUUACCAGUCUAUCACCAACACAACCAACACAAUUUAUCCAGGAAUACUAAGCUACUACCAAAGAAUUUAUCAGUAACCAGUAACUAUGAAGUAGUUCAUUCAUAACUACUGCAUGCUUUCAGUCAGAUCAAUGCGUAGGGAACUAACCUCGUUGGGGGAUUAGAAAUCAUAACCUCAUCCCCAUGAUUGAACCCUGUGGGACGAUCACGACGAAGGCCAUUGUUGGUUGCAUUUGGAGCUGGAGCCCCUUGGUCAGCGGUGGCGGCGUGAGGACCAGGAGACCCUUGGUCGCCGGCAGCGUGAACAUCACGAGCGCCACGGUCGCCGGCGGCAUGGAGAGGAGGAGUCUUGCGACUGGCAGCGUGAGGAGUAGGAGUGUCACGGCUGGCAGCGUCAAGUACAGGAGUGUGGCGGUCGGCGGCGUGAGGCGGAGCAGGAGUCCGUCGGUUUGCAGUCUCCAUCGGAAGGAACAGAUGGAAAUGGCGCUCCCUCCCACACGUAUGAGUCUGGCAAUUUUAGGGGAAGGACUGCCGGGCUUUUAGUAGAUGUACUCUGAAAAAUAUGGAGGGGAAAUUAGGUGGGGUGGUGGGAAUCAUGGGAAAAAUCAUGCGAAAAAAUUGGGGACAAAAUCGUGGGAUGGAUGGAGGCACGCAAUGGAGGCGGUUUGGGGUGCGCCGCGUGUGAGACAGCGGUGGGAUGAGGGGUGGAUGCGUGUGGGGCCGGCGCGUUGUGCGGAGAGUCGGUGGAGUGGAGGGUGUGGAGGCGUGGCAGGGAGCGAGGGGGGUGCCGGGUGGUGCGGGAGGGGCUUGGAGAAGAAGGAGGUGACGUUUCUGGCGUGCGCUUGGAGAAGAAGGAGGUGGCAUGGUGGUUCCCUUGUAGGGAUACUAAAAAAAUGUAGGGAUACUAAAAAAAAUGCUACAGCUAUUCAAAUUGAAGUUCUAGAUUGAUUUUUCAUGUUUGUCUUUGAAUGAGAGAUGCAUAACUAAAGGAAAGAUAUGCCCAUGUAGAUGUUCCAAAUAAAUCAUAGAGGUAAUACACUCAAAUAAUCAAAGUGAAACAUAUAUUUAAAGGUAAUUCUAUAAAAUUUUCAUACGUCGUUGACUGACAGGGCACAUUGACUGAUGGGAGAAGUGGAACAAGGGUAAAACCAGAAGUUCUAACACUAAACUGCUGAACCGGAGAAAACCACGGACCGCGCGAGCCGAGGGAGAGAAAAAUGUGCAAAACCGAGGGUCCGAAAGUUCUGGCGUUCGAACUUGCAACCUCCUAUUUUUAAUAAAGAAGCGAUCAAACCACUGGGACAUGUGCAUAAUUUUGUUUUAGCAAAGGAAUUGCUAUUAUUUGACCAUUUUGAAACAUGGGACCAUGCUUUUGGACUAAUGGGACCAUUGCUAUAGUCGGGGUGGCCGGAUCCUCAUCGUCACCGCCUGGAUUGUCGGAUCCUCCUCGUCAUCGUCUGGGUAGCCGGAUCCUCAUCAUGGCUGUCGGGGUGCUCGGAUCCUUAAAGUACAAUGCAAGUAUCACAAAUGAAAGUAACAUGGAUUUGCCCAUUCGGAAGACCACAGUGCAAGUUAUGUACAUAUCGUUCUUUUAGAUGAGAAUAUAUAUGUCUUCCACCAUAUAACAAUAAUAAUUAGAAUAAUAUCUAAAUUUGAUCAAAAAAUUCUACAAAUUCUACAAACCGCCAUCAUCCUCAUUGCUGAUGCAGGAGCUCACGAGGUCACCCCCUCCCUUCUGCCUAGAUCAUCUUGGAAGUGAAGCUCGCACGAGGAGGAGGCGGGGCCUGAGGCGCAGCCACGCGAUAUGGUAGACGCGAGGCAGGCUGGAGCUUGGCUACCACCACGACGAUCUGUUGCUCGACCUCAGACGCAUAUAGGAGUCAGGUGUCAGAGUAGGGAGAUGUGGGGUCGAUUUCGACAAAUACGGAGGAGGAAUGUUCAACAUUGUGGGAAGGCCUGCGGUAAUACACCCAAUUCCAUAAACAUCCAAACUAAGAUAUUGAGUGUACCCAAUACCAAUUCCAAUUCCCAAGCUUCAAUAUCUACAUCCCAAUGGGGUGUUAUACUUUUAUGUCACCUAUAAGAUUUCUAAUGAUUGCAGGAUGAAGCCAUAUAUUGGAAUCGUUAUUGCAAACUGCAAAAAAUUCAACAAUAGGUGUUUCUCGGAAUUAAAAGAAUAGCAAGUUUAAAAGGGCAAAAAGAUAAAAACAUAGAGCUCCAACCGCUUCAAAAUCUGCUCCAUUCAUUCCCCGUCGUCACGCGGGCUUCGUUUUGCUCCGAAAUCAGCUGCCCCGCCGCCAACCCCUCCUUCCGUUCCUCACCCCUCCAGGCCCCAAAUCCUGUGUCUCCCUCCCCUUCAGGCCUACAUCCUCACCCCUCGCUCGCAUCUUCGCCCCUCCCCACCCGCAGACCCUCGCGCCGCCCCGAGCUCCUGCACCACCCCAAAUCCUGUGCCGCCCCAGCUCUAUCCGCAACCAAGGGGCCCGCCACUUGGAGUCCGACCCCAGCGUCACUUCUAUGCAGACCCGGAGCUGGAUGCUGGCGCCUCCCCGAUUCGACCCCAAGGAGGACACCUCUGCCGCCUCCCCAACCCAUAUUCCACACCACACCGUCGCCACUUCCCCUACCCGACCCACCCAAGCGCCACCACCUGGAGACCAACCCAGUGCUGUUCACAAUGUAUGCUAGGCAGUGCCAUCUUUCAAGAGGUAUGAAUAAUUCAAUAUCUGCUUGCUCCCAAUUUUGAUAAUUUGUGUUCCAAUGCUCUAUUGCUUAUUGUUGUUUUGCCACUGAGAUUGAAAAAGAAGAGGUACUAAAAAUUACAAUCCUUUCUCUUGUGCCAUAUGAUGAACCUGCGGCUCUUUCAAUUUGGGUGAGCUCAUCAGUACUGAAAAUUACAAUCCUUUCGCUUGUGCCAUCUGCUGUACAUUUGCUUCCUAUAUGACUAGUUAAGAUAAAUAGCAGACUUCUAUCUAGUGUAGUUGCUUAUCUUGUAAUCUGGAUGCAUACAAAGUUUUAAUAUUUAAUGUUUUGUCAUGACAAUUUUAAGUUCAACAUCAAAAAGAAAUAGCUUAAGUAGCCAAUAAUGAUAUGGGCAUGACCUCUUAGGAAAAAAAUGUUCAUUUUUAAUUAACAUGUCAAACUUAGGUGCUACAAAUUAUCACACUUAAAAUGUAAGGUUCAUUUAAAUAUCGCAAUCGAGUUGUAUCGAUAUCUAUAAUACCAAACUGAUCCUUCUUGAAUCCUCUACCUUUGCUCCUACUAGCAACAUGCACAUCAUACCAGUCACAUUGAAACAGGAUGGCUUCCUUUUGUGUAGGAAAAUCUAGUGCAUAGAUUUUUUUUUGACUACACCAUACCAGUUGAUGUUGCCAGUAGUAGCAUCAUCUUACACAACAACACCACUAUUUUGUGUAAUUAGAUUCUUCUCUAUAUGAGUUGUUCUCAACAGAAAUCCAUUGAUGAAGCACCUAUUGAAAACAUGUGCCUGAUGGUCUAGUUCUUGAGAAAGUGCAUGCAUGACUUGUUUUUCCUUCUGCAUAAAGUUUGUUGAUCUACAAGAUGUAUAAAAAAAAUUCCUAAUUGUCAAUUAAACUAUUUGCAACAAUAUAUAAGUACACGUGCACUAACAGCAAUAAAGCUAAAUUAAAUUGUAGCUCACCGUACCCUCAAACCAGCUUACAAAUUGAUCUCUAUGAUGUUGUUCAACAUUCCUGAUAGACUGUUUUCUGAGUAAAUCCAUAUGCUCACUAUAGUAAAGGGCAAAAGGGGGCAUUACAAAGUCAAUAAAAAACAUGUAUGUGCAUACUGCAAAGGUAAGUAAAUUAAAAUUACUACGUACUUGACCCAUGGAAUAGCCUUAUCACAAUUUGUUAAUAUCCAGUACCUCAUCCGUUGCAUAUCUAGCCUAGAAAUUGACUCAAUUGCAAAUCCUUUCUUAGUAUAAUCAAUGUUGCUGAAUAUGCUUAAACCAGCUGGUGGUUCAUUUAUUGCAGCGCUUUCAUGACGCUCUGGAUGAUUAAUCUUGGUGUUGACGUCAUCCAAAAAGUGAGAGCAAAAAGUCAUGCACUCCUCUAGUAUAUAUAUCCCUCUACUAUUGAACCUUCAGGAUAGGCUUUUGCCACACCCGAUUUUUGGACAAAAUUAAAUGCAUAGCAUAUGUGUGCCAGGAUCCGUUCUCACACAUAUGUUCACUUCAUAAGUGAAUACAUCAAAGACAGUGUUCAAAACAUAAACAAAAUAGUAGAUAACUUUAUUACACUCCGAAAAAUAGACACGAAGGUCUUUAAUCGUUUCACCAUUAACUUAAGAUGAAAGAAAUAGCGACAGCUUCUCCCACAAGCUUGACUGGUGAACGCUCGUCUAGAACUCCUUGAAGUUAUUGAAGUACUCUGUGUUAUCAAAAGCUUCUGAAUAGUGUUAUGUAAGGGUGAGGACACUUAUGGUUGGUACUCAGCAAGUGGGGAAAUUAUGCAAGGCUAACAAGGAGAGAUUGAUAGGCUUUUAGCGGUUAGCAUUUUUAGUUGGUCACAUUUUAUUAGCAAGCAUCUAUUUACUAGGUGUAAGUUUAUACCAACCCAAUUAAGCAUAAAGCAUCAACAUUAACCAAAAACCAAGGAACCACGAUUUAUUUUCAUCUUUAAGUUCAAUUAUCACGUGAGGGUCCAAGCUGCUCAUAACCAUGAGCACAGCUGAUAUAUCAGUUUACACUUUGCAGAAGUUGUACACUUUACCCACAACUAGUGUAACCGUGUCACCUGGGUUUGCAAAGCCCUUAAACACUUCCUUUGGUGAGUGGUUGGGGGUCCACUAUGAAGUGUUUACAAAGACACAUAGAUAACUAGUAGCCCGCUAGAGUUUCAGUAGUGGUGCGAACCAUAACCCUCCCUAAUGAGUCACCACCUUAGCUAAGGCUACUACUCCAACUGGGCUAUACCCCAACACCUUCCCCCUCCUUGCCCUUUCGGUUGCCCUUCAGUAAGGCCACUAGUCAACCACAUGUCUAAUUAAUUAGCUAAGAUCAGAGCCAUAUGAUGUUGUGCUUGUACUGUUUUCUUGGGUGGUUCUCCAUGUUCCAAUUAAAAUAAGUAAUCUUGUAAUUAUCUAGGUAUAACAACAAAUAAAGUCAUGAUUAAUAUUCUCAAAAAUAUGACAUUAGCAUCCCAAAGUAAGCAGCUAAGCAUUUCUACCUAACAAUAUUUAAACCCAGUGUUCAAGGGUCGGGGAAAAAGACUAGGUAAAUCCUUAAUAGAUAUCUCGUAAAGUAGUUCAGUGAAUUUAACAUGCUAUUAUUGGGAUGAAAAAUAAUAUGAAGGGAAAAACCACUUGCCUUCCUCGACAAACUGUGGAAAAUCUUCCUCUAAUUGCUGCUCCUAGCCUUCCUCGAACGGCAUAUUGUCUAUACGAUCACACAAGUAAAACAAAUAAAAAAUAAAAAAUAAUACACCAAACAGAUUAAAAGACUUAAAACAAACUCCUAGAACAAACGUUCAUGCAGAGACGAUCGCGUGAAUGCGAGAAUCGCUGAAAACGGAGUUAAAACGAUAAAGGCAUGAGAUAUACAAGAUUAUAGGGACCAAGAUGUAAAAACUAAUAACAUGAAGGGCUAGCAGAGAACAUUCUUAAGACUCAGUGAACAGUACUACAGAAAUACGGAAAAGAGCAGGGUUAGAUCUGUAAAAGUGCAUAGCUCUGACUAGAUUGGAAUAUCUAAAAGGUUCAGGGGGUUUCAGUGAAGUUUGCAAGACACAGAGAAAAGAUACAAAAUUAAAGGAUUCGUCAGGAGCCAAAAAGAAAGAAGGGCGAGCUCCUUCUUCUCCACUCGCUAGCGGGCUCUCUGGCGCUCCGGGUUCCCGGGCGGGUGGCGCAGGCGGCAGAGGAGUGCGAGGGGGAUGCGAGGGAGGGCUCACCGGCGGCGGUGACAGGUGGAAGCGGCGGCGCACGGGGGCUGGCGGCGGAGAAAGAACGGCAGCGGUGGCGCUUUGCUGCGGGCGGCUCCGGUGGCGGUUGGCGGCAGGAAUGGGGUGGAGGGCGCCGGGUGACGGCGGGGCGCGCUUUAUAGGGCGAGGGAGGAAGCGGAGGCGGCAUAGGAGAAGGGAAACGGGCGGCGGCGGCCGCCAUCAAUGGCCGCGGCCGUUACUGGAAGAGGAAGGGAAAGGGACGUGGGCGUGCGCGUGCGUGGGAGCGAGCGGGCGCGGGGAGCCGAAGGGCGCGGGGAGGCGGAGGGCUCGGCCUGGCGGGUGGCGUGGGUGCAGCUCAAGCGGCGGCUCCGGCUGGAGGUGAGGGACGGCCGCAACAGGUGGGGCCCGCCUAUCGGUGGGUGGGAGAGGGGAAGAGAGGUGGGCCGGGCCGGUUGCCCGCUUGUUGCUGAGUUGAGUUGGGCCGAAGGAAAAGAAGAAGGAAAAAGGCAGGUUGGGCUGGAUUGGAGAUGGGAAAAAGAGAUGGAGAGGGUUUUUGAUUCAAAAAUUUUGCAAACACCACUCAAACAAAACCAAAGCAAAAAUAAAAACUCUAUCAAGCAAUUGUUGUUUCUAAAAUUAUUUCAAGUGUUGUUUAAAUUAUUAAAGGCUGAGAUUUAUUUAAAGAAAUUUAUUAAGUCCUAAAAAAGAUCUAGACCGCACAUGGUGCUUACAUUGUUUUUUUUAUGGAAUUUGGGUGUUACAAAUCCUACCCAAUCUCGUCCCUGAGAUUCAGAAAGAUUGGGAAACAACUAAGGGAAUUCUUCAAUUAGCUCAUCUUCUCUUUCCCAAGUAGCUUCAUCUUCAGAGUAGUGACUCCACUGUACUUUGCACAUUCUGAUCUUUGCUCCAAAUAAGUUGAGUCAUCUUUCACAUUGAGUUCUUCCAAUGGUAAUUGUUCUUCGGGUACUCUGAGACACUUUUUCAGCUGAGACAUGUGAAACACAUCAUGGACAUCUGAUAGUCGAGCAUGUAGUUCUAAUUGAUAUGCCACUUCACCCUUUCUUUCCAAGAUUUCGAAAGGAUCGAUGUAACGAGGUGACAACUUCCCUUUAACCUUGAAUCGACAGAGACCUCUAAUAGGUAAUAACUUGAGAUACACGUAAUCUCCAACUUCGAAUGUCAAUUCCCUCCUCCGAGUAUCAGCAUAACUCUUCUGUCGUGACUAUGCAGUUUUGAGGUUAUCUCAAAUUAUCUGGACUUGCCUUUCAGCUUCUUUAAGAAUCUCCAGUCCAAAAACCCAACUUUCUCCUAUCUGACUCUAGUACAACGGUGUUCUAUACUUUCUCCCGUAUAAGGCUUCAAAUGGGGCCAUCUUAAGACUUGCUUGAUAAUUGUUGUUAUAGGAAAAUUCUGCGUACGGCAAGCUUUUAUCCCAACUACCUCCAUGUUUUAAAGCACAAGCUCUUAACAUAUCCUCUAAGAUUUGAUUGAUUCUCUCAGUUUGACCAUCUGUUUAUGGAUGAUACGUGGAACUAAAAUUAAGCUUUGUAUCCAUUGAUUCAUAUAGCUUUUGCUAGAAACGCGACGUGAAUUGAGUACCUCGAUCAGAUACUAUCUUCUUUGGAACACCAUGUAGACACACAAUCCUUGACAUAUACGGCUCUGCUAACUUGGCUCCAUUAUAGGUUGUUUUAACUGGUAUGAAAUGAGCAACUUUAGUUAAUCUGUCCACAACAACCCAUAUGGAAUCAUAGCCGUCGCGAGUGCAUGGUAACCCAACAAUAAAAUCCAUUCCGAUCUCUUCCCAUUUCCACUCAGGUACUUUCAACGACUAAAGUAAACCUGCUGACCUUUGGUGCUCUCUGCUUUUACUCUCUGGCAUACAUCACACAAAGCAAUGUGGGUUGCUACAUCUCUUUUCAAACCAUACCACCAAUAUUUCUCCUUCAAAUCCUGAUACAUCUUGGUACUACCAGGGUGAAUGGAAUAGGCUGAAUCAUGUGCUUCCUUCAAUAUGAGUUCACGAAGAUGGUCAAUUUUAGGACACAUAUUCUUUUCUUGAACCAAAUAGUUACUUGGUCAUAUUGAGUGAAAUCUAGGGUCUUUCUUAAACCAAUUUGGAUCUUGAUUUCCUUGAUUUUAGCAUCCAUCAAUUGCCCUUUUCUUAUCUCUUGUUCCAGUGUAGGCUCAAUUUCCAUGGUCACGGCUUCAGUAUGGGCAAUGAUUCCUAAGUCGAGUCGCUCCAUUUCCCAACACAAUUCUUGGGACAUCAACCGUGCUAUAGUCAUAUUCACUUGACCCUUUCAACUUAGAGCGUUUGCUACAACAUUUGCCUUGCCAGGAUGAUAUUGGAUAUCUAGAUCAUAGUCCUUGAUCAAUUCUAACUAUUUGCACUGCCUUAAAUUAAGAUCCCCUUGAGUGAACAUGUAUUUUAGACUCUUGUGGUCGGUGAAGAUCUGACACCUGUUCCCGAUCAUAUAAUGUCUCCAAAUUUUUAAUGCAUGCACAACUGCAGCUAAUUCCAAGUCAUGAGUAGGAUAAUUGAGUUCAUGCUUCCUCAAUUUUCUAGAGGCAUAAGCUACUACUUUGCCUUCUUGCAUCAGUACACAUCCGAGACUUAGACGUGAAGCGUCACAAUAGACAUCGAAGCCUUUGUGGAUAUCAGACAUUAUUAGCACAGGGGCGGUAGUUAACCUCUUCUUCAGCUCUUCAAAACUCGCUUGACACUUGUCAUCCCAUUUAAACUCUUUUCCCUUUUCCAAUAAUGAGGUGAGAGGUUUUACGAUUUUUGAGAACCCUUCAAUAAAUCUGCGGUAAUAACCCGCUAAUCUAAGAAAACUCCUGAUUUCGGACACAUUCUUGGGCGGAUUCCAAUUCAGCACAUCUUGCACUUUAGUUGGGUCUACUUUGAUUCCUCCGUCGGUGAUGACAUGUCCAAGGAAGGAAACUUCUUUCAACCAAAACUCACACUUACUCAAUUUGGCGUGUAGCUGAUUAUUCCGAAGCUUCUGUAACACUAAUCUUAAGUGUUCUUCAUGCUCUUCUUCAUUUUGAGAAAAUACCAAGAUAUCAUCUAUGAGUACCACCACGAACUUGUCUAGGUACUCCAUGAAUACCUUAUUCAUCAAGUACAUGAAAUAUACUAGACCGUUUGUCAACCCAAAAGAUAUCACGGUGUAUUCAUAUAGGUCGUAUCUGGAUGUAAAUGUUGUUUUGAGAAUAUCUUUUCCUUGGAUUUUUAACUGGUGAUAACCUAAUCAUAAAUCAAUUUUGGAAAAGACUUUUGCGAUUUUGGAAAAGACUUUUGCACCUCUCAUUUGAUCAGAUAAAUCUUCGAUCCUAGGGAGUGGAUAUUUAUUCUUAAUAGUUACAUCGUUGAGAGCCCUAUAAUCCAUGCACAUUCUUCUGGUGCCAUCCUUUUUAUCAACAAAAAGUAUAGGCGCUCCCCAAGGUGAAGAGCUAGGACGGAUAAAAACUUUACUUCAUAAUUCUUCUAUUUGUUUCUUUAACUCAACCAAAUCCAUAACAUCCAUUCUAUAAGGUCUUUUAGAUAUAGGUGAGGUGCCCGGUAAAAGAUCAAUAGAGAACUUGAUAUCACGGUCAGGUGGCAUACCUGGUAAAUCCUCGGGAAAGACAUCGGGGUAGUCACAUGCAACCUUGAUAUCCUCCAAAGAUUUUCCUUUUAUCUGAUUCACUAUACCCUUUUCUUCAGAUGAGGCAGUAGCCACAAACUCAAUUCUGUCCCCUUGAGGGCUAGUUAAAAGUACUGACCUCUUGGAAAACAGGAUAAUUCCAUCACAUCCUCUUAACCAGUCCAUUCCAAGAAUCACAUCAAUACCAUUGGAUUUUAGGACCACUAAGUUAGCUACAAAAUCUAUCCCCAUGAUUUUUAGAUUGACCCAUUGGCAUAAUUGACUAGUUUCCAUUUCACCACCUGGUGAGCAAACUAGCAAAGUUUUCCUCAUAGGAUGCAUAGGUAUAUUAUGCUUUGCCACAAAUUGAUCGGUUAUAAAUGAAUGUGUUGCUCCAGAAUCAAAUAAAAUGGAUGCAGGUUCAGAAUUGAUGAGGAACGUACCGAAUACAACAUCUGGAGCUUCCUUGGCUGUUUGAGCUGUCACAUGGUUCACCCUACCAUGCAUGAAGUUUUGUUGGCCCUUGUUGCCGUGAGGAUUUGCGUUUCCACUACGUGCUUGAGACUAUUGCUGACCAGGCUUUUGACCAAUGUUCUUCUGAGGUGUCUGCAUGUUGCACUUGGGGCAACUGUUGGCGUAAUGCCCUACUUCACCACACCUAAAGCAGCCAUUGGGUUGAACUAGUGUAACUGGAUUGUUUUGCACUAGUGCAUCUAUUGUAUUGCCUGCUCGGUUUUGCUGAGGGUUGGGGGUGCGCUGCCCUUGUUGGUUGAAGUGCUGGGGUUGCUGAGAAGAGCGUUGAAAUUGUUGGUUCUGCUGAUAGCUUCCACCUUGUCCUCCACAGCAGAAUUGAGAUCCUUGUGAUGAGUUGAAAUGAGGAUGAGUGUUGCUGCUGGAUUGCCCUUAGGAUUGGAACUUCCACUUUUGCUCACCAAGUUCCUUAUGCUUAUUCUCCAAGCCUAUAGCUUUGUCCAGUAGUGUCUGGAUGUUAGGGAAAGUGUGACUCUGCAGUGGCCCUAUCAGACCAUCCAAGAAACACUCCUGUCUCUUUUCAUCAGUGUCCACUUCAUUUGGCGCGUAACGAGACAAUUGUGUGAACUUGUCUCAGUACUCGCUGACUGUCAUGCUGCCAUGUGUCAAAGAUAGAAAUUCCUUCUGCUUGAGCUUCAUCACACUAGCUAGGAUGUGGUGUGUGCAAAAAAUGUUCCUGAAUUCCUCCCACGUGAUGGCGUUGGUGUUGGCAUGUGCCGUGGUGUAGGCAUCCCACCAAUCAGCUGCAGAUCCUUCCAAGCAUGCUACAGCGUACAAGACCUUCUCAUGAUCAUUUGCACUGUGCCAAAUCCAACUUCUUACUGAUGACUUUCAGCCAGUCAUCAGCGUCCAAAGGAUCCACUGAGUGAGAAUAGGUGGGAGGGUGAUGGCUCAUGAAUUCUCUGUGCUUGUCUCUGGGUGCUUGAGAUGCCUGCGGUGGUUGCUGGUUUUGUUGGGCUUGCAGAUUUGAACAGUGGCGGUAGGUCUGCAACAGUUGCAUGUAAGCUGCCAAAAACUGUUCCAUUUUUGAAUUUGGUGGUGGAGGUGGUGCUUGAUUCUGUCGGUUGAUUAUGUGAGCACACCUUUGACUUGGGACAUCCUAUCCUCCUCCUGACCUAGUGUUUACCAUCUGAUUGUUACAAAAAUGAAUCCCAGAUAAGACUGAUGAGUUGAUAAUGCAGAUAUAGGAGUAGAGAGCCAAGAUUUAAACCCAGAUAGACUAUUAACUUUAAUUUAUUUAAUGAUGCAUUAGUGGUCAUCACUCCACAAAACAUCUCAGUCAUUACAAAGAUCCAAAUCAAACAUUAUUACAUCACACGUCCUCGCAGGAAUGGUUCUAUUGAGACAACUCUGGAAGCCAACCUAGAAACCUAGCCUAGAAGACCAGUGAUGGAGCCAGAUGCGCGAUAGCGAAGCCUCUUGCGAGGUGGUGAAAUGGAAGGGUAGUGAAACUCGUCCGUCUCCUCGGGUGGCUCCUCUCCUGCAAGCUGGGCCUCCAACUGUGCAAUCUUCGCGUGAGCGUCCUGUAGCUCCUCAUGGGUCUUGGCAAGCUCCGCGGUGGCUCUAUCGAGGUUAGUGUUGAGAGCUGUGGUGACUUGAGCAAGGAUGUUGAUAUGGUCUUCUCCAGCUUCUCCCAAUAGUACUAUUGUAUCCUUUGUGCCACUUUGACGACGAGGAAGGUGAUGGUACUCAGUGGAGCUCAGCUCCUGGCGAUGGGUGAAGUAGAGGGCCCACAGAGCUCUCCUGGCGGCAUCGCUGACAGAAGCGGCGUAGGUAGUGUUGGGUGUAGUGGAGUCGUGCGUCGAGCGAGUCCCCAAGCCCCUGGAAGUCUCCAAAUGUUCCCGGAUGUGGACUUGGGUGACAAAGUAGCCAUCCAUUGUGGAGUAGGAGAUGCACUAGGUGAUGCAAAGGGGCUUCAUGGUGCUUCCCAGCUUCUGCAGCACUUUCCGGAGCAGCGUGGGAAAGUAGCCAGGCUCAUCCUUUGAGUGAAACUCACAGGUUGGCGUCAAACUAUGAGGACCAUCAUCCUGGUUUCCAUCUCCGUCAUUGUUGUUGUCUUGGCCAUCGUUGUUGCUAUGGUCGUCAUCGUCCUCAUCUUCAUCAUCGCUGUCAUCCCCGGAGUCAUCCAGGUCUCCACCAACGGCGGCAGGUGCUGGAGCGUCCGAAGUAGGAGCAGCUGAUGGUACUAGUGAUGUUGUCGAGAUCACCAGAUUUCCAUCCGAGUUGACCUCCAUGAUGUUGCCAUCUUCCACCUCAAUGUAGAAGUAGACCUCUUCCGGAUCCUCCUCAACUUCUUCGAUGGGUUGAGUCGGAGGAGCUGGCUGAGCGGGGGCAAUGUGAACCUGAUGACUUCAAUUGCUUUUGCGAGCAGUUAGCUUGGUCCUUGCCAUCUGACACAACAAGCACAGAAACUCAGAACAAGUUCAAAACCAAAAGAGACCAGAUUUUGACAAAGAAACAAGAAUAUAGAUUUUUAUGAGGAAACUAAGAUGUUUUUGAGAGCAGACAUGGCUUGCUAACAAUGUGCCCAUCAGCAUCAGGGAAUGGAAGAAUAAAAGUACUAAUCCAUAUGCACUCCCGAAUACAGAAAAGAAUAUGAUGAGGGAAGAUGUCAAGAAACAUUUUACAUUUCCCAAAGGAUAAAAUGAAGACGAUGUGAAAUCUUGGACGCUGAAGAAAAUGGCCACACAAUUCCAAACAUUCAAGAAGGGCCGAACUCUGGAUUUCGACGAGUGGCCAAAGUUGAGGGACCAUUGGGAGGCAUUUGUCAAAUACAAGAGGAGCAAAGAUGGUGUGAAUAAGGUCAAGACCAAUGCUGCAAAUGCUGGUCGGAAGGAGUACCAUCAUCAUCUAGGGUGAGGUGGUUACAACACAGCAAUUCCCAGAUGGCGCAAGAUGGAACAAGACGUGAUUGAUCAAGGUAUCGUACCAGCAACUAUUAAAUGGCCCGAUUGAUCGAAAAAUUGGUAUUACCCAUGGAGGCUUCCUAAGCCAAGAGGAUAGGAUGCUGAUCUUCAAUGAGACAAUACAUCAGAACGCCAAAAGGCUUAUCAAGAACAUUGAAGAUGCUAAGGGUGGGAGGUUGAAGGUGGACCGAGAGAAUGAUGAGCUCACAUUGGUCCUCGGGAAUCCCGAGCACCCAGGAUGUUGCCGAGGCUUUGGGGUCAUUUCGUGGAAGUUUGCUUUUCGAGAUGACAUGGCCAUGUACAGAGGCUGCAAGAGAAGAAAGGAACAGGUUGAGGAGAGCUGGCGGCGCAUGCUAGAAUCCAAAGUGCAUUCACAAGAAGUAAGAAUGCAGGAGGAAAUCAAUUGUUGAGUGGCCCACGCAGUUGUGAAGUUGGCCCAAUCUGGAGCACUGCCGAAUCCAAACUUUGCUAGCCCUUCUCAACACCUUGAGAGUAGCUGUGCUUCCACAGGGCUCCCGAUCCAUAGACGCCAAGAUUACCCGUGGACGAGCAACAGUUCGUUGUGGAUGCCAUCACGCAACACACCUCAAGUGAGCUGCAUACACCGGUCGGCAACCUCACCAUUAAGGUAUACUUAUAUAUAGUAUUUAUGCAAUCUUCUCAAUCGAUCCACACCUCGGGAUUGGAGUUUAAUAACUUCUUUAUUUCUGCUAUAUGUACAGGUGGCGUAUGGGAGUGCCUUACCAAUCCUGGCAGGACAGACAAGCCAUGACAUGGAGAUUCCACCUGGCUAUGCUAGUGUUGGCCUAGAUCAGCUUGCUGAUAGACAAUAUGAAGGCCUAGAGCUCGACCUCCCGGGAGGCGACAAGGAAAGAACACUAGGAGAUGUGCUUCACAGGAUCAUUCUAUGGAAAAUGCUACAUCAUCAUCCUCAGCAAGGAGGCAUCUCCUCAAAGCUCAAGACCGUUCCCUGCAGAUCCCCAGUAGCGACCAUCUUCUUAAAGCUCAAGACCGUAAUCUCCACCACGACCUACUCUACGAUUGUCAUCUCCAGCACAACCUGCUCUAGGAUUGUCGUCACCACCAGGACCGUCACUUCCUGCUCGCUCAAGGUCUCCAUCUCCACCAAAUCCUGUUGGUGAGAUCGAGGACGACGACAACAACACUCCUCCCCGAUCACUGUUGCUAGGACUAAGAGUGGUCCCAACCAAGGAACCUGCAACACCACUUAAUAAGUCGUGAACACCGCCUCCCAAGCCAAUAUAAAGAAAGAAGAAAACAAAGAAGCCUGAGGUGACUCCUGAGGAAUGCUGGGAGGCAAUGACUCAUGUGGAACGCUGGGCCGAAAUCCAUGCAAAGGCCAGAGAGUGGUUCAGGAAAUAGGCUGAAGAAAAAAAAGCAAGGGAGAUGGAGCCACCACUAGUAGAUCAAAGAGAAUUAAAUUUUUUUAUUAGGAUGCAAGAAGGAGCCAAGAAGAGGAUACCACUGCUAUCAAACUACAAAUGGGCAUUAGUCAAGGCUGAUGAGAGGAAAUAAAUGAAAGGAAAGUCAUCUUCAAGUGGUCCUGUCCCUGACCUCGGGCAUCUACUAGAAAAAAACGCUAAAAAUAUAGCAGCAAUGCCUUGGAUCAACAAGCAGAAGUAUUGAAAUUCAUGGAAGAAACAUGUAUGGGACUUGAUGAAUAUCUAGGGCAAGUUGAGUGUGAUAGCCCUAGUAAUUAAAAGACCAAAUCAGAGAAUCACCGAAGUGAUUACGAAGCAGCUCAAAGCUAACUCCAAAUUGCAAUGAGUUAAGACCCAAAAACACCGCAAAUUUUGCUAAGUUUUAAAACUCCCUUCUAUUGAUAAUCACUUGUGAAUUCAAUAAAAAUAAAUUUUAUAUAAGAACUUAAAUUUUGGCUAGUAUAAAAGUGGUAGAGCUUUUGACAUUGAACAACCUUCAUAAUUUGCACUUUCUCGAAUUAGAAGUGGAAAGUCUUCAAAAACUAAGUUGAAGGUCAGUCAAAUUUCAAAUCAAAUUCAAAAACAGUUUUGACCGACAUCCCACCAAAGUUCCCACAAUCCUAUCUCCAAAUCCGUCGAGCUUUUCAUCUAUUGACCUUUGUAAAAAUUAUAGCAUGUACCUCGAACUCCAACUUUUAUUUUUGGAAAUUCAAACGCCUAGUUCAAAAUUGGUGAGAAAACAUGUGUUGAAAUCCACACCUUCGCACGCUGCACAUCCCAAGCUUUAUUGUGCAUUAUUGAGCAUCAUGAUCUAUCAUGUGUGCAUUAGUGAGCAUCAUAAACAUCAUUUGUGCAUAGUAAGCAUCAUGAGCAUUACUUGCGCACAAAUGAGCUUUUUGGCCAUGCAUUGUUUAAGUUCACAUAAAUUGUUGUUUAUAGUUGAAAAACCAAACUUGUGAAGCAACCCAAAUUUUUGCUAUACAACUAUGUCUCCUAUUAUUUUAUUUAAAUACUAGAUACAACUUAGUGAUUUAAAAAUAUUUUUACCUAAUUUUUCAGAAAUGUUUCCGUGUGCUAAAAAUUCUUUUAAAGUUCAAUUGUGGCUGUUUUGUUUUGUCAAUUGUGCGAAAACCAGAGCUGAUCUUGAGCUGAUUUUUAUGGGAUUGUAUUCUUUGUGAUUUUAUCUUUCCAACGUGUAUUUUUGGAUGAUUUUUGGACAAAUGUAGUUGGGUCAAAUAAGGAGAGAAAAUUUGAAUGUUUUAAUCCUCGUGGGCCGACACGUCAGCUUCAUCUUCCUCCUCCGUUCCACGUUGUUCUUGCUGGUUGGGCACACAGGUGCCAAAAAUCGCUGGUUGGCCAGCUUCGGCCGCGCCAGCAAGGCUCCCAUCACUGGAUUGGUCACCCGAGCAUCGCCCACGUGAUUCCCCCUCCAUCCCACGCCUCUCCUCACGCCCCGGUUGGGCAAGACCCUGACCGCAUGACAUGGGCACCACACGGCCAUCAGACUCCGGUGACGCCCCUCACCACCAAUGUUGUGCAGCGUCAUCGUGUCAUCCUUAUUGUCUCGCCCAUCCUUUAAAGCGGCCUCUCCUCCAAGCCUCCUGCCUCCCCCAAGCCUCAUUCCCUUCCAACAGAAGCUUUUGCCCAAACCGAGCUCCGCAACCCCUCUCUGGUCGCCGGUGAAAUACUCCCAACUCCAGCCACCUCCCUCUAAUAGCCCGUGCCCUAAGCUUCUCCACUCCCUUGACUCCGCCCUCAACCCCUCCUCGUCGCUCACCGUCCACGGAGCAGCAAGGAAUCGCACUUUUCCCUAGCAGCAGAAACUUCCAUCCGUCGCCGCCUACCUCGCCAUGGAGAACCAUCUUCUGGCCAUCCUCGUCCUCAACCGAGUGCUCAACUCGAACCUCAGUGAGUCCCUGGUGCUCGUGCUCGCGUGUUCUUCCCAUGUUCAUCAACUUUCCAUGCUCGUUCCCACACAUGUCGCCGGGCGCGCCGCCGUUCCUGGUGCCCUGCAGGGCCACCCCUUUCCCCCAGCGCCGGACCUGCUACUAGCAAGGCCCUUGGCCUAGGGGUGCCACCUCACCCUUUGCCCUGCUGCUAUGCCACUUCCCCCUACCGUCACUAGCUCCAGUCCAUGCACCGGCUGAGCCUACCUGUCUGUCCCGUGCCUGUGUGUCUGGAGGUUGAAGAAGGACCCGAUUGCUUUGUGAAAUAGAAGUCCAGGGGGUUAUGGGGGAAACAUCAGGGUUUAUGUGUGAAGUGGGUUUUUGUCCAGGGGCUCGAGCAAAAGAUGUAGGGGCUUAGUUGUGAAUGCAGGGGCAGAUCUGUGGGAUGAAAAGUUUUUCCAGGGGUCUAGAUGCGAAGCUAGUUUGGAUCUUUUUCUUUAUAAAAGCUGAGAAAUUCAAAAAGGCAUAGAAAAAUGUAGAAAGAUGCUAAAAUGUGAAUCUUGUUUUUUUGGGUUCCUAAUGAGGUCUAGUUUAUUUCAAAAAUGAUUUUUAUGCAUGUUACUAUUCUGUGGUAGGUUCUAUGAUUUAUUUUGUGUGAAAGCCCUUAAAUUCUUUAUAAAUCAUAUAGUGCUCUAAACAUUGUGAAACCACUUUUGUUAGGUUCCAUUUGAUAUGAAUGUUUCAGAUCUACAAGUUGUGUUAAUGUAAUCCAUGGUGUUCCUACUGCUUUAAGUUUAAAUGCUUAUUUGUUGUCCUCAUAAUAUUAAUUGCAUGAUAAUUAGUAGAAAAUUGAUAAAAUGAUAAAACCACUUCUAUUAAACUUUGUUUUCCACAUAGGAUCCAGGUAAAAAAUUAUGUUGAUACUUUUAUGGUUGAUUGACAAGCCUUUUUAAAUUUAAUGUGCUUAAUGGUAGUUUAACUUGUUUAAUUCAUAUCUCCCUAUUAAGAAUUGCUUUUGAGGUGAAUCCAACUCUGAUAGUUUUGCAUUGUUAUCUUCUAUUAGUGCCAUUUAGUUCAUGCUUAUCUCUCAACAAAUGAUUUUAAUCUCGUCUUUUCGUGCUUGCUUAGCUUAUCAUGCAAAAUAGUGUCUCUCAUCCUUCGUGUAUGAUUUUGUGUUGUUAGUUGCAAGAUUGCUCUAUUAACAAUUUUAUAAAAAGGAAAACUACGAAAUCACUUUUGUUAGUUCGCAUGCAUGAUUGAAAUCCUUAGUCAAAUAGUCAUACCUUCCAGUGACAUGAGGCUAGUACCGUUGUUUCCCUAGAACUUGUUCCCUUACGUUACAAAUAUACUUGGUCAUGGAGAUGUGGUUGAUAUUUCCUACAGGACUCGUAGGCAUAUGUAUAACUUAGUGCGUGUUUAGCUAAUUAUGAAACCAAAUUUUGAUAGUGUUUUUAUACAUGUCCUGUAAAUUAAAAAUAAUGACAACCAUGUGAUCUAAGGGUUUUCUUGGUAAUCAGUUUGUGUUUAUUUUCAACAUAUAGAUCAUGCUGUUGUUUGGUUCCUGACUUCUUGCACUAGAUAUCCUCGCAAGCUACAUGCAUUUCAUGAGCAUUUGCACUCAUAGCAUCAUCCCUAAUGCAUGCACACAUUUUUAUUCUUUUAGAGAGCAAUUUGCCGGUUAACGUGACCUUUGAACCCUUGAGCCGAGGCUAGCAUAAAAAUCGAGUUUGAACCCGAAAAGAACCAAGGAAAGCUGCUAAGCAUAAUUGUCUCCCACUAUUUAAAAUGGUUUUGUUCCUAUGCAUCACUAUGGGUUGCAUGCGGUUAUCUCAUUGCGUUAUUAGAACUUAUGUGUUUGUUAGUAUGGAUUCCCUUACUUUGUUAUCAUACACCUCCUCGCUCGAGUAGUGUGAGUUAGAAUAACUUAAUCUUGCAAAUUGCUUAGUCCCUCUUAGUCAUAAAAUGAUCACUUAGUAAAGGAAAUGGUCAUAGGUUAGUCAACACCGUUUCUAAUAAGGGUCUUAAUGUCGUUAAAACAAAUGAACAUGAUGGGUAUUGUUGGAUACGAGUUUGAGUAGUGUAUAGGAGUUGCAACCACUGACGUCACCAGUUAACACAUAGGGCACGACACAUAUUAAGCUUCUUACGUCGUGAUACAAAACUACUAAAAGUUAAUGAUGCAACUUAUCAUCCACUCCUAACCAUCAAGUGCUUCAAAAACCACCCCUAAGUACCUUAGGACAACCCCCACAUAAAUAUAAGACAAGAUAGAUUAUGAGCAUCUUAAAUAAACACGUAAGUGGAUGCAAAAUAACUAGGACAUGAUUAAAUUGGAAUAGAACUUGUAUUCAUUAUUAUUUCACAAAACUUCAUUAAGAGGGUUGAAACACUCAAGUAAUAAGAAGGGUCUAUUGAAGGUAGAAAACUAAGGAACAUUGUUGUAAGCCUUGAAAGGUUCUAAGUGUUGUUCGGUAAAAGAGAAACUCAAACUUGACUAAAACGCAUUAAAAUGGCUGAAACUUCGGAAAUCCAUAGAAAGCAUAGAGAAUGGAUAAAAAUGCAAUAUAAAUCAUUCUGACUAGGAAAAAUCUUUGCUUAUGUAAAAUGUGCGUUUAACAUUGCUUAAAUAAAUACAUGUGGUUUAAUGUACUUACUAUGUGAUGAAUAGUUUUCAUGCUCCUGAAUCCCAGUAGCCUAAGUUAGUGUUGGAAACCCCUCUGUAAAUUUUGUAGAGCUAAGCUGACAAUAAAAGACAAGCCCCGGAGCAUAACCCAGUUUGCUAAAAUUAUGCACUACUUAUAUUACCUAUGUUUGUGCAUUUAAGUUCAUAAGAGUUGCUUGAAACCUUAGUUGCAUGAUCCUAAGUACCUAUGUUUGAAUACUAACAUGAUAGGUUGUGUAGUUGCAAUGCUAAAUAGGGACUCGGUAAAAGUCGAGUGAUUUCCUAUCCCUCGUGAGUUAUAGGAGUUGUCUGUUUACUUAUGUUGAAACCAUAAGGAUGAUGGGCGGGGUCGGGCAAUUGGUUCUGAAUUGGUGGAUUUGCCCCGUCUAUCUAGUGAAAAAUGUGCUAAGGUCGAACCAUGAUAGUAUUCAUGGUCAAGUGUAUGAAAGUACUAAGCUCAUACCUAGUAUGGGAUGGGGAAGCCUAGUACCUGAUUAGUCCGGGAUGUGGGCAUACCUACCCACUCUCUCUGGAACUUGUUUCCCCUGCUACAGCAUGUGGGUACAAGUGCAGCCACGGUACGACAUUCUUUUGGGACGGUUGGGGCAUUGUAUCUAAUGGAAGUGGCACCUGACCACGUGCUGGGGAUUGAUGGGGACAGUUGAAAUAUGUGGACCCAACGUGGUAUGCUUAUGUCAUGGGUUUAGGUUCACUUUGCAAGAUUGAUGGGGACAGUUGAAAUAUGUGGACCCAACGUGGUAUGCUUAUGUCAUGGGUUUAGGUUCACUUUGCAAGAUUAAAAACUUGAUUCGAAUAGUCUAUCUCUCAUAAUUUGAGACUACUUGAUCACUGUGCUGCACUGAGUAAAAAGUGGAACAAGUAUGGUGAUUAAUAUUGAUGCUUGAUUAAAUUGCUUGAUCACCAUGCUUGCUUAGAAUAGGUGCUUACAUAGAAUGGAUAAUCAACUAGAACCUGAUGCUAAAACUUGAAAGUAAGAAUCUACUUUAGAAGCUUUUGGCAAAACAAACCGUUCAGCCAAAAAGCCUUGCAUGUCUAGGAGUUGGUGGAGUAGUUACCACCUGAUAGGUAAGUCUUGUUGAGUAUUAGUAUACUCAGCCUUGCUUGUGGCUUGUUCAGGUUUGUUGUUAAGUUGGCUGCUAGUGUGACUUGGCCAUCCCAACUCCCUCCGGGUUGGACUAUCAAGUGGGAUCCAUCCUCGGUCGGUGAGGAACGUGGUGCUUGAUAUCAUGGCAGGCUUCACCAUGGUAUUGCUGUAUCGAUGCUAGACUACCAUUUUUCUUUUCCGCUGCUUUUGAACUCUGAAACUCUACCUUAUGCCUCUGAAUAACUGGUUUGUAGUAACUCAAUGUGGGACCUGUAAUGAAGUAUCUGGAUUGUUGUAAUCUCUAGACUCGUCUUUGUGCGAGUAUGCUUUGUUUCGAUUCGAGACAAGUGGUUUUAUUGGGUGAAACCUGUUGGACUACCAUUUUAACUUGAUUAAAGUGUUCGUUCGCAUAUGAGGCGAAGUUGAGUACACUUUAGCCAGGUUAAUUUGGUAAGGCCUAAGUUGGUACGGAAGCUAUCAACAGAGAUGUAUGAAUUCCAUGGAUGGUACAUGAAGUUGUCCACCGAUGAGAGGGAGAUGUUGGGCUUUAAGGUUAAACCAAUAGAUUUUUAUGGUGAAGGCGAGAAUAUCAUGUGGCUACAAUUCAAGGAUAUAUACGAAGUGUACCAUCAUGAUAUCCUGGGCGUCUCUCUAAUCAGUGCCUGGGUUCUAUAAGUAUCCAUUUAUCUACAUGUAAAUUUUGGCUCCUAUCAUUAUUUUUUGUGCGUGCAUCGUCGUACUAACUUUGUCUUCCAUUUUAUGUAAGAUGCUAAUACAGACGUGCUGACGAGAAGCGUGCCUCCAUGUUGGCUUCAUGGAUCCAUCCCUAGUUAACCAAAAAUAGAUACAGGAUGCGCCGGACAAAACGUUGGUGGAAGUAUACAAUUUCCUAGACAAACAAAAUUACAAGGAUUUCAUACUACCAUACAACUUCAAGUAAGUGUGUGUAUACCAUCUAUUUUCAUUUUCUUUUUUCUUACCUGAUUAAUGUUAGUUAGCUCUAAUAUAUAUGAACAUUUACGUACGUAGCUACCACUAGAUCCUUAUUAUAAUUGAGUUUAAAAGAAGCCACGUCACUAUCUUCGAUUCGUUGAGGAAAGAUCCGGUGGAGUACCAAGACAUGCAAGACAUGCUAGGCUUGUAAUAAUUUUGGACCUUUAUCGCAAAAGUUUGUUUUCUAAAUUUUCACCUAACACUAUAUCAUUUAUUAUUUUAAUUCGCAGCACAUGGACAUAGUUCAUCAGGACACACAAAGGUUCAUUCAAAGAAAAACUUACAUGGACCACAUGCUUCCUGGUAUGUAUGAAGUCUACGUAUUAUGUACAUUCUAUAGCAUGAAUAUUUCAUAACUUCUUUUUCUCCCCACUAAAGUGCUUAAGAUAGGAACUCCGGAAUAAUCUAUGUGGCUACUACGUCUGUGAGCAUAUACACAAUUUUGUGGGACCCAAGGGACUAAAGAUGACACUGCACGAAUAUAAAGUACGUAAAAUAAAACUAUUAAUAGUUAAUUAUUUUCUACCUCCUUAUAUUUAAUUGUUCGUGUAAAAUUCAUAUGUCUCCAAAUUAUAGAUGUAUAAUAUUCAACAGGGACUCUUGAGGAAGGAAAGAGUAGCGGUAACAUGUUAAGGUCUCAUUGGAUUCCUAGUGGACGAGGUGGUAAAUCCACAAGGAGAAUUUUAUUACGAUGGAUGAAAAUUAGAUGCUCCGAGCAACACCUCGAUGGGAAGAUCGUAGAUAGUUUGAUUUGUAGAAUACGCUAAGAUUUGUAUAGUAUGCUAAGAAUCGUAUAUAUACUAAGAAUUGUAUAUAUAGUAAUUAUAUAAAUACUAGUUUGAUUCAUUUAAAUACUAGUUUGAAUUCAUUAUAAAAAAGUCUCAAGUACUGAAGGUUAACUAAAGGGUACGUACGUGAUGCAUGAAAUUACAGGUGUCAUGGGGGGCGCGCCUGAAAUUUCAAGUAGGACUUUAGUCCCGGAUGAUUUUAAAACCAACCAGAAGUAAAGGGGCCUGUCCCGCGCCUGGCGUGGCAGGCCCUUUAGUCCCGGUUGAUUUUACCAACCGAGAUUAAAGGGGGUCGUUAGUCCUGGUUCAAUGACCCGGGACUAAAGAUCCUCCCUUCAUCUCGAUUGUUUUAUACAGGAUGAAUUUUCGGAAGAUUUACUCCCUGCCAACCAGGACUGCGAGUUUUCCACCUUCGUAGCCACUACUGGGAAGCCGCCAUCGGUCAUCGUAGCUGUCGUCCGGAGGGGUCUGGUCGCUAUUGAUGAUCUCCUACUCCGAGAGGGACACCAGCUCGCCAGUCGUGAUAUGGUGCAGGCUGUCGAUCGUGGCGAGGAACUCCUCGCUGUUUUCCAGAUUUCUCGUUCAUGAUCAAGGAAUGAUUAUAGCGCAAAAUUGGUUGUUUUUUGGUAGAGCACAUGCCAUGGAUAAUAGAGGAAUGCCUUGUGUGAAGCGUGAGGGGUAAACUGAGAUAUCAGGAGAGGGGAGGAGAGGAGAAAUGUGAACUUUUUUUAUGAAUUAUUAUAUCUCUACCUGGCUAUCAUCCGAACUUAGUCUGUCCAAACUAUAAAUAAAUUUGAUAAGUUCUAUUUUUCGAUCGUCUAUUGGACUUAAGAAAAGACAACUGUUUUGCGCUCAUACGAUACCCACGGUCAUCAAGGGACAUGAGCAUUUUAUUUUUUAUUUUACUUUAUUGCACCUUCUAAAAUAACUACUUUUUAUAAAAUAUAUGAUUUUUGAUACAUUUAGCUCCUAAUAAAUACAUGAAGGGGGAUACGCUCUUGGAUCCCUAGUUUCUAACUACGAUGUGUCUUCCAAAAAUGCGUGACCUCUAAUGGGGACAAUACAAGGACGUGUAGGUGCAGGCGCAUAUGGUAUCUACUCCUAAGUCAGAUCAGGACAUCUGCCCAAGGAAAAACUCGAUGUCCUUGUGGUGCAGUGUUGCUUCACUACUGUCAAGUCUUGCAUUGCUGCACAUGUUUAGUGUUGUGCCUUUAUCAUCGUCACACUCUCUGUUUCUAAAUUAGAGUUAAGUUUAGCUUUAUAUUAAGUGAAACUCUCUUAGUUUGGCUAAGUUACUAUAAAAUUACUAACAUCUAUAACAUCCAAUUAAUUUUGUUAAAUAAAUUGAAAUAUGAUAGUACAUUUAUUUGUGCAAAAUAUGCUAAAUAUUAAUGUUCAAAGUGUUAACAUAUUUUCCAUAAACUUUCCAACUAUUAGUUCUAUAUUAAAUUCACUAUGUAAUAUGUUUUGACAGUAUAUAUUUAUUUUAGUAUUAUAGGUGCUAAAAUAUUUUCUAUAACUUGAUUAAAGUCAAACUUUUGAUAAAUGUAAGUGAACCAUAAUUUAGAACAGAGUAAUUAUAUAGAAUUUGGAACGAGGAAGUCCUAACAGGCGGAUAAAACUUUGAGAUCUGAAAGAGAGGCCGAGACACGCGCCAUUCAAGUUAAGCAUUUGCGGUGCACACGAAAGAAAUGAGGAAGCAGCAUAACAAAAAAUCCGAAACGAAUGGAAUAUGCCUACUUGGUCCUACUUCAGUUGAGUCCUUUGUGAUUGACAAAUAGUUCCCAAACCUGCUUAUUUUAUUUGCUCCCGUAUAUUUCAUGAAGAACCUUUGCCAAUGUACCAAGUAUAGGCAAGUAUGCUAUUACUCUCUCAACAUGGUUUUUCCCUUGCUCAGUACACACAAUUCAUCAACAUCAGUACAGCCGUACAGCACCAUUAUCUCAUAUCAAGUGCAGAAGAAGAAAAACACUGUUUCAUCUCUUGUCAAAAGAAGGAUCAAAUAAGGAACGACCGUGAAUGAACUUGGCUUAGAUGGUUCAAGUCCUAGGCUCCUGUUUUUCUAUAUUUAUUCUAAGAAUUAAUGGCAUUAUUUUUAUAGGGUAGCUAGUCUCCAUCAAUAUCUACCAACCUAGCUAGUCUCCUACAAACGUCCCAUAUACGUUUGUAGGGUACGAUGGCUUACCUUAGUAUGUAUUUCAGUUGAUACGUGGCGAGGCACCUGGCAAUCUCUCCUGACUCUCCAUGCAGCCACACUCACAUGGUUGAGAUAAUAGCGCGAUGAAGGAUACACUUUAGGUCACUUGGCUGACAUGACCCUUGACUAACAAGAUGCCAAUGGAGAGCUCCUUAUCCUCGUUGCUGCAACUUAUUUUACAUGUACUAUUAUUACUUCACCGUGUGGUACUAUAUAGAAUAUUUCUAAAACAAUAAUCAAACAUAUUUCAAGCUUAAAAACACUUUUAUUGAAAAAUAUAGAUUCUCAAAUUACUUAUAGACUAAAUAAUCAAUCGUAAAGUCUUAUCUGCCAUGGUUCUUAUUUGGAUCAGUCUUAAGAUAUCAAUUUCGAUCUAUAGGGGGAUAGAUAGGUUAACUCCAACAAUCGGAACCGUGAGAGAGAUAACAUCUCUAUCUCAUAUGGUCAUUUUUUUGAACUGUAGGAGAUACUCUUCAUGGGUUUUAUUUAGAACCGUGGGGGAGAAGAUGAUACGAUUCGUUGCUCCAAAAACCGCGAGAUUCAUCUUAAAGGAAUCUUAAUUCCAGCUACUAUUUGAGGUAAAGAGCUUAUACGCUAAAAUCAAACUAUUUUUCCUCGUGGUAGAGAGAGAUCUUUUAGCUAAAACCAGGAUGGAACAAUUUAGCACAUUUGGUAACUAAAUUAGCUUCGAGAAUUGUAAGAGAUAGAUCGAGAUGUGCGCCAUUGAGGUUAAGACCUUGCUAUGCACACGGAGAAAUUAAAAGAGGAAGAAGCAUGGCAGAUGAUAAACUGAAAUGAAGGAAAUAUACCUCAAACUAUGUACUGACUCGGUGCUACUUCAGCUGAGUACUUGGUAAUUGACAAAUAGUUUCCCAUGCUCCCCUAAUUUCAUUUAUUUGCUCCCAUAUUUUUCAUGAAGAACCUAGCCAAGUACCAAAGUAUAGGCAAGUAUGCUAUGAUUUUUCCCUUGCUCAGUACACACCUAGUCAUAUCAGCAUCAGUACUAUAGCCCGCAUCACCAUGCAUAAUGCAUUAUAGCAGAUCAAGUGCAGAAGAUGAAAACCACUGUUACAUCUGCUGACGAUAGAUCUACAACCAUCGCCGUACCGUGGCACCGGUAUAUAAAUGCGCCCACACUACUAGCUAGCAGAUCAAGGGACAUGAGCAUUUUAUUUUUUAUUUUACUUUAUUGCGCUCCUAAAAUAACAAGUUUUUAUAAAAUAUAUGAUUUUUAAUGCAUUUAACUCCUAAUAAAUACAUGAAGGGGGAUACGCUCUUGGAUCCCUAGUUUCUAAAUACAAUGUGUCUUCCAAAAAAGCGUGACCUCUAAUGGGGACAAUACAAGGACGUGUAGGUGCAGGCGCAUAUGGUAUCUACUCCUAAGUCACAUCAGGACAUCUGCACAAGGAAAAACUCGAUGUCCUUGUGGUGCAGUGUUGCUUCACUACUGUCAAGUCUUGCAUUGCUGCACAUGUUUAGUGUUGUGCCUUUAUCAUCAUCACACUCUCUGUUUCUAAAUUAGAGUUAAGUUUAGCUUUAUAUUAAGUGAAACUCUCUUAGUUUGGCUAAGUUACUAUAAAAAAUACUAACAUCUAUAGCAUCCAAUUAAUUUUGAUAAAUCCAUUGAAAUAUGAUAAUACAUUUAUUUGUACCAAAUACGCUAAAUAUUAAUGUUCAAGGUGUUAAUAUAUUUUCUAAAAACUUUCCAAUUAUUAGUUCUAUAUUAAAUUCACUAUGUAAUAUGUUUUGAUAGUAUAUAUUUAUUUUAGUAUUAUAGGUGCUAAUUUUUUUUCUAAAACUUGAUUAACGUCAAACUUUGGAUAAAUGAAAGUGAACCAUAAUUUAGAACGGAGUAAUUAUAGAGAAUUUUGAUUGAGGAAGUCCUAACAGGCGGAUAAAACUUUGAGAUCUUAAAGAGAGACCGAGACGUGCAUCAUUCAAGUUAAGCAUUUGUGGUGCACACGAAAGAAAUGAGGAAGAAGCAUAACAGAAAAUCCGAAACGAAUGGAAUAUGCCUUGAACUGUGUACUAACUUGGUCCUAUAUUAGUUGAGUCCUUUGAGAUUGACAAAUAGUUCCCAAAGCUGCAUAUUUCAUUUGCUCCCGUAUGUUUCAUCAUGAACCUUUGCGGAAGUACCAAGUAUAGGCAAGUAUGCUAUUACUCUCUCAACAUGGUUUUUCCCUUGCUCAGUACACACAAUUCAUCAGCAUCAGUACAGCCGUACAGCACCAUUAUCUCAUGUCAAGUGCAGAAGAAGAAAAUCACUGUUUCAUCUCUUGUCAAAAGAAGGAUCAAAUAAGAAACGACCGUGAAUGAACUUGGCUUAGAUCGUUCGGUUCUAUUCCUUGCGAUGGAACCAAAUCACCUCGGUUCAAGUCCUAGGAUCGUGUUUUUCUAUAUUUAUUCUAAGAAUUAAGGGCAUUAUUUUUAGAGGGUAGCUAGUCUCGAUCAAUAUCUACCAGAUAUGUUUAUAGGGUAGGAUCGCUUACCGUAGUAUGUGUUUCAGUUGAUACGUGGCGAGGCACUUGGCAAUCUCUCCUGACUCUCCAUGCAUCCACACUCACAUGGUUAAGAUAAUAGCGCGAUGGAGGAUAAACUUUAGAUCACUUGGCUGACAUCACCAUGAAUUAAGGAUUAUAACAUCAUCCAACCCUUGACCAACAAGAAGCCAAUGGAGAGCUCCUUAUCCUCGUUGUUGCAACUUAUUUUACAUGUACUCCUAUUAUUACUUCAUCGUGUAGUACUAUAUAGAAUAUUUCCAAUACAAUAAUCAAAAUAUUUCUAGCUUAAAAAUGCUUUUAUUGCAUAAUAUAGAUUCUCAAAUUAUUGAUGGACUAAAUAAUCAAUUGUAAUGUAUUAUCUGCCACGGUUCUUAUUGGGAUCAGUCUUAAGAUAUCAAGUUUUAUCUGCCACGGUUCUUAAUUCCAGCUACUAUUUGAGAUAAAGAGCUUAUAGGCUAAAAUCAAAGUAUUUUUCCUCUUGGUAGAGAGAGAUCUUUUAGCUCAAUUAUGUGCGCCAUUGAGGUUAAGCAAUUGCUAUGCACAUGGAGAAAUUAAAAGAGGAACAAGCAUGGCAAAUGAUAAACUGAAACGAAAGAAAUAUACCUCGAACUAUGUACUGGCUUGGUCCUACUUCAGCUGAGUACUUGGUAAUUGACAAAUAGUUUCCCAAGCUCUCCUAAUUUCAUUUAUUUGCUCCCCUAUUUUUCGUGAAGAACCUUUGCCCAAGUACCAAAGUAUAGGCAAGUAUGCUAUGGUUUUUCCCUUGCUCAGUACACACCUAGUCAUAUCAGCAUCAGUACAAUAGCUGUGCAACACCAUGCAUAAUGCAUUAUAGCAGAUCAAGUGUAGAAGAGGAAAACCACUAUUACAUCUGCUGACGAUAGAUCUACAACCAUCGCCGUACCGUGGCACUGGUAUAUAAACGCGCCCACACUACUAGCUAGCUCACAAGGCAGCAAGGCCAGUGAUACUAGUUAUCACAUCCACCACAUGACCACGGCUACCGCCUCAGCUUCGCUAGCUGUCGCCCUACUGUUCGCCAGCCUCCUGGCAGGCACGGUGUUCGGUGAUGAUAUCAUACCCAUCAUCCGCAUGCCCUUGUUAGAGCGGUUCCAUGCCUGGCAGGCUGAAUACAAUCGCACCUAUGCGACCCCAGAGGAAUUCCAGUACCGCUUCAGGGUCUACUGCGAGAAUGUCAAGUUCAUCGAAACCAUGAACCGGCCCGGGAGCUCAUAUGAGCUCGGCGAGAACCAGUUCACCGACCUCACCCAAGAGGAGUUCGAGGACAUGUACCUCAUGAAGCUCAAUGAGGUGGCCUCAGCCCCGGAGGCCAUGGGACAGCUCGGCACCAUGAACGCGGGGGGCACGUCUGGCGGUGGCAACACCGACGAGGCCCCCAACUAUGUGGAUUGGAGGACCAAGGAAGCAGUGACGCCGGUCAAGGACCAGCAGCAAUGCGGUAUGCGAAAACAUUCACAGCUACUCCCUCCGUUUAUCUAUUUAUCUAAGUAUUUCAAGUUUAUGUUAUAAAAAAUAAAAAAAAUAUUGACUAAAUUAUUGGUAAAAAAAUUGUAAAGUUUGAAACCUGAUGUGCGUUUACUAAUGAAAAUGGAGGGAGUAUCUAUAUCGAUCACAAACGCUGUUUCAAUUCUAGUACGUCAAUACAUGUGUUUGCGUAGAAAAUUAAGACUGAUACCUGUUGACAGUUGUUAGCACAUCAAUUUGUGAACCGCAAGCGUACGGAUCAGUUGUAGCUCUUCUCUCAGAGUAUUCCCCAAGGUUUAUGAAUCCAUGAAACUUAUAGCACUGUUAGUAUUAACUUUGUGUUUGUAAGAGAUUCAGAUCCAAUCUACUAAGCAUAUAUAGACAGAUAACAGAUAGAGCAAAGGUAACCGAUCCACCUAGCCCCUUCCUGAGCCCGUUGAUUUUUGUCUUUGUUUGGUUUGAUGCUCGUUCAGUACCUUAUCUAGAAAUAUGUUUUUAGAUCUAAUUUCCUGCAAAAACACAACAUCCUCCAAAUACGUUGCUUAUGUGACAAUGAUCGGUUUAUUAGGUGUAAUCAAUAGUUUAGGUAUUAAAUUCAUGUUAUUAUUGAAAAUAAAUAGGGGUAAAAGUGUGUCAAUAGUGAGCAUCCGUACGUGGGAAGGCACAGACAGUGCAGGCGCGACAAGCUUGGUCACCACGCGGCCACGAUCCGUGGCGGCUGGGCGGUGCAGCGCAACAAUGAGGCCAUGCUGGAGAGGGCCGUGGCCAGGCAGCCGGUCACCGUGCUCAUCAACGCGAGCCGGGCCUUCAAGUCCUACAAGCGCGGGGUGUUCUCAGGCCCCUGCAACACCUCCCUGAACCACGCCGUUACGGUUGUCGGGUAUGGCGCCGACACCGGUGGCCGCAAGUACUGGAUCGUCAAGAACUCGUGGGGGCAGACGUGGGGCGAGAAUGGCUACGUACGACUGGAGAGGCGUGUCAGCUCUAGUAAGGGCAUGUGCGGCAUCGCCAUGGCGCCGUACUACCCGGUCAUGUGAGUUUCAUCUAUCCCGUGCUUUCGCACGGUCCUACAACGACGGAGUGUUUAACUAGUUACCAGCUGCCUGCUGAUCCUGAACAAGUAUGGGUGUUGGCUUGGAGAAGAGUGCAUGGAAUUAAAUAAACUGCAGCUCACCGAGGAUGGUACGGUGUGUGUUGCUCAUCUAUACCGUUUGUUUGCUAAUGUAACGAAAUCUCAAAAGCUAAUGACUUUUGGGAUGUAGUAUGUGUUGUUAUUAAAGAGAAAGAGAAUUAAUUAUCAUCAUUUGCCUUAAAACAGCAUCACUGUGAUGAUGCAGAGGUUAGUUUGUCAGUUCCGUCUCGGAACGGCCAGAACGUUUUAUUUCAUCAUUGAGAAAAGGUUAUGCAAAGUCUUUGCAUUCCAUUCCUCUCGAACUUCAUCUUUCCCUUCCACUACAGCAGCUGUGAUUUUUCCCAACAGCUAUAUAAGUUUCCAACAGUUAUAUAAGUUUCCUCCUGCAUUUGACAUGAAGCCCAUGAAGAGUCUUCCAUCCAAAGAUUGCGAGAGAAGGGACAUUCAGUUAUCCGAUGGUGUAGUGGACAGUCUCGAGGUUCCUUUCGCAGAGGGGACAGAAACACUCGUUAGACCACUCUCUUUGCAGCAGCCUAUCAACCGUCCAGAUCUUGUUCUGCAGCAAUAACCAGAUAAAGAACUUGCCACUACUAGACAACUCACGUCUAAGAACCCUCUUUAGUACUGGACGUCUGACUAGUAUCGCUAGGUCGGUACUAAAUGCCACGCUAUUUAGUACCGGUCAGCCCAACCGGUACUAAAUGCACUAUUUACACUAGUAGAGAACUCACCUUCCACGCGCCCCUUUUUGUCCCGGUUUAAAGUUAGCCCGGGACAAAAGGGGGCGUGCCACGGUAGGUUAAAAUGGGCGGAGCUUUAGUCCCGGUUGCUAUUUGCAACUGAGAGUAAACCCCCCCUUUAAUCCCGAUUGUAACGGCUAGUUGCCGGUCACCGACGGCGCCCCCCUUUUGUCCCGGUUGGUAACUCCAACCAGGACAAAAGCCAACCAGGACAAAACGUUUACUCCUGGUUGGUAGUUCCAACCGGGACAAAAGGUGUUCCUUUUUGUCUCGGUUAGAAUUUCAACCGGGAUAAAAAAUUAUCCCCUAUAAAAAUCGCAAGACAGAGAUCUUCCUUCUUCCUCCAGCCUAAGCCACUCCACUCCACAAAGAAAGAGAGCUUCAUCCUCUCCAUGGCGCCGAAGCAAGCCUAGAGAAGGUUCUACCGAAUUUUUUUUCCUCAUUUCCGUGGGGAUUUCACUCAUCCAAAGUGUUGUGAAGGUUAGCUACUUCAUUCUCCAUUCAUUUAUUGUUGUUUUGCUUUGUUUUAUGUUUUAGAGAACGAGAAAAAUGAGUUUGCUUGUUAGAAAGAGGGAGAAUGGAGAUGAUUUGUUUUUAUACAUGUUUUUGAGCUAGAAUGUGAUGGAUAGUUUGCUUGUUAUAUACGAUUUGUAUUAGUUAAAAUAACUUGAUGUGUAGAAUGGAGAUGAAUAGUUUAUUUGCUAGAAUGUGAAGUAGAAAAUGGAGAGGAUUUUGAGCUAGAAUGUGAGGGAGAUGGAGAGUAAAUGUGAGGUAGAAUGGAGAGGAUUUCAAUAUUAUGUAUGAGGAAAAAAUUAGAGUAAAUGUGUUUUUAAUAUUUAGAAAUUACCAUAAAAUUAAGGUAAAUAAAUUGUAGGCGUAAGAAAAUAGAAUUCGGUCAUUGCUACAUUUUUUCAUGUCACUAUAAUUUAACACUUAAUAAUUGUAUUUAUUUGACCAAAAAUUUAUUUAUCUCAUGUUUAAUGAAAGAACUAAAUUAUAAAUAAUAAUCCUAUACAAAAUCCUAUGUUCAUUUUUCAUGUAAUACGAUGCAGAUGGACCGGCAAUAGAUAUACCACCUCUGUUCAUCCAAUCCCAGUUAACAGAAUGUGCUUACGCUAUUCUCUACACAUAACUCGAUCUUCUUUGAAAUCUAUGGAGAGUCACCUCCGCUCCUUCAGUACUAGAAAAUAAUGGUAGAAUAUAAGAGCUUUGAGUCCACAAAUUCUGGUUGAAUAUCAUAAAAGAAUGUUGAAAUAAUUAUCCAAACGCCUUUUGAAGCCUAAUUCUCAUAAUAGAAGUAUGUUGGCCCAAUAUCCUCUUCAGGAAGCGAUCUGUUCACUGACUUGACCUAGCGGCUUUUGGUUGGUUUUGGCUUGCCACCGUGGGCCAUGCUCAGUGGACAGAUUGUUUUCCUGGAUGGGCUAUUGUGUUUGUGCCACCACACUUCUAUUAUCAGAAUGUGGCUCUUGCUCCAAAAGAUAUUUGGACAAUUAUUUCAAGAUUCCUUUAUGGCAUUCAACCAGAGUGUGUGGACUCAAAGAUCUUCUGUUGUGCCAUUAUUUUCAUCUACUGGAUAUAUGGAGGUGACUCUCGAUAGAGUUCGGAGAAGAUCGAGUUAAGUGUAGAGGUGGCUUGGAGGGCAAACAUUCUCCUAUGUUGUACCAUCUUUCUUGUGUUGUUUUGAGUGUAACCUCUAUAUGUAUCUUUAUUGGCGAACAUUCAGCUAUGUUGUACCAUCUUUAUUGUGUUGUUAGGAGUGUAAUCUCUAUAUGUAUCUUUAGUGAUUGUUAUGAAUGUGGAAUUAAUGGUACAAUUGUCAUGUGAAUUGUUUCAUUCCAUUAUCAUGUUUUUUAUCUAAUGCGAAGACCUAUAUCCAUUUUCAUGCGUAAUACGAUGGGUAAUGCAGGUUCAUAUGUUGUCCAUGCAUAAUCCAUUUUCGUGCGUAAUACGAUGCGUAAUACGGGUUCAUAUGUUGUCCAUGCGUAAUCCAUUUUCAUGUGUAAUACGAUGCAGAUGGACCGGUUGGAUGUAUAACGUGGACAGACGGAGCAAGAAGUUUCUUGAUGGCUCGUAUUAUUUUCUCGAAGUGGCCAAAGCGAACAAGCCAGAGAACAAGUUCAUAUGUUGUCCAUGCUUCCAAUGUACUAACAAGAAGGACUAUUCACAGCCACUUUAGAUACGGUUUCAUGCCUAACUAUUUGGUUUGAACCAAGCACGACGAAAGAGGGGUUGUAAUGGAAGACGGCGAAGAGGAGGGGGAUGAGGACAACAUUUCGGAUUGGGCUGUAGGUCAAGCUUUUGAAGAUACUACAAUGGGCGAGGCUGAUGAAGAUGAGUUUGCAAAAGAUGGCCCUACUGAUGACCAUGAUCAGGUGCUAUGGGAUGUACACAGAGAUUGCGAAACUGAGAAGGAAGAAGCAAAGUUGCAGUGCAUGAUAGAUGAUCACCAAAAAUUGUUGUACCAAGAUUGCCAGCAGAGCAUAAAAAACUGGGUACCAUACUAGAAUUUAUGCAAUGGAAGGCCAAAAAUGGUGUGUCCGAUAAGGUAUUUCGGGGGAUGUUGAAAAUUGUCAAGAAGAUUCUUCCCGAGAAUAAUGAAUUCCGUCCACAACAUAUGAAGCGAAACAGAUUGUUUGCCCUCUAGGAUUGGAGGUUCAGAAGAUACACGCAUGCCCUAAUGAUUGUAUCCUCUAUCGUGGUGCUAAAUAUAAGAAAUUGGAUGCUUGUCCCAUGUGCGGAGCGCUGCAGUAUAAGAUCAGGCGAGAUGAUUCUGGUGAUGUCGAGGGGCAGCCUCUCAAGAAGAGAGUUCCCGCGAAGGUGAUGUGGUAUUUUCCUAUAACACCACGCUUGAAGUGCUUGUUCAGGAAAAAGGCGAAUGCUAAGUUGAUGCGAUAGCACAAAGAAGAAGAUAAGCAAGAUGAGAUGCUGAGACACCCCGCUAAUGGGUCCCAGUGGAGAUCAAUUGAUAGAGCAUUCCUAGAUUUCGAAAGUGAUGCAAGAACAUAAGGUUUGGUUUAUGUACUGAUGGAUUCAAUCCAUUCAGUGAGUUGAGUAGUGGUCAUAGUACUUAUUGUUAAUAGACUUGCUAAUUCAAACUUAUUGUUAAUAUACUUGCUAAUUUAAUAUAUUUUUGCAUAUUCAAAAUAUCUAAAGUUUUUAUUUUUUGUUUUGUGAAAUCUAGUCAAAACAUAAAUAAAAUCCAUUUCCAAAAAAUAGGCAGGAGACGAAAAAUGGGGAAAGGACAUUUUGUCCCGGUUUCACUUUGCAACCGGGACAAAAGCCCCCCCCCCUUGUCCCCGUUGCAAACUAAAACCGGGAAUAUCCUUUUAUCCUUGUUUCAGUUUGCAACUGAGAUAAAAGGGGGGCCUUUUGUCCCGGUUGCAAAUGGCACCCAGGACAAAAGGCCCCUUUUGUCCCGGGUUAAGUUACGAACUGGUUAAAAGGGGGGGAUAAAAGUAACAGUCAUCUUCUACCUCCUCCCCCCAACCUAACACUUAGCGAAAAUUUCACUAGCCUCUUGCAAGAUCCUGCCCGUCUGCCUUCCUCGCCGCCGGUCUCUCGUCGUCGCCCGUCCGCCUCAAUCAUUUGCCACCAUUGUCCUCGUCACCCGCCACGCUGGCCGCCGUCCACUGUCACCCCUUGGAGCCAUCGCCCUAUGCCCCGGCCACCUCGUCUAUGCCCGGACCGCGGGCGCCGCCUCCUCCAUCGCCCCAGCCCACCGCCUUCGUCCUGCCGCAAGGGCCGGCGCCGCACACCACCCCAUCCCGCCCGCCAUCGCCACCGUAACCCCGCAGGCCUUGCUUCCGCAUCUACAGCGCAGGGCCCUUGUGGACGUAAGGGCUCCUUUUUUAUUUUUUAGUUAGGAAAUCAAUAGAAAUUUGUAGAAAACUAGUAGAUUAGUAAAAAAUCAAUAGGAAAUUACUAUUAUUUGUUGAAAUUCAGCAGGAAAUUACUAGAAAAUCAGUAUAAUUUAGUUCUUCAGAUGCUUAAUAUAAUUUGUAUACAUUUUGUAUAACUUUUAGAAAUUACUAUGUUUUAUUAUAAAUGAUUUGAAAAUUAGUAGAAAUGCUUAACACUUAUUUAGUAUAAAUGCUUAGUAUAAUUUUGUAUACAUUUAUUAUAAGUUUUAUUAUGUUACUAUGAUUUAGUACAAAUACUUCAAAAAUUAGUAGAAAUUUGGUAGAAAUUCUUGCAAAUUACUAGAAAUUUGGUAGAAAUGCUUAGAAAUUCUUGCAAAACCUUGCCGUGGCGGAAGGUUUCGGCGAGGUAUAUAUUAUUUCCAAUGUUUUACCCCAUCUAUAAUGUCUUAUUCGUUAUUACUAUGUACUAAUUAACGAAUCUUGAACUGUUAGCCCUCUGGAUCGACGAACCGUCAAAAGCCUCGAGGUCGUACAAGGGUGAUGGAUGGAAGGCUUAUCAUCACAGAAGUCACAUAAGAGGGUAGGCCGGUUGCUCCCGAAAAAGUGGCAAAAAAGUACGUGAGUUAGAUCAGGUAAUGGAAGGGCAAAAGUACUAAUCCAUACGCUCUCCUAGAUAUAGAAAAGAAUACGCUGUGGGAAGAUGUCCAAAAACAUUUCACAUUUCCCGAAGGAUAUAAUGAAGAUGAUGUGAAAUCGUGGAUGUUGAAGAAGAUGGCCACACAAUUCCAGAUAUUCAAGAAGAUGCUGGAUGCCAACUACAUAAAGAAGGAUUGAACUUCGGAUUUCAAUGAGUGGCCAAAGUUGAGGGACCACUGGGAGGCAUUUGUCGAAUACAAGAGGAGUGAAGACGGUGUGAAUAAGGUUAGGACCAACGCUGCAAAUGCUAAUCAGAAGGAGUACCAUCAUCGUCUAGGGUGAGGUAGUUACGGCACAGCUAUUCCCAGAUGGUGCAAGAUGGAACAAGACCUGAUCAAUUGGGGUAUCGUACGAGCAACUAUUGAAUGGCCCGAUCAAUUGAAAAAUUGGUAUUAUGCUCAUGGAGGCUUCCUGAGCCAAGAGGAUGGGACACUGAUCUUCAAUGAGACAAUACGUCAGAAGGCCGAAAGGCUUAUCAAGAACAUUGAAGAUGCUAAGGCUGGGAGGUUGAAGAUGGAUCGAGAGAAUGAUGAGCUCACAUUGGCCCCCGAGAAUUCCAAGCACCCAGGAUGUUGCCAAGGGUUUGGGGUCGUUCUAUGGAAGUUCACUUUCUGAGGCGACAUCGCCUCGUACAAAAGCUGAAAGCGAAGAAAGGAACAGGUUGAGGAGAGCUAGCGGCGCAUGCUAGAAUCGAAAGUGCAUUCACAAGAAGUAAGAAUGCAGGAGGAAAUCAAUCAUUGAGUGGUUCGCGCAGUUGCAGAGUUGGCCCAAUCUGGAGCACUGAUGUAUCCAAACAUCGCCAGCCCUUCUCAACACCUUGGGAGCAGUUGUGCUUCCACAAGGCUCCCCGAUCCGCAGACACCAAGAUUACCUGUGGACGAGCAACGGUUCCCUGUGAAUGUCAUCACGCAACGCACCUCAUGUGAGCUACAUACAUCGAUCAGCAACCUCACCAUUAAGAUAUACUUAUAUAUAAUAUUUAUGCAAUCUUCUCAAUCGAUCCAUGCCUCGGGAUCGGAGUUUAAUAACUUAUUUAUUUCUGCUAUAUGUAUAGGUGGCGUACAGGAGUGUAUUACGAAUCCUGCCAGGGCAGACAAGCCAUCGCAUGGAGAUUCCACCUAGCUACGCCAGCGUCGGCCUAAAGCAGCUUGCUGAUAGCCAAUAUGAAGGUCUAGAGCUCGACCUCCCAGGAGGCGACGGGGAAAGGACACUAGGAGAUGCGCUUCACGGGAUCAUUCUAUGGUGCAAUCGCUACAUCAUCAUCCUCGCACUUCAAUGAUGGCUGAAAAUUUGGAUAAAUUAACUAAAGCACUUAAACAUAGAUUAGAAAUCAGAUUUGCUUUUCAUACCUGUUGGCUUCUUGUGCACACACAUUUUGUAGCAGCAUUCAGUAGUUGAUGUGAAGUAAUAAAACCUCCUGCCACAUCACUUUGGCUAUUUGAAAAAGACCUCGAGACACUGUACUAGUUCCAUAUUUGCUAGCAUUUUUAUCAACUAUUGGCGUAGAUACAGUUGGGAUGAUGCUCUAUGGGUCAGUCUGCAUAGGAAAAACAAGUGGAAGGAAUUUAGCUACAAAACACAUUCCAAUAUGCUCAUGUGUGUAACAAAUAUCAAAAUUGCUCUAUUCUGCAAUCUUUGAUAGCAACUUUGACAUGAUUUCUUCCCUAAGUUCAUGCCUUUUCUUAUUCUCUUCUUGUUGAAUCUAUACCAAUUUUUCUUCCAAUAUCCUUUCCCUUUCAACCUUUUCAUUUGCAAGUUGUUCUUAUCUUUGAGCACAUUAUUUCUCUGGUUGGCUACAUCUGUACCAUGGGCUUGCUCUUGGAUCUGAGUGUUCAGCAAUUCACUACGUGAUGGAUUUUUAGACAAGUAAUCAUGACCAUAUUUUUUUGGAGGUUUUGCAUCAUGUACUUUGCUUGUAGGAUGUUUGGAAAACAUUGUUUUCCUCUGCAGUCGAGAUGCAAUAUGUAUCAUCAUUGUGUUCUCUCUCCGAAAGUAUUAGGCAUGCAUUGUCCUAAUUGAAAUAGCAGCAUUGUGUUAGCAUUGGACAUAAAAAAUAUUAUGAAUCAUGUUGUUACCAGUGAACUAAGUAAAUUACUUACAUAAUUACUUACAUAGACAGCCUUAGAUGCUUCAUCUGACCAUUGCCCAUUCUUCAUACAUCCAAAGACUUAUAUCACUUGUUUCUUCUCCUGUAUCCGGGUCUCUCUAAGAUGGCAUGAAUGAAGCACAUUAGUUUGACACGUAUGCAAAAAGACCAUACAUAAUGUUGAAUCGUUAUCUACUCGUGGCUAAUUUUGGAAAAUGGUUUGGACCCCAUGAUAUGCUUUGUCUUUUGUUCCUUACGGUUUUUGGAGUUUCAAUUGCUAGCUAGAAUUCUGCAUAAGGUUUAAGUAAAAAAAUACAUUAGUAGUGCAGUGAUCAAAAUAAUAAUUCUAACAUGUGAUUUAUGAAAGGACGAAAAGGAAAUGCUAUCAGACCUUGAAAUCAGGAGAUCCAAAAUACAACAUCAGGUGGUGCUAUUCAGCAAUGUCAAUGUCUUCUGGCUUGUGUUUCAUUCUUGUAGCAUAACUGUUGUACGCCUUGUACGUAGCACUGAAUGUUGAUCUCCAUCCUUUGUAUUGCUCCUUUGCUAUAGCCCAAAUCUUUUCCUUUUCAUCAUCAAUGUUUAGAAGCUCCCACCUAUUAUGUUUAUUUGAGAACACAUUGAAAAGGAGAAGUAUUUGGUUAGUUGAGAUUUCUUAUAGCAAUCAGGCAAUAGAAUUAAACAUCAUACGUACCAGUAUGUCGGAUGCUAUAGAAUUUUUCACAUUUUGCUCUAUGUCUUUCCACUUUUUUACUCCAAUCAGUGGAGCCCUUUUUCUUGUAAACAUUACCAUUUCAUCCACAAAUGACCGGUUGUUAGGGCCUAUGGGACCUCCCAGCCUUGUGGAAAAUUCAACUUUCAGUUUAUGUGAACCGCUCUUUAUUCUUUUUGUGGCUGCUGAUAAACCCUUAAGGGCACCACGUCCACCUUUAUUGCACCCUUCACCGGAGUCUCCUACGAAUCCAUUAAGUAAAAAAUGGUCAGAUAAUUUCAGGAGGGAAGAUGAUAUUAAAAAAAUUUACAAUGCAUAACACACCAUUUCUUGCUUUUUAUUUACGCCGAGCAUGAGAUGGCCAAUCUGUUGGUGCUGAUUGCCUGCUAGCAAGACCUUUGUUAUCAAGAAGGUUUUCAACAUCAUUGUCAUCCUGAUCUAACUAAGAACUGCAUUUCAUACAAUGGCUCCAUCAAUCUAUACAUUUUUUUGUUCGCACAAGUAAUAUUAUAUUUGAGGUCUGAGUGACUGAAUAGAAAUUACUAAUGUUCUUGACGCCUUAACCAUUCUUUAUAUGUCUUGAUGGUUUCGUCCCUAUAAUCAUCUUUAAAUUCUACAUGUAAUGAAUAUGUAAGUUUACUGGACAAUGACACACAUAUCUUAUAUUAAUCAUUAUGAGCGAAGGAACUUUACUUACCCAUGUCUGGUUGAUCUUGUUGUAGGGCUGCAAGCCAAUCCUUGUAUGCAUCAAUUGGUUCCAUCAAUUGGUUCUUCUGUAUUUCUCCCCCUUGCUCGCUUCAUGGGUGUUAUGCUCACUAGCAAGUCAGUAUGUUGGUCCCUUGUUAGCACCAUCCUGACCUGCCUCUCUCUCUCAUUGUUAGCUAUCAUGGCUUGUAUCUGAUGGUCAUAAUCAAUAGACAUUAGGCUUGUUGUGUCCCUGCCACGUCGCUUCUUGUAGUACAUGUAGUCCCGCCCAGAAUACCCAAGCUUUGAUUUUAUACAAGUCAAGUUGUAAAAUGUGAUAUCAGCCCUAUCACAAUCAAACUCAACGUAAUCUUUAGGAUCAGGACCCCGAUGCAUUGCAAAUGUAGAGUCCACUCCUAACCUAUGUGUACUGCACAAUUGAACAGCCUUUACACUACAUGUACUGUUUGAUAGCAAAUCUGAUGGAAAAAUGAUAAAUGUGCAGUGCUGGUUAUAUAUGAUUUUCAAAGACAAGCUACACUGGAUUUCCUAGGCCUAGAUAGAAGUUUCUAUCUCAGAUCAAGUGGAGAGUUGGUACAGGAAGUUUAGAUUCUACCUAUUAUUUGCCACUUAAUAAUCAAAUACAAUUAGUAAUUUAGGUGCCAUGCUAUCACGGCCAACCAAUUUGAAACCAAACUGAACCGUGUAACCCGAUCUCCCAAUGAGAAACAGAAUCAAUGGAUAACCGUGUUUACAUCAAUGGAUAAUAGAUUAAUCAGGAAAUCAGCAUCACCAACCAAGAACCAUUCCAGAAUCCACAUGCUUCCACUAAUGUUACAAAGAACCAACAGUAACAAUUACUAACACUUAAGAACCAACAGUAAAAAUGAAGUGGACAUUAAUUUCAUAAGUUAAAGGUGUAUAUGGGACAGCAAGAGAAUAAUUGGACAAUAUGAACUUUUGAAACUCAACUGAACUGUAAACAACUCUCAAGAAGAAAUUGGCCAAACACAGCAUAUUUUGGUUCUCAGUGCAAAAUUUUAGAUGUACACCACAUUAGAAAUAUCCCACACUUUCAGAAGUUAAUGGAACAGAUAACUAUCUCUGCCCAAGACUACAUGCUUUCAGUCAGUUCAGAUAAGAAUUAGCAGAUCAUAUAUUAGAUUCAUACUGACAAGUUCAUUCAUAGCUAGGGAAAUAUUAUUACCAGUCUAUCACCAACACAACCAACACAAUUUAUCCAGGAAUACUAAGCUACUACCAAAGAAUUUAUCGGUAACCAGUAACUAUGAAGUAGUUCAUUCAUAACUACUGCAUGCUUUCAGUCAGAUCAAUGCGUAGGGAACUAACCUCGUUGGGGGAUUAGAAAUCAUAACCUCAUCCCUAUGAUUGAACCCUGUGGGACGAUCACGACGAAGGCCAUUGUUGGUUGCAUUUGGAGCUGGAGCCCCUUGGUCAGCAGUGGCGGCGUGAGGACCAGGAGACCCUUGGUCGCCGGCAGCGUGAACAUCACGAGCGCCACGGUCGCUGGCGGCAUGGAGAGGAGGAGUCUUGCGACUGGCAGCGUGAGGAGCAGGAGUGUCACGGCCGGCAGUGUCAAGUACAGGAGUGUGGCGGCCGGCGGCAUGAGGCGGAGCAGGAGUCCGUCGGUUUGCAGUCUCCAUCGGAAGGAACAAAUGGAAAUGGCGCUCCCUCCCACACGUAUGAGUCUUGCAAUUUUAGGGGAAGGACUGCCGGCCUUUUAGUAGAUGUACUCUGAAAAAUAAGGAGGGGAAAUUAGGUGGGGUGGUGGGAAUCGUGGGAAAAAUCAUGCGAAAAAAUUGGGGACAAAAUCGUGGGAUGGAUGGAGGCACGCAAUGGAGGCGGUUUGGGGUGCGCCGCGUGCGAGAUAGCAGUGGGAUGAGGGGUGGAUGCACGCGGGGCCGGCGCGUUGUGCGGAGAGUCGGUGGAGUGGAGGGCGUGGAGGCGUGGCAGGGAGCGAGGGGGGCGCCGUGUGGCGCAGGAGGGGCUUGGAGAAGAAGGAGGUGACGUUUCUGGUGUGCGCUUGGAGAAGAAGGAGGUGGCAUGGUGGUUCCCCUGUAGGGAUACUAAAAAAAUGUAGGGAUACUAACAAAAAUGCUACAGCUAUUCAAAUUGAAGUUCUAGGUUGAUUUUCAUGUUUUUCUUUGAACGAGAGAUGCAUAAACUAAAGGAAAGAUAUGCCCAUGUAGAUGUUCCAAAUAAAUCAUAGAGGUAAUACACUCAAAUAAUCAAAGUGAAACAUAUAUUUAAAGGUAAUUCUAUAAAAUUUUCAUACGUCAUUGACUGACAGGGCACAUUGACUGAUGGGAGAAGUGGAACAAGGGUAAAACCAGAAGUUCUAACACUAAACUGCUGAACCGGAGAAAACCACGGACCGCGCGAGCUGAGGGAGAGAAAAAUGUGCAAAACUGAGGGUCCGGAAGUUCUGGCGUUCGAACUUGCAACCUCCUGUUUUUAAUAAAGAAGCGAUCAAACCACUGGGACAUGUGCAUCAUUUUGUUUUAGCAAAGGAAUUGCUAUUAUUUGACCAUUUUGAAACAUGGGACCAUGCUUUUGGACUAAUGGGACCAUUGCUAUAGUUAGGGUGGCCGGAUACUCAUCAUCACCGCCUGGAUUGUCGGAUCCUCCUCGUCACCGUCUGGGUAGCCGGAUCCUCAUCAUGGCUGUCGGGGUGCUCGGAUCCUUAAAGUACAAUGCAAGUAUCACAAAUGGAAGUAACAUGGAUUUGCCCAUUCGGAAGACCACAGUGCAAGUUAUGUACAUAUCGUUCUUUUAGAUGAGAAUAUAUAUGUCUUCCACCAUAUAACAAUAAUAAUUAGAAUAAUAUCUACAUUGAGUGUACCCAAUACCAAUUCCAAUUCCCAAGCUUCAAUAUCUACAUCCCAAUGGGGUGUUAUACUUUUAUGUCACCUAUAAGAUUUCUAAUGAUUGCAGGAUGAAGCCAUAUAUUGGAAUCGUUAUUGCAAACUGAAAAAAAUUCAACAAUAGGUGUUUCUCGGAAUUAAAAGAAUAGCAAGUUUAAAAGGGCAAAAAGAUAAAAACAUAGAGCUCCAACCGCUCCAAAAUCAGCUCCAUUCAUUCCCCGUCAUCACGCGGGCUUCGUUUUGCUCUGAAAUCAGCUGCCCCGCCGCCAACCCCUCCUUCCGUUCCUCACCCCUCCGGCCCCAAAUCCUGUGUCUCCCUCCCCUUCAGGCCUACAUCCUCACCCCUCACCCGCAUCUUCGCCCCUCCCCACCCGCAGACCCUCGCGCCGCCCCAAGCUCCUGCACCGCUCCAAAUCCUGUGCCGCCCCAACUCUAUCCGCAACCAAGGGGCCUGCCACUUGGAGUCCGACCCCAGCGUCGCUUCUAUGCAGACCCGGAGCUGGACGCUAGUGCCUCCCCGAUUCGACCCCAAGGAGGACACCUCUGCCGCCUCCCCAACCCAUAUUCCACACCACACCGUCGCCACUUCCCCUACCCGACCCACCCAAGCACCACCACCUGGAGACCAACCUAGUGCUGCUCAAAAUGUAUGCUAGGCAGUGCCAUCUUUCAAGAGGUAUGAAUAAUUCAAUAUUUGCUUACUCCCAAUUUUGAUAAUUUGUGUUCCAAUGCUCUAUUGCUUAUUGUUGUUUUGCCACUGAGAUUGAAAAAGAAGAGGUACUGAAAAAUACAAUCCUUGGUACUGAAAAUUACAAUCCUUUCUCUUGUGCCAUAUGAUGAACCUGCGGCUCUUUCAAUUUUGGUGAGCUCAUCAGUACUGAAAAUUACAAUCCUUUCGCUUGUGCUAUCUACUGUACAUUUGCUUCCUAUAUGACUAGUUAAGAUAAAUAGCAGACUUUAUCUAGUGUAGUUGCUUAUCUUGUAAUCUGGAUGCAUACAAAGUUUUAAUAUUUAAUGUUUUGUCAUGACAAUUUUAAGUUCAACAUCAAAAAGAAAUAGCUUAAGUAGCCAAUAAUGAUAUGGGCGUGACCUCUUAGGGAAAAAAUGUUCAUUUUUAAUUAAAACAUGUCAAACUUAGGUGCUACAAAUUAUCACACUUAAAAUGUAAGGUUCAUUUAAAUAUCGCAAUCGAGUUAAUCGAUAUCUAUAAUACCAAACUGAUCCUUCUUGAAUCCUCUACCUUUGCUCCUACUAGCAACAGGCACAUCAUACCAGUCACAUUGAAACAGGAUGACUUCCUUUUGUGUAGGAAAUUCUAGUGCAUAGAUUUUUUUUGACUACACCAUACCAGUCGAUGUUGCCAGUAGUAGCAUCAUCUUACACAACAACACCACUAUUUUGUGUAAUUAGAUUCUUCUCUAUAUGAGUUGUUCUGAACAGAAAUCCAUUGAUGAAGCACCUAUUGAAAACACGUGCCUGAUGGUCUAGUUCUUGAGAAAGUGCAUGCAUGGCAUCACUUGUUUUUCCUUCUGCAUAAAGUUUGUUGAUCUACAAGAUGUAUAAAAAAAUUCCUAAUUGUCAAUUAACUAACAGCAAUAAAGCUAAAUUAAAUUGUAGCUCACCGUACACUCAAACCAGCUUACAAAUUGAUCUCUAUGAUGUUGUUCAACAUUCCUGAUAGACUGUUUUCUGAGUAAAUCCAUAUGCUAACUACAGUAAAGGGCAAAAGGGGGCAUUACAAAGUCAAUAAAAAACAUGUAUGUGCAUGCUGCAAAGGUAAGUAAAUUAAAAUUACUACGUACUUGACCCAUGGAAUAGCCUUAUCACAAUUUGUUAAUAUCCAGUACCUCAUCUGUUGCCUAUCUAGCCUAGAAAUUGACUCAAUUGCAAAUCCUUUCUUAGUAUAAUCAAUGUUGCUGAAUAUGCUUAAACCAGCUGGUGGUUCAUUUAUUGCAGCGCUUUCAUGACGCUUUGGAUGAUUAAUCUUGGUGUUGACGUCAUCCAAAAAGUGAGAGCAAAAAGUCAUGCACUCCUCUAGUAUAUAUCCCUCUACUAUUGAACCUUUAGGAUAGGCUUUUGCCACACCCGAUUUUUGGACAAAAUUAAAUGCAUAGCAUAUGUGUGUCAGGAUCCGUUCUCACACAUAUGUUCACUUCAUAAGUGAAUACAUCAAAGACAGUGUUCAAAACAUAAACAAAAUAGUAGAUAACUGUAUUACACUCUGAAAAAUAUACACGAAGGUCUUUAAUCGUUUCACCAUUAACUUAAGAUGAAAGAAAUAGCGACAACUUCUCCCACAAGCUUGACUGGCGAACGCUCGUCUAGAACUCCUUGAAGUCAUUGAAGUACUCCGUGUUAUCAAAAGCUUCUGAACAGUGUUAUGUAAGGGUGAGGACACUUAUGGUUGGUACUCAGCAAGUGGGGAAAUUAUGCAAGGCUAACAAGGAGAGGUUGAUAGGCUUUUAGCGGUUAGCAUUUUUAGUUGGUCACAUUUUAUUAGCAAGCAUCUAUUUACUAGGUGUAAGUUUAUACCAACCCAAUUAAGCAUAAAGCAUCAACAUUAACCACGAUUUAAGUUCAAUUAUCAUAUGAGGGUCCAAGCCGCUCAUAACCAUGAGCACAGCUGAUAUAUCAGUUUACACUUUGCAGAAGUUGUACACUUUACCCACAACUAGUGUAACCGUGUCACCUGGGUUUGCAAAGCCCUUAAACACUUCCUUUGGUGAGUGGUUGGGGGUCCUAUACGAAGUGUUUACAAAGACACAAGAUAACUAGUAGCCCGCUAGAGUUUCAGUAGCGGUGUGAACCAUAACCCUCCCUAAUGAGUCACCACCUUAGCUAAGGCUACUACUCCAACCGGGCUAUACCCCAACACCUUCCCCCUCCUUGCCCUUUCGGUUGCCCUUUCAGUAAGGCCACUAGUCAACCACAUGUCUAAUUAAUUAGCUAAGAUCAGAGCCAUAUGAUGUUGUGCUUGUACUGUUUUCUUGGGUGGUUCUCCAUGUUCCAAUUAAAAUAAGUAAUCUUGUAAUUAUCUAGGUAUAACAACAAAUAAAGUCAUGAUUAAUAUUCUCAAAAUUAUGACAUUACCAUUCCAAAGUAAGCAGCUAAGCAUUUCUACCUAACAAGAUUUAAACCCGGUGUUCAAGGGUCGGGGAAAAAGACUAGGUAAAUCCUUAAUAGGUAUCCCGUAAAAUAGUUCAGUGAAUUUAACAUGCUAUUAUUGGGACAAAAAAUAAUAUGAAGGGGAAACCACUUGCCUUCCUCGACAAACUGUGGAAAAUCUUCCUCUAAUUGCUGCUCCUAGCCUUCCUCGAACGGCAUAUCGUCUAUACGAUCACACAAGUAAAACAAAUAAUAAAUAAAAAAUAAUACACCAAACAGAUUAAAAGACUUAAAACAAACUCCUAGAACAAACAUUCAUGCAGAGACGAUCGCGUGAAUGCGAGAAUCGCUGAAAAACGGAGUUAAAACGAUAAAGACAUGAGAUAUACAAGAUUAUAGGGACCUAGAUGUAAAAACUGAUAACAUGAAGGGCUAGCAGAGAAGAUUCUUAAGACUCAGUGAACAGUACUACAGAAAUAUGGAAAAGAGCAGGGUUAGAUCUGUAAAACUGCAUAGCUCUGACUAGAUUGGAAUAUCUAAAAGGUUCAGGGGGUUUCAGUGAAGUUUGCAAGACACAGAGAAAAGAUACAAAAUUAAAGGAUUCGUCAGGAGCUAAAAAGAAAGAAGGGCGAGCUCCUUCUUCUCCACUCGCACCGGUGCAGGGGGCGGCUCUGGCUAGCGGGCUCGCCGGCGCUCCGGGUUCCCGGGCGGGUGGCGCAGGCGGCGGAGGAGUGCGAGGGAGAUGCGAGGGAGGGUUCACCGGCGGCGGUGACAGGCGGAAGCGGCGGCGCACGGGGGCCGGCGGCGGAGAAAGAAUGGCAGCGGUGGCGCUUUGCUGCGGGCGGCCCCGGUGGCGGUUGGCGGCAGGAAUGGGGUGGAGGGCGCCGGGUGACGGCGGGGCGCGCUUUAUAGGGCGAGGGAGGAAGCGGAGGCGGCAUAGGAGAAGGGAAACGGGCGGCGGCGGCCGGCCAUCAAUGGCCGCGGCCGUUACUGGAAGAGGAAGGGAAAGGGGCGCGGGCGGUGCGCGUGCGUGGGAGGCAAGCGGGCGCGGGGAGCCGAAGGGCGCGGGGAGGCGGAGGGGCUCGGCCUGGCGGGGCGGCAUGGGUGCAGCUCGAGCGGCGGCUCCGGCUGGAGGUGAGGGACGGCCACGACAGGUGGGGCCCGCCUGUGGGUGGGUGGGAGAGGGGAAGAGAGGUGGGCCGGGCCGGUGGCCUUCUUGUUGCUGAGUUGAGUUGGGCCGAAAGAAAAGAAGAAGGAAAAAGGCCGGUUGGGCUGGAUUGGAGACGGGAAAAAGAGAUGGAGAGGGUUUUUGAUUCAAAAAUUUUGCAAACACCACUCAAACAAAACCAAAGCAAAAAUAAAAACUCUAUCAAGCAAUUGUUGUUUCUAAAAUUAUUUCAAGUGUUGUUUAAAUUAUUAAAGGCUGAGAUUUAUUUAAAGAAAUUUAUUAAGUCCUAAAAAAGAUCUAGACCGCCCAUGGUGCUUACAUUGUUUUUUUUUUUGGAAUUUGGAUGUUACAAAUCCUACCCAAUCUCGUCCCCGAGAUUCAGAAAGAUUGGGAAACAACUAAGGGAAUUCUUCAAUUAGCUCAUCUUCUCUUUCCCAAGUAGCUUCAUCUUCAGAGUAGUGACUCCACUGUACUUUGCACAUUCUGAUUACUUUGCUCCAAAUAAGUUGAGUCAUCUUUCACAUUGAGUUCUUCCAAUGGUAAUUGUUCUUCGGGUACUCUGAGAUACUUUUUCAGCUGAGACAUGUGAAACACAUCAUGGACAUCUGACAGUCGAGCAUGUAGUUCUAAUUAAUAUGCCACUUCACCCUUUCUUUCCAAGAUUUCAAAAGGAUCAAUGUAACGAGGUGACAACUUCCCUUUAACCUUGAAUCGACGGAGACCUCUAAUAGGUAAUAACUUGAGAUACACGUAAUCUCCAACUUCGAAUGUCAAUUCCCUCCUCUGAGUAUCAGCAUAACUCUUCUGUCGUGACUAUGCAGUUUUGAGGUUAUCUCGAAUUAUCUGGACUUGCCUUUCAGCUUCUUUAAGAAUCUCCGGUCCAAAAACCCGACUUUCUCCUAUCUGACUCUAGUACAACGGUGUUCUAUACUUUCUCCCGUAUAAGGCUUCAAAUGGGGCCAUCUUAAGACUUGCUUGAUAAUUGUUGUUAUAGGAAAAUUCUGCGUACGGCAAGCUUUUAUCCCAACUACCUCCAUGUUUUAAAGCACAAGCUCUUAACAUAUCCUCUAAGAUUUGAUUGAUUCUCUCAGUUGGACCAUCUGUUUAUGGAUGAUACGUGGAACUAAAAUUAAGCUUUGUAUCCAUUGAUUCAUGUAGCUUUUGCUAGAAACGCGACGUGAAUUGAGUACCUCGAUCAGAUACUAUCUUCUUUGGAACACCAUGUAGACACACAAUCCUUGACAUAUACGGCUCUGCUAACUUGGCUCCAUUAUAGGUUGUUUUAACUGGUAUGAAAUGAGCAACUUUAGUUAAUCUGUCCACAACAACCCAUAUGGAAUCAUAGCCGUCGCGAGUGCGUGGUAACCCAACAAUAAAAUCCAUUCCGAUCUCUUCCCAUUUCCACUCAGGUACUUUCAACGACUAAAGUAAACCUACUGACCUUUGGUGCUCUCUGCUUUUACUCUCUGGCAUACAUCACACAAAGCAAUGUGGGUUGCUACAUCUCUUUUCAAACCAUACCACCAAUAUUUCUCCUUCAAAUCCUGAUACAUUUUGGUACUACCAGGGUGAAUGGAAUAGGCUGAAUCAUGUGCUUCCUUCAAUAUGAGUUCACGAAGAUGGUCAAUUUUAGGUACACAUAUUCUUUUCCUGAACCAAAUAGUUACUUGGUCAUCUUGAGUGAAAUCUAGGGUCUUUCUUAAACCAAUUUGGAUCUUGAUUUCCUUGAUUUUAGCAUCCAUCAAUUGCCCUUUUCUUAUCUCUUGUUCCAGUGUAGGUUCAAUUUCCAUGGUCACGGCUUCAGUAUGGGCAAUGAUUCCUAAGUUGAGUCGCUCCAUUUCCCAACACAAUUCUUGGGACAUCAACCGUGCUAUAGUCAUAUUCACUUGACCCUUUCGACUUAGAGCAUCUGCUACAACAUUUGCCUUGCCAGGAUGAUAUUGGAUAUCCAGAUUGUAGUCCUUGAUCAAUUCUAACUAUUUGCGCUGCCUUAAAUUAAGAUCCCCUUGAGUGAACAUGUAUUUUAGACUCUUGUGGUUGGUGAAGAUCUGACACCUGUUCCCGAUCAUAUAAUGUCUCCAAAUUUUUAAUGCAUGCACAACUGCAGCUAAUUCCAAGUCAUGAGUAGGAUAAUUGAGUUCAUGCUUCCUCAAUUUUCUAGAGGCAUAAGCUACUACUUUGCCUUCUUGCAUCAGUACACAUCCGAGACUUGGAUGUGAAGCGUCACAAUAGACAUCGAAGCCUUUGUGGAUAUCAGACAUUAUUAGCACAGGGGCGGUAGUUAACCUCUUCUUCAGCUCUUCAAAACUCGCUUGACACUUGUCAUCCCAUUUAAACUCUUUUCCGUUUUCCAAUAAUGAGGUGAGAGGUUUUACGAUUUUUGAGAACCCUUCAAUAAAUCUGCGGUAAUAACCCGCUAAUCCAAGAAAACUCCUGAUUUCGGACACAUUCUUGGGCAGAUUCCAAUUCAGCACAUCUUGCACUUUAGUUGGGUCUACUUUGAUUCCUCCGUCAAUGAUAACAUGUCCAAGGAAGGAAACUACUUUCAACCAAAACUCACACUUACUCAAUUUGGCGUGUAGCUGAUUAUUCCGAAGCUUCUGUAACACUAAUCUUAAGUGUUCUUCAUGCUCUUCUUCAUUUGAGAAAAUACCAAGAUAUCAUCUAUGAGUACCACCACAAACUUGUCUAGGUACUCCAUGAAUACCUUAUUCAUCAAGUACAUGAAAUAUACUGGAGCGUUUGUCAACCCAAAAGAUAUCAUGGUGUAUUCAUAUAGGUCGUAUCUGGAUGUAAACGUUGUUUUGAGAAUAUCUUUUCCUUGGAUUUUUAACUGGUGAUAACCUAAUCAUAAAUCGAUUUUGGAAAAGACUUUUGCGAUUUUGGAAAAGACUUUUGCACCUCUCAUUUGAUCAGAUAAAUCUUCGAUCCUAGGGAGCGGAUAUUUAUUCUUAAUAGUUACAUCGUUGAGAGCCCUAUAAUCCACGCACAUUCUUCUGGUGCCAUCCUUUUUAUCAACAAAAAGUAUAGGCUCUAUCCAAGGUGAAGAGCUAGGACGGAUAAAAACUUUACUUAAUAAUUCUUCUAUUUGUUUCUUUAACUCAACCAAAUCCAUAACAUCCAUUCUAUAAGGUCUUUUAGAUAUAGAUGAGGUGUCGGGUAAAAGAUCAAUAGAGAACUUGAUAUCACGGUCAGGUGGCAUACCUGGUAAAUCCUCGAGAAAGACAUCGGGGUAUUCACAUGCAACCUUGAUAUCCUCCAAAAAUUUUCCUUUUAUCUGAUUCACUAUACCCUUUUUUUCAGAUGAGGCAGUAGCCACAAACUCAAUUCUGUCCCCUUGAGGGCUAGUUAAAAGCACUGACCUCUUGGCACGCAGGAUAAUUCCUUCACAUCCUCUUAACCAGUCCAUUCCAUGAAUACCAUUGGAUUUUAGGACCACUAAGUUAGCUACAAAAUCUAUCCCCAUGAUUUUCAGAUUGACCCGUUGGCAUAAUUGACUAGUUUCCAUUUCACCACCUGGUGAGCUAACUAGCAAAGUUUUCCUCAUAGGAUGCAUAGGUAUAUUAUGCUUUGCCACAAAUUGAUCGGUUAUAAAUGAAUGUGUUGCUCCAGAAUCAAAUAAAAUGGAUGCAGGUUCAGAAUUGAUGAGGAACGUACCGAAUACAACAUCUGGAGCUUCCUUGGCCGUUUCAGCUGUCACAUGGUUCACCCUACCAUGCAUGAAGUUUUGUUAGCCCUUGUUGCCCUGAGGAUUUGCGUUUCCACUACCUUCUUGAAACUAUUGCUGACCAGGCUUCUGACCAUUGUUCUUCUGAGGGGUCUGCAUGUUGCGCUUGGGGCAACUGUUGGCGUAAUGCCCCACUUCACCACACCUAAAGCAGCCAUUGGGUUGAACUAGUGUAACUGGAUUGUUUUGCACUAGUGCAUCUAUUGUAUUGCCUGCUCGGUUUUCCUGAGGGUUGGGGGUGCGCUGCGCCUAUUGGUUGAACUGCUGGGGUUGCUUAGAAGAGCGUUGAAAUUGUUGGUUCUGCUGAUAGCUUUCACCUUGUCCUCCACAGCAGAAUUGAAAUCCUUGUGAUGAGUUGAAAUGAGGACGGGUGUUGCUGCUGGAUUGCCUUUGGGAUUGGAACUUCCACUUUUGCUCACCAAGUUCCUUAUGCUUAUUCUCCAAGCCUAUAGCUUUGUCCAGUAGUGUCUGGAUGUUAGGGAAAGUGUGACUCUGCAGUUGAUAGUUGAGUGGCACUAUCAGACCAUCCAAGAAACACUCCUGUCUCUUUUCAUCAGUGUCUACUUCAUUUGGCGUGUAACGAGACAAUUGUAUGAACUUGUCCUGGUACUCGUUGACUGUCAUGCUGCCAUGUGUCAAAGGCUGAAAUUCCUUCUGCUUGAGCUUCAUCACACUAGCUGGGAUGUGGUGUGUGCGAAAAAUGUUCCUGAAUUCCUCCCACGUGAUGGCAUUGGUGUUGGCAUGUGCCGUGGUGUAGGCAUCCCACCAAUCAGCUGCAGAUCCUUCCAAACAUGCUGCAGUGUACAAGACCUUCUCAUGGUCAUUGCACUGUGCCAAAUCCAACUUCUUACUGAUGACUUUCAGCCAGUCAUCAGCGUCCAAAGGAUCCACUGAGUGAGAAUAGGUGGGAGGGUGAUGGCUCAUGAAUUCUCUGUGCUUGUCUCUGGGUGCUUGAGGUGCUUGCGGUGGUUGCUGGUUUUGUUGGGCUUGCAGAUUUUGAACAGUGGCGGUUAGGUUCUGCACAGUUGCAUCUAAGCUGCUAAAAAUUGUUCCAUUGUUGAAUUUGGUGGUGGAGGUGGUGCUUGAUUCUGUCAGUUGAUUAUGUGAGCACACCUUUGACUUGAGACGUCCUAUCCUCCUCCUGACCUAGUGUUUACCAUCUGAUUGUUAAAAAAAUGAAUCCCAGAUAAGACUGAUGAGUUGAUAAUGCAGAUAUAGGAGUAGAGAGCCAAGAUUUAAACCUAGAUAGACUAUUAACUUUAAUUUAUUUAAUGAUGCAUUAGUGGUCAUCACUCCACAAAACAUCUCAGUCAUUACAAAGAUCCAAAUCAAACAUUAUUACACCGCACGUCCUCGCAGGAAUGGUUCUAUCGAGACAACUCUAGAAGUCAACCUAGAAACCUAGCCUAGAAGACCGGUGAUGGAGCCAGAUGCACCAUAGCGAAGCCUCUUGCGGGGUGGUGAAACGGAAGGGUAGUGAAACUCGUCCGUCUCCUCGGGUGGCUCCUCUCCUGCAAGUUGGGCCUCCAACUGUGCAAUCUUGGCGUGAGCGUCCCGUAGCUGCUCAUGGGUCUUGGCAAGCUCCGCGGUGGCUCUGUCGAGGUCAGUGUUGAGAGCCGUGGUGACUUGAGCAAGGAUGUUGAUACUGUCUUCUCCAGCUUCUCCCAAUAGUACUGUUGUAUCCUUUGUGCCACUUUGACGACGAGGAAGGUGAUGGUAGUCGGUGGUGCUCAGCUCCUGGCGAUGGGUGAAGUAGAGGGCCCACAGAGCUCUCCUGGCGGCAUCGCUGAUAGAAGCGGCGUAGGUAGUGUUGGGCGUAGUGGAGUCGUGCGUCGAGCGAGUCCCCAAGCCCCUGGAAGUCUCCAAAUGUUCCCGGAUGUGGACUUGGGUGACAAAGUAGUCGUCCAUUGUGGAGUAGGAGAUGCACUAGGUGAUGCAGAGGGGCUUCAUGGUGCUUCCUAGCUUCUGCAGCACUUACCGGAGCAGCGUGGGGAAGUAGCCAGGUUCAUCCUUUGAGGAGUGAAACUCACAGGUUGGCGUUAAACUAUGAGGACCAUCAUCCUGGUUUCCAUCUCCGUCAUUGUUGUUGUCCUGGCCAUCGUUGUUGCUAUGGUCGUCAUCGUCCUCAUCUUCAUCGUCGCUGUCAUCCCCGGAGUCAUAUAGGUAUCCACCAACGGCGGCAGGUGCUGGAGCGUCCGAAGUAGGAGCAGCUGAUGGUGCUAGUGAUGUUGUCGAGAUCACCAGAUUUCCAUCCGAGUUGACCUCCAUGAUGCUGCCAUCUUCCAUCUCAAUGUAGAAGUAGACCUCUUCCGGAUCCUCCUCAAGUUCUUCCACGGGUUGAUUCGGAGGAGCUGGCUGAGCGGGGGCAAUGCGAACCUGAUGACUUCAAUUGCUUUUGCGAGCAGUUAGCUUGGUCCUAGCCAUCUGACACAACAAGCACAGAAACUCAAAACAAGUUCAAAACCAAAAGAGACCAGAUUUUGACAAAGAAACAAGAAUAUAGAUUUUUAUGAGGAAACUAAGAUGUUUUUAAGAGCAGACAUGGCUUGCUAACAAUGUGCCCAUCAGCAUCAGGGAAUGGAAGAAUAGAAGUACUAAUCCAUAUGCGCUCCCAAAUACAGAAAAGAAUAUGAUGUGGGAAGAUGUCAAGAAACAUUUCACAUUUCCCAAAGGAUAUAAUGAAGUUGAUGUGAAAUCUUGGACGCUGAAGAAAAUGGCCACACAAUUCCAAACAUUCAAGAAGGGCCGAACUCUGGAUUUCGACGAGUGGCCAAAGUUGAGGGAUCACUAGGAGGCAUUUGUCGAAUACAAGAGGAGCAAAGACGGUGUGAAUAAGGUCAAGACCAAUGAUGCAAAUGCUGGUCGGAAGGAGUACCAUCAGCAUCUAGGGUGAGGUGGUUACGGCACAGCAAUUCCCAGAUGGCGCAAGAUGGAACAAGACGUGAUUGAUCAGGGUAUCGUACCAACAAUUAUUAAAUGGCCCGAUUGAUCGAAAAAUUGGUAUUACCCAUGGAGGCUUCCUAAGCCAAGAGGAUAGGAUACUGAUCUUUAAUGAGACAAUACAUCAGAACGCCAAAAGGCUUAUCAAGAACAUUGAAGAUGCUAAGAGUGGGAGGUUGAAGGUGGACCGAGAGAAUGAUGAGCUCACAUUGGUCCUCGGGAAUCCCGAGCACCCAGGACGUGCCGAGGGUUUGGGGUCGUUUCGUGGAAGUUUGCUUUUCGAGGCGACAUGGCCAUGUACAGAAGCUGCAAGAGAAGAAAGGAACAGGUUGAGGAGAGCCAGCGGCGCAUGCUAGAAUCCAAAGUGCAUUCACAAGAAGUAAGAAUGCAGGAGGAAAUCAAUUGUCGAGAGGGCCACGCAGUUGUGAAGUUGGUCCAAUCUGGAGCACUGCCGAAUCCAAACUUUGCUAGCCCUUCUCAACGCCUUGAGAGUAGCUGUGCUUCCAUAGGGCUCCCCGAUCCAUAGACGCCAAGAUUACCCGUGGACGAGCAACAGUUCGCUGUGGAUGCCAUCACGCAACGCACCUCAAGUGAGCUGCAUACACCGGUCGGCAACCUCACCAUUAAGGUAUACUUAUACAUAGUAUUUAUGCAAUCCUCUCAAUCGAUCCACGCCUCGGGAUUGGAGUUUAAUAACUUCUUUAUUUCUGCUAUAUGUACAGGUGGCGUAUGAGAGUGCCUUACCAAUCCUGGCAGGACAGACAAGCCAUGGCAUGGAGAUUCCACCUGGCUAUGCCAGCGUCGGCCUAGAUCAGCUUGCUGAUAGCCAAUAUGAAGGCCUAGAGCUCGACCUCCCGGGAGGUGACAAGGAAAGAACACUAGGAGAUGUGCUUCACAGGAUCAUUCUAUGGAAACGCUACAUCAUCAUCCUCAGCAAGAAGGCAUCUCCUCAAAGCUCAAGACCGUUCCCUGCAGAUCCCCAGCAGCGACCAUCUUCUUAAAGCUCAAGACCGUCAUCUCCACCAUGGCCUACUCUAGGAUUGUCAUCUCCAGCACAAUCUGCUCUAGGAUCAUCGUCACCACCGGGACCGUCGCUUCCUGCUCGCUCCAGGUCUCCAUCUCCACCACAUCCUGUUGGUGAGAUCGAUGACGACGACAACAACACUCCUCCCCGAUCACUGUUGCCAGGACUAAGAGUGGUCCCAACCAAGGAACCUGCAACACCACUUAAUAAGUCGCGACCACCGCCUCCCAAGCCAAGAUAAAGAAAGAAGAAAACAAAGAAGCCUGAGGUGACUCCUAAGGAAUGCUGGGAGGCAAUUACUCAUGUGGAACGCUGGGCCGAAAUCCAUGCAAAGGCCAGAGAGUGGUUCAAGAAAUAGGCUGAAGAAAAAAAAGCAAGGGAGAUGGAGCCACCACUAGUAGAUCGAAGAGAAUUAAAUUUUUUUUAUUAGGAUGGAAGAAGGAGCCAAGAAGAGGAUACCACUACUAUCAAACUACAAAUGGGCAUUAGUCAAGGCUGAUGAGAGGAAAUAAAUGAAAGGAAAGUCAUCUUCAAGUGGUCCUGUCCCUGACCUCGGGCAUCUACUAGAAAAAAACGCUAAAAAUAUAGCAGCAAUGCCUUGGAUCAACAAGCAGAAAUAUUGAAAUUCAUGGAAGAAAUAGGUAUGGGACUUGAUGAAUGUCUAGGGCAAGUUGAGUGUGAUAGCCCUAGUAAUUAAAAGACCAAAUCAGAGAAUCACCAAAGUGAUUACGAAGCAGCUCAAAGCUAACUCCAAAUUGCAAUGAGUUAAGACCCAAAAACACCGCAAAUUUUGCUAAGUUUUAAAACUCCCUUCUAUUGAUAAUCACUUGUGAAUUCAAUAAAAAUAAAUUUUAUAUAAGAACUUAAAUUUUGGCUAGUAUAAAAGUGGUAGAGCUUUUGACAUUGAACAACCUUCAUAAUUUGCACUUUCUCGAAUUAGAAGUGGAAAGUCUUCAAAAACUAAGUUGAAAAUCAGUCAAAUUUCAAAUCAAAUUCAAAAACAGUUUUGACCGACAUCCCACCAAAGUUCCCACAAUCCUAUCUCCAAAUCCGUCGAGCUUUUCAUCUAUUGACCUUUGUAAAAAUUAUAGCAUGUACCUCGAACUCCAACUUUUAUUUUUGGAAAUUCAAACGCCUAGUUCAAAAUUGGUGAGAAAACAUGUGUUGAAAUCGAGACCUUCGCACGCUACACAUCCCAAGCUUUAUUGUGCAUUAUUGAGCAUCAUGAUCUAUCAUGUGUGCAUUAGUGAGCAUCAUAAACAUCAUUUGUGCAUAGUAAGCAUCAUGAGCAUUACUUGCGCACAAAUGAGCUUUUUGGCCAUGCAUUGUUUAAGUUCACAUAAAUUGUUGUUUAUAGUUGAAAAACCAAACUUGUGAAGCAACCCCAAUUUUUACUAUACAACUAUGUCUCCUAUUAUUUUAUUUAAAUACUAGAUACAAUUUAGUGAUUUAAAAAUAUUUUUACCUAAUUUUCAAAAAUGUUUCCGUGUGCUAAAACUUCUUUUAAAGUUCAAUUGUGGCUGUUUUGUUUUGUCAAUUGUGCGAAAACCAGAGCAGAUCUUGAGCUUAUUUUUAUGGGAUUGUAUUCUUUGUGAUUUUAUCUUUCCAACGUGUAUUUUUGGAUGAUUUUUGGACAAAUGUAGUUGGGUCAAAUAAGGAGAGAAAAUUUGAAUGUUUUAAUCCUCGUGGGCCGACACGUCAGCUUCAUCUUCCUCCUCCGUUCCUCGUUGUUCUUGCUGGUUGGGCACACAGGUGCCAAAAAUUGCCGGUUGGCCAGCUCCGUCCGCACCAGCAAGGCUCCCAUCACUGGAUUGGUCACCCGAGCAUCGCCCACGUGAUUCCCCCUCCAUCCCACACCUCUCCUCACGCCCCGGUUGGGCAAGGCCCUGACCGCACGACAUGGGCGCCACACGGCCAUCAGACUCCGGCGACGCCCCUCACCACCAAUGUUGUGCAGCGUCACCAUGUCAUCCUUAUUGUCUCGCCCAUCCUUUAAAGCGGCCUCUCCUCCAAGCCUCCUACCUCCCCCAAGCCUCAUUCCCUUCCAACAGAAGCUUUUGCCCAAACCGAGCUCCGCAACCCCUCUCUAGUCGCCGGUGAAAUACUCCCAACUCCAGCCACCUCCCUCCAAUAGCCCGCGCCCUAAGCUUCUCCACUCCCUUGACUCCGCCCUCAACCCCUCCUCGUCGCUCGCCGUCCACGGAGCAGCAAGGAAUCGCACUUUUCUCUAGCAGCAGAAACUUCCAUCCGUCGCCGCCUACCUCGCCAUGGAGAACCAUCUUCUGGCCAUCCUCGUCCUCAACCGAGUGCUCAAAUCGAACCUCAUUGAGUCCCUGGUGCUCGUGCUCGCGUGUUCUUCCCAUGUUCAUCAACUUUCCACGCUCGUUCCCACACAUGUCGCCGGGCGCGCCGCCGUUCCUGGUGCCCUGCAGGGCCGCCCCUUUCCCCCAGCGCCGGACCUGCUACUAGCAAGGCCCUUGGCCUAGGGGUGCCACCUCACCCUUCCCCCUGCUGCUAUGCCGCUUCCCCCUACCAUCACUAGCUCCAGUCCAUGCACCGGCUGAGCCUGCCUGUCUGUCCCGUGCCUGUGUGUCUGGAGGUUGAAGAAGGACCCGAUUGCUUUGUGAAAUAGAAGUCCAGGGGGUUAUGGGGAAAACAUCAGGGUUUAUGUGUGAAGUGGGUUUUUGUCCAGGGGCUCGAGCAAAAGAUGUAGGGGCUUAGUUGUGAAUGCAGGGGCAGAUCUGUGGGAUGAAAUGUUUUUCCAGGGGUCUAGAUGCGAAGCUAGUUUGGAUCUUUUUCUUUAUAAAAGCUGAGAAAUUCAAAAAGGCAUAGAAAAAUGUAGAAAGAUGCUAAAAUGUGAAUCUUGUUUUUUUGGGUUCCUAAUGAGGUCUAGUUUAUUUCAAAAAUGAUUUUUAUGCAUGUUACUAUUUUGUGGUAGGUUCUAUGAUUUAUUUUGUGUGAAAGCCCUUAAAUUCUUUAUAAAUCAUAUAGUGCUCUAAACAUUGUGAAACCACUUUUGUUAGGUUCCAUUUGAUAUGAAUGUUUCAGAUCUACAAGUUGUGUUAAUGUAAUCCAUGGUGUUCCUACUAUUUUAAGUUUAAAUGCUUAUUUGUUGUCCUCAUAAUAUUAUUUGCAUGAUAAUUAGUAGAAAAUUGAUAAAAUGAUAAAACCACUUCUAUUAAACUUUGUUUUCCACAUAGGAUCCAAGUAAAACAUUAUGUUGAUACUUUUAUGGUUGAUUUACAAGCCUUUUUAAAUUUAAUGUGCUUAAUGGUAGUUUAACUUGUUUAAUUCAUAUCUCCCUAUUAAGAAUUGAUUUUGAGGUGAAUCCAACUCUCAUAGUUUUGCUUGUUAUCUUCUGUUAGUGCCAUUUAGUUCAAACUUAUCUCUCAGCAAAUGAUUUUAAUCUCACCUUUUCGUGCUUGCUUAGCUUAUCAUGCAAAAUAGUGUCUCUCAUCCUCCGUGUAUGAUUUUGUGUUGUUAGUAGCAAGAUUGCUCUGUUAACAAUUGUAUAAAAAGGAAAACUAUGAAAUCACUUUUGUUAGUUUGCAUGCAUGAUUGAAAUCCUUAGUCAAAUAGUCAUACCUUCCAGUGACAUGAGGCUAGUACCGUUGUUUCCCUAGAACUUGUUCCCUUACGUUACAAAUAUGCGUGGUUAUGGAGAUGUGGUUGAUAUUUCCUACAGGACUCGUAGGCUUAUAUAUAACUUAGUACGUGUUUAGCUAAUUGUGAAACCAAAUUUUGAUAGUGUUUUUAUACAUGUCCUGUAAAUUAAAAAUAAUGACAACCAUGUGAUCUCAGGGUUUUCUUGGUAAUCAGUUUGUGUUUAUUUUCAAGAUAUAGAUCAUGCUAUUGUUUGGUUCCUGACUUCUUGCACUAGAUAUCCUUGCAAGCUACAUGCAUUUCAUGAGAAUUUGCACUCAUAGCAUCAUCCCUAAUGCAUGCACACAUUUUUAUUCUUUUAGAGAGCAAUUUGCCAGAGAACAUGACCUUUGAACCCUUGAGCCGAGGCCGGCAUAAAAAUCGAGUUUGAACCCGAAAAGAACCAAGGAAAGCCGCUAAGCAUAAUUGUCUCCCACUAUUUAAAAUGGUUUUGUUCCUAUACAUCACUAUGGGUUGCAUGCGGUUAUCUCAUUGCGUUAUUAGAACUUAUGUGUUUGUUAGUAUGGAUUCCCUUACUUUGUUAUCAUACACCUCGUCGCUCGAGUAGUGUGAGUUAGAAUAACUUAAUCUUGCAAAUUGCUUAGUCCCUCUUAGUCAUAAAAUGAUCACUUAGUAAAGGAAAUGGUCAUAGGUUAGUCAACACCGUUUCUAAUAAGGGUCUUAAUGUCGUUAAAACAAAUUAACAUGAUGGGUAAUGUUGGAUACGAGUUUGAGUAGUGUAUAGGAGUUGCAACCACUAACGUUACCAAUUAACACAUAGGGCACGACACAUAUUAAGCUUCUUACGUCGUGAUACAAAACUACUAAAAGUUAAUGAUGCAACUUAUCAUCCACUCCUAACCAUCAAGUGCUUCAAAAACCACCCCUAAGUACCUUAGGACAACCCCCACAUAAAUAUAAGACAAGAUAGAUUAUGAGCAUCUUAAAUAAACACAUAAGUGGAUGCAAAAUAACUAGGACAUGAUUAAGUUGGAAUAGAACUUGUAUUCAUUAUUAUUUCAUAAAACCUCAUUAAGAGGGUUGAAACACUCAAGUAAUAAGAAGGGUCUAUUGAAGGUAGAAAACUAAGGAACAUUGUUGUAAGCCUUGAAAGGUUCUAAGUGUCGUUCGGUAAAAGAGAAACUCAAACUUGACUAAAACGUAUUAAAAUGUCUGAAACUUUGGAAAUCCAUAGAAAGCAUAGAGAAUGGAUAAAUAUGCAAGAUAAAUCAUUCUGACUAGGAAAAAUCUUUGCUUAUGUAAAAUGUGCGUUUAACAUUGCUUAAAUAAAUACAUGUGGUUUAAUGUACUUACUAUGUGAUGAAUAGUUUUCAUGCUCCUAAAUCCCAGUAGCCUAAGUUAGUGUUGGAAACCCCUCUGUAAAUUUUGUAGAGCUAAGCUGACAAUAGAAGACAAGCCCCGGAGCAUAACCCUGUUUGCUAAAAUUAUGCACUACUUAUGUUACCUAUGUUUGUGCAUUUAAGUUCAUAGGAGUUGCUUGAAACCUUACUUGCAUGAUCCUAAGUACCUAUGUUUGAAUACUAACAUGAUAGGUUGUGUAGUUGCAAUGCUAAAUACGGACUCGGUAAAAGUUGAGUGAUUUCCUGUCCCUCGUGAGUUAUAGGAGUUGUCUGUUUACUUAUGUUGAAACCAUAAGGAUGAUGGGCGGGGCCGGGCAAUUGGUUCUGAAUUGGUGGAUUUGCCCCAUCUGUCUAGUGAAAAAUGUGCUAAGGUCGAACCGUGAUGGUAUUCGUGGUCAAGUGUAUGAAAGUACUAAGCUCAUACAUAGUAUGGGAUGGGGAAGCCUAGUACCUGAAUGGUCCGGGAUGUGGGUAUACCUACCCACUCUCUCUGGAACUUGGUCCUGAUUGGUCCUGAUUGGUCAUGGGUUUAGGUUCACUUUGCAAGAUUAAAAACUUGAUUCGAAUAGUCUAUCUCUCACAAUUUGAGACUACUUGAUCACUGUGCUACACUGAGUAAACAGUGGAACAAGUAUGGUGAUUAAUAUUGAUGCUUGAUUAAAUUGCUUGAUCACCAUGCUUGCUUAGAAUAGGUGCUUACAUAGAAUGGAUAAUCAACUAGAACCUGAUGCUAAAACUUGAAAGUAAGGAUCUACUUUAGAAGCUUUUAGCAAAACAAACCAUUCAGCCAAAAAGCCUUGCAUGUCUAGGAGUCGAUGGAGUAGUUACUACCUGAUAGGUAAGUAUUGUUGAGUAUUAGUAUACUCAGCCUUGCUUGUGGCUUGUUCAGGUUUGUUGUUAAGUUGGCUGCUAGUGUGACUUGGCCAUCCCAUCUCCCUCUGGGUUGGACUAUCAAGUGGGAUCCAUCCUCGGUCGGUGAGGAACGUGGUGCUUGAUAUCAUGGAAGGCUUCACCAUGGUAUUGCUGUAUCGAUGCUAGACUACCAUUUUUCUUUUCUGCUGCUUUUGAACUCUGAAACUCUACCUUAUGCCUCUGAAUAACUGGUUUGUAGUAACUCAAUGUGGGACCUGUAAUGAAGUAUCUGGAUUGUUGUAAUCUCUGGACUCGUCUUCGUGCGAGUAUGCUUUGUUUCGAUUCGAGACAAGUGGUUUUAUUGGGUGAAACCCGUUGGACUACCAUUUUAACUUGAUUAAAGUGUCCGUUCGCAUAUGAGGCGACGUUGAGUACACUUUAGCCGGGUUAAUUUGCUAAGGCCUAAGUUGGUACGGACGCUAUCAACAGAGAUGUAUGAAUUCCAUGGAUGGUACAUGAAGUUGUCCGCCGAUGAGAGGGAGAUGUUUGGCCUUAAGGUUAAACCGAUAGAUUUUUACUUUGAAGGCAAGAAUAUCCUGUGGCUACAAUUCAAGGAUAUAUACGAAGUGUACCAUCAUGAUGUCCUGGACGUCUCUCUGAUCGGUGCCUGGGUUCUAUAAGUAUCCGUUUAUCUACAUGUAAAUUUUGGCUCAUAUCAUUAUUUUUUGUGUGUGCAUCGUCGUACUAACUUUGUCUUCCAUUUUAUGUAAGAUGCUAAUACAGACGUGUUGACGAGAAGCGUACCUCCAUGUUGGCUUCAUGGAUCCAUCCCUAGUUAACCAAAAAUAGAUACAGGAUGCGCCGGACAAAACGUUGGUGGAAGUAUACAAUUUCCUAGACAAACAAAAUUACAAGGAUUUCAUACUACCAUACAACUUCAAGUAAGUGUGUGUAUACCGUCUAUUUUCAUUUUCUUUUUUCUUACCUGAUUAAUGUUAGUUAGCUCUAAUAUAUAUGAACAUUUACGUACAUAGCUACCACUAGAUCCUCAUUAUAAUUGGUUUAAAAGAAGCCACGUCACUAUCUUCGAUUCGUUGAGGAAAGAUCCGGUGGAGUACCAAGACAUGCAAGACAUGCUAGGCUUGUAAUAAUUUUGGACCUUUAUCGCAAAAGUUUGUUUUCUAAAUUUUCACCUAACACUAUAUCAUUUAUUAUUUUAAUUCGCAGCACAUGGACAUAAUUCAUCAGGACACACAAAGGUUCAUUCAAAGAAAAACUUACAUGGACCACAUGCUUCCUGGUAUGUAUGAAGUCUACGUAUUUUGUACAUUCUAUAGCACGAAUAUUUCAUAACUUCUUUUUCUCCCCACUAAAGUGCUUAAGACAGGAACUCGGGAAUAAUCUAUGUGGCUACUACAUCUGUGAGCAUAUACACAAUUUUUUGGGACCCAAGGGACUAAAGAUGACACCGCACGAAUAUAAAGUACGUAAAAUAAAACUAUUAAUAGUUAAUUAUUUUCUACCUCCUUAUAUUUAAUUGUUCGUGUAAAAUUCAUAUGUCUCCAAAUUAUAGAUGUAUAAUAUUCAACAGGGACUCUUGAGGAAGGAAAGAGUAGCGGCAACAUGUGAAGGUCUCAUUGGAUUCCUAGUGGACGAGGUGGUAAAUCCACAAGGAGAAUUUUAUUACGAUGGAUGAAAAUUAGAUGCUCUGAGCAACACCUCGAUGGGAAGAUCGUAGAUAGUUUGAUUUGUAGAAUACGCUAAGAUUUGUAUCGUAUGCUAAGAAUCGUAUAUAUACUAAGAAUUGUAUGUAUAGUAGUUAUAUAAAUACUAGUUUGAUUCAUUUAAAUACUAGUUUGAAUUCAGUAUAAAAAAGUCUCAAGUACUAAAGGUUAACUAAAGGGUACGUACGUGAUGCAUGAAAUUACAGGUGUCAUGGGGGGAGCGCCUGAAAUUUCAAGCAGGACUUUAGUCCCGGUUGGUUUUAAAACCAACCGGGAGUAAAGGGGCCUGUCCCGCGCCUGGCGUGGCAGGCCCUUUAGUCCCGGUUGAUUUUACCAAUCGAGAUUAAAGGGGGUCGUUAGUCCUGGUUCAGUGACCUGGGACUAAAGACCCUCCCUUCAUCUCAAUUGUUUUAUUCAGGAUGAAUUUUCGGAAGAUUUACUCCCUGCCAACCAGGACUGCGAGUUUUCCACCUUCGUAGCCACUGCUGGGAAGCCGCCAUCGGUCAUGGUAGCUGUCGUCCGGAGGGGUCUGGUCGCUAUCGAUGAUCUCCUACUCCGAGAGGGACACCAGCUCGCCAGUUGUGAUAUGGUGCAGGCUGUCGAUCGUGGCGAGGAACUCCUCGCUGUUUUCAAGAUUUCUCGUUCAUGAUCAAGGAAUGAUUAUAGCGCAAAAUUGGUUGUUUUUUGGUAGAGCACAUGCCAUGGAUAAUAGAGGAAUGCCUUGUGUGAAGCGUGAGGGGUAAACUGAGAUAUCAGGAGAGGGGAGGAGAGGAGAAAUGUGAACUUUUUUAAUGAAUUAUUAUAUCUCUACCUGGCUAUCAUCCGAACUUAGUCUGUCCAAACUAUAAAUAAAAUUGAUAAGUUCUAUUUAUAUAUUGUUUUCGAUCGUCGAUUGGACUUAAGAAAAGACAACUUUUUUGAGCUCAUACGAUACCCACGGUCAUCAAGGGACAUGAGCAUUUUAUUUUUUAUUUUACUUUAUUGCACCUUCUAAAAUAACUACUUUUUAUAAAAUAUAUGAUUUUUGAUACAUUUAGCUCCUAAUAAGGCCCUGUUUGGCAUAGCUCCACUCCACAACUCCAGCGACUCCAGCAAAAAAAAUAGUCAAACACCCCAACUCCAAAACUCCAUGGAGCUGCCAACUCCAUGGAGCUGUAGUACAAAUGGGGGUGGAGUUUUGGAGCACCUCUUUUACUGCUCCAAAACCCCCUCUUUUGAACCUCCUCGUGGAGUUGGUGGGUAAUUACCCACCAUUGCCACUGAUUACACAAAAAUAACGUUUCAUUAUUUCUUCAUCUCCCUCGCGCCUCUGUUAUUUCUCCCUCGCGUGACUAGUCCCGCCCGCGCCGCGCAUACCUGCGCUGGCGCAACCCUAGCCGCGCCGCCGCCGUAGCCCCUGCCGGCGGCCGUCCACCCCCGCCGGCAGCCGGCCGAGCCCCGCCGCCAGCCGUCCUAGGCCCGCAGCCGGUUUCCUACCCCCGCCCGGCCGCCUAGCUUCGCCUCCCGCCGCGUCUGGACGAGCCCGCCCCCGAAGCCCACCGCCGGCCGAGCGCCCCGUCGCCGAAGGCCCGAGGCCGGCCGCCGAAGCCCGCCGCCAGCCGCCGUGCCCCGCCGCCACCCGUGUCGCCCCGCCGCCGAAGCCCGCCACCGGCCGCAGCGCCCCACCGCCGACCGCAGCGCCCCACCGGCGGCCGGAGCGCCCCACCGCUGAAGGCCUCCGCCGGUUGCAACACCCCACUGCCGGCCGCUGAAGCCCGCCCGCCACCGUCAAAGGUAUGAAAUCCCCAGCUUUGAGCAAUUUUUAUUUGAUUCAUUCGAAUGAUAUUUCCCCAUUGAAGUAGUAUUUGGAUGUGUUUGGAAUCUUGAUUAAUACAGUAGAUUAGAUAGUUAGAUUAUUAGAUAUAUGUGUUUUUCAGAUGCAGUUCGGUGUGCAGUCAGCAACUGGAGAGGUCAGGGAAGGUGAUUUUGUUAGUUGAGCUGAGUCAUACAAAAGCUGUUAUGACUUGCUGAUACAUCUAGACAUAUAUGGUCGGAAAGGUGUACAUCGGGGUAUAGGUCGAGUAGGUUCAUGUAGAAAUAUCCUUUUUGGAAUGAGAUUAUAACCAUGCUGUCUAGUUUAAGAUGCAUGGGAACGGUACAUGUAGCAAAGUCGUCAGUCUAGUUCUAAGAAUCUUGGAAUGGAAUGAUGGAUACUGCACCUGUAGGUUUGUUUUUGUCAUUCUCCGUUAAUCUGUUGGGUCAUCUGUGAUCGUAUCGAAGUUGUACUGCCAUCAUCUAUUGCGAUUAGAGUAAACAAAGUUGAGCUUCUGCCAAAGCUGUUCUUCAAGUAUGGAGACUGUAGAGUCUCUGCUGGUAGACGGAAUCCAACCAAAGGCCAGGAUAGUUAUAGCCUCAUAACAGUGCUCCUGCGGCUUAACAACACCCUCUUAUGAUCUCUUUGUUAUGACUUCUACUCUUUCUAUUGUUGUCACAACAAAUAUUUUACUAGAUGUUAAUAGCAAUUAACAUAGAAACCUGAAUUUUGCAUCACUGUUCUGACUAAUAAGAACUUGGAGGAAAUUCGCAACAAAAUUUAUGAUAUGUUUCUAAUCAUUGUCAAUUAUUACACAGAGCACAUAUCAAAAACACAUCAGGAGGAGAUCCCCCGCCGUCCCUGGCAUCUCGAGGAGUUCCGCCGGCCACAAGGUAUGGCAAAAACUUUUUUUUCAUUAACUGAAAUGCAUCAGGAGGAGUACACCUUUGAUUGUGCCUUUGAGGUUGUUGUGUGUGUAUGAAAUUGAUAUACUCUAGUGCUGUGUGUGUAUAAAAUUGAUAUACUCGAGGCCUUCUAAUAUGAAAUUUGUGAGUUCGAUAGAUGCCAGAAAUUGAUUGGAAUUCGGAGAACACUCGAGUGUUGUGUGUGUUGUUUGCCGAACAAGUUGAAAAAGGAAAUCGGCCAAACACACACUUGAAUGCACUUGGUUAUGCUGAGGUUGAGAAGGGGUUCAAGGAAAGGACUGGAAUUGUGGCUACCAAGUGUCAGAUCAAGAACAAAUGGGACAAGUUGAAGGAAGAUUUCAAAGCAUGGAAGAAACUAAUGCUAAGGUAAACAGGGACUGGUUGGGAUCCUAUAAAGAAGACUAUUGCUAUGGAUGAUGAAUGGUGGAAAAAAGCUAGAGCUGUAAGUUGGUUAAAAAAUUUUGCUAUAUUUUUUUGCAUAUGUCAAACCUGUUGAUAAUACUUAUAAUAAUAUUAUGUGCUUAUUUCAUGACAUUCCGGGUUGUAGCAAGUUCAAAAAGAAAGGCCUUGAGAAUGAAGAUGAAUUAGCCAAGUGUUUUGCUGACAUUACUACUAUUGGUAUUGAUCAUUGGUCUCCUCAUGUUGUGAAUGUUGAAGCAACCGAAAAUGUUGAUGUGACACAAGAUGAGGCAACCAAUUUUGAGCCAGAAGGUGAUGAUUUCAUUCCUGAAACACAAGAGGAGGAUAUUGGUAUUUCUCCUUCACCUGCGAGUGGCAAGAGACUGGCAAGGCCUGUUGACAGGAGUGGUAAAAAAGCGAAGUCUGGAAAUGCAUUCCUAAUUCAAGAAGCAAUAAAAAGUAUGGCAAGUUCAGCCAAUGAAUAUGUUUCGAAGAGACAUGGAAAAUAUUCUAUUGAGGAAGUGAUGGAGGUUGUGAUUGCUUGUGGGGCCGGCUAUGAUAGCAAUGAACAUUACAUGGCAUCUGAACUGUUUGUGAAGAAGGAGCAAAGGGAGAUGUUCAUGACCUUGCCUACUAAUGAGAUUAGGUUCAAUUGGCUUAGGAGGAAGUACAAUGAUAAAUAUGAAAAAUAGAAAUUGGCUUAGUGAGAGUGAUGUCAUUUGUGUAUGCUACUAUUUUAUUUUUGUCGCAUGUGUGGUACAUUUUAUUUUAUUGCAUUUUAUUUAUGUAUGACAGUUGUAUCUUACAUUUCAUUUAUGUCAAUAUUCACAGAUGUCUUCAAGUGAGUCUGAUGAAUCUAGUGAUUCUGAUGGUGAAUAUUUUUUUAAAAUGGUUGAGAGCUGUGGUAAGCUAGCACAAAGUUAUCAUGACUUAUAUAUGGAUAAGGCACCUCCGAGAUUUAUGUUUUCAUAACAGAGUGGAAUGGGAUGGCUGAUGGAGACGGUAAACACUCCAGGGGAGUGCCAUCGAAUGCUUCGGAUGAAUGAGGUUAUUUUUCAGGAUCUUCAUGAUGUGUUGGUUGAGAGGUACGGAUUAAAACCAUCGAAGCACAUGAAUACUCUUGAAAUGUUGGCCAUUUUCCUAUUCACAUGUGGUGGGUGUGAGUCAAAUAGAAGAGGACAGAAUAAGUUCAAACACUCAGGUGAAACCAUUAGUAGAAAAUUUCAUGAAGUUCUAAAUUGUGUGGUUGCCAUGGCACAAGAUUUCUUUAGACCAACAGAUCCUAAUUUUCGCAAUGUGCACAAGAGGAUUAGGAAUGACAAGAGAGCAUACCCACACUUUAAGGAUUGCAUUGGUGCACUUGAUGGAACCCAUAUUCGUGUGUAUUUAUCAUCGGAAGAACAAGUGAGAUAUAUUGGUAAGACUGGAAUUGCAACUCAAAAUGUGCUUGCCGUUUGUGAUUUUGAUAUGCGCUUCACCUAUGUGGCUACGGGUCAACCGGGUUCUUUGCAUGACACUAGUGUAUUGUACCAUGCAUUGGAAGCAGAUGUAAAUGUCUUCCCACAUCCUCCUCAAGGUAAAUAUUUUUCCUUAUGUUCCUUUUCAUAUUUGUAUGCACAAACUUAUUUUAUUUUACGUAUGUGUAGGCAAGUAUUAUGUUGUAGAUGCGGGCUAUCCUAAUCGUCCGGGGUAUCUGGCUCCAUACAAGGGUGAAAGGUACCACUUACCCGAGUGGCAUCGAGGUAUGGAACCAAAUACUCCAAAAGAGAAGUUCAACCGUAUACACUCAUCUGUUCGUAAUGUUAUUGAGCGGUCGUUUGGAGUAUUAAAAAUGAAAUGGCAAAUCCUUUACAAGAUGCCCGGUUAUUCAAUGGUCACACAAAAGAACAUUGUUGCUGCUACUAUGGUUCUACACAAUUUCAUACGUGAACAUGCUAGCAUUGAUGUGGACUUUGCUAAUUUUGAUAGAGAUCCUACCUACAUGCCUACUAUUCCAGAAAGAUACAACAAGUAUGUUGUGUCUCAACAUGCCUCCGAUGGAUCAACUUCGGAAUCAAGCUUUGUGACUAUGGACACCUUUCGUGAUAGUAUGACUACAUCAAUUGCCCUAACAUGGAAUUAGUGCAAUGAUUAUUGUAACGACCUUAUUUUGGAACUAUGAAUUUAUUUUGAAAUUUUAAAUUUUUGGAACAUGUAAUUUAUUAUUAUUUUGAACUUCAAUGCAUGUAGUUUCAUUUUAUAUUUGUGAUAAGUAGUUCAAGUCGAACCAGGGGCAAGAAAGGCAAUCUACCCUCAAACUCCUCUUUUCUGGAGCUAGGGACACCCUCCCAGCCAAACACCCUCACCAGACAGCUCCAACUCCACCCAGAGCUGGCUCCACCUGGAGUUCUGGAGUGGAGUAGCUCCACCCAGAGUUGGAGUCAUGCCUAACAGAGCCUAAAUACAUGAAGGGGGAUACGCUCUUGGAUCCCUAGUUUCUAACUACGAUGUGUCUUCCAAAAAGGCGUGACCUCUAAUGGGGACAAUACAAGGACGUGUAGGUGCAGGCGCAUAUGGUAUCUACUCCUAAGUCAGAUCAGGACAUCUGCACAAGGAAAAACUCGAUGUCCUUGUGGUGCAGUGUUGCUUCACUACUGUCAAGUCUUGCAUUGCUGCACAUGUUUAGUGUUGUGCCUUUAUCAUCGUCACACUCUCUGUUUCUAAAUUAGAGUUAAGUUUAGCUUUACAUUAAGUGAAACUCUCUUAGUUUGGCUAAGUUACUAUAAAAUUACUAACAUCUAUGACAUCCAAUUAAUUUUGUUAAAUAAAUUAAUAUGAUAGUACAUUUAUUUGUGCAAAAUAUGCUAAAUAUUAAUGUUCAAAGUGUUAAUAUAUUUUCCAUAAACUUUCCAACUAUUAGUUCUAUAUUAAAUUCACUAUGUAAUAUGUUUUGACAGUAUAUAUUUAUUUUAGUAUUAUAGGUGCUAAAAUAUUUUCUAUAACUUGAUUAAAGUCAAACUUUUGAUAAAUGUAAGUGAACCAUAAUUUAGAACAGAGUAAUUAUAUAGAAUUUGGAACGAGGAAGUCCUAACAGGCGGAUAAAACUUUGAGAUCUGAAAGAGAGGCUGAGACACGCGCCAUUCAAGUUAAGCAUUUGCGGUGCACACGAAAGAAAUGAGGAAGCAGCAUAACAAAAAAUCCGAAACGAAUGGAAUAUGCCUACUUGGUCCUACUUCAGUUGAGUCCUUUGUGAUUGACAAAUAGUUCCCAAACCUGCUUAUUUUAUUUGCUCCCGUAUAUUUCAUGAAGAACCUUUGCCAAUGUACCAAGUAUAGGCAAGUAUGCUAUUACUCUCUCAACAUGGUUUUUCCCUUGCUCAGUACACACAAUUCAUCAACACCAGUACAGCCGUACAGCACCAUUAUCUCAUAUCAAGUGCAGAAGAAGAAAAACACUGUUUCAUCUCUUGUCAAAAGAAGGAUCAAAUAAGGAACGACCGUGAAUGAACUUGGCUUAGAUGGUUCAAGUCCUAGGCUCGUGUUUUUCUAUAUUUAUUUUAAGAAUUAAUGGCAUUAUUUUUAUAGGGUAGCUAGUCUCCAUCAAUAUCUACCAACCUAGCUAGUCUCCUACAAACGUCCCAUUUACGUUUAUAGGGUAGGAAGCACUAGUAGAGAAACGACUUUCCAUCCACCCCCUUUUGUCCCGGUUUAAAGUUGGCCCGGGAUAAAAGGUUCACCAACCGGGACUAAAACUCAGUCACUGGUGGGAGGCUCACCAACCGGAACCUUUUAUCCCGGUUGCAAAGGCUAAUGGGAAAAAAAGACUCUGAGAGGCCUUUUAUCCCGGUUUGAAACACCAACCGGGAUAAAAGACCCCCCCUUUUAUCCCGGUUGGUAACACCAACCGAGAUAAAAGGGUCAAGAGCCUUUUAUCCCGGUUGGAAAUUCCAACCGGGAUAAAAGGGUCCCCCACGAGUUAAUACAAAAGGAUAGUAUCCCCUACAUAGUCAGAUGUGGUGUGUAGGUGGGAUGGUAAGGAAGCUACGCACGAGGCUGGAGGUUGUGGGUUCGAAUCCCACGAACCGCGCACGCGCAUAUUUCGCGUGAAAAAUCGCGUGGGGGGCCUGCCUGGGAGCUCGGGAUUUUUUUUUUUUUUUUUUGCGGCGUCGGCGCUCUCAACCCUUUUAUCCCGGUUGGUGUUACCAACCGGGAUAAAAGGGGGUCUUUUGUCCCGGUUGAGUGACCCGGGAUAAAAGACCCCCCCCUUUUGUCCCGGAUGGUUUAUCCCGGAUGCGUUUUCGAGAUAAAAGCACCCUACCAACCGGGAUUAAAGCUCACUUCUCUACCAGUGAAGGCUUACCUUAGUAUGUGUUUCAGUUGAUACGUGGCAAGGCACCUGGCAAUCUCUCCUGACUCUCCAUGCAGCCACACUCACAUGGUUGAGAUAAUAGCGCGAUGAAGGAUACACUUUAGGUCACUUGGCUGACAUGACCCUUGACUAACAAGAUGCCAAUGGAGAGCUCCUUAUCCUCGUUGCUGCAACUUAUUUUACAUGUACUAUUAUUACUUCACCGUGUGGUACUAUAAAGAAUAUUUCUAAAACAAUAAUCAAACAUAUUUCAAGCUUAAAAACGCUUUUAUUGAAAAAUAUAGAUUCUCAAAUUACUUAUGGACUAAAUAAUCAAUCGUAAAGUCUUAUCUGCCAUGGUUCUUAUUUGGAUCAGUCUUAAGAUAUCAAUUUCGAUCUAUAUGGGGAUAGAUAGGUUAACUCCAACAAUCGGAACCGUGAGAGAGAUAACAUCUCUAUCUCAUAUGGUCAUUUUUUUGAACUGUAGGAGAUACUCUUCACGGGUUUUAUUUAGAACCGUGGAGGAGAAGAUGAUACGAUUCGUUGCUCCAAAAACCGCGAGAUUCAUCUUAAAGGAAUCUUAAUUCCAGCUACUAUUUGAGAUAAAGAGCUUAUACGCUAAAAUCAAAGUAUUUUUCCUCGUGGUAGAGAGAGAUCUUUUAGCUAAAACCAGGAUGGAACAAUUUAGCACAUUUGGUAGCUAAAUUAGCUUCGAGAAUUGUAAGAGAUAGAUCAAGAUGUGCGCCAUUGAGGUUAAGACCUUGCUAUGCACACGGAGAAAUUAAAAGAGGAAGAAGCAUGGCAGAUGAUAAACUGAAAUGAAGGAAAUAUACCUCGAACUAUGUACCGACUCGGUGCUACUUCAGCUGAGUACUUGGUAAUUGACAAAUAGUUUCCCAUGCUCCCCUAAUUUCAUUUAUUUGCUCCCGUAUUUUUCAUGAAGAACCUAGCCCAAGUACCAAAGUAUAGGCAAGUAUGCUAUGGUUUUUCCCUUGCUCAGUACACACCUAGUCAUAUCAGCAUCAGUACUAUAGCUGCGCAUCACCAUGCAUAAUGCAUUAUAGCAGAUCAAGUGCAGAAGAGGAAAACCACUGUUACAUCUGCUGACGAUAGAUCUACAACCAUCGCCGUACCGUGGCACCGGUAUAUAAAUGCGCCCACUCUACUAGCUAGCAGAUCCUUUGGGACAUGAGCAUUUUAUUUUUUAUUUUACUUUAUUGCGCUCCUAAAAUAACAAGUUUUUGUAAAAUAUAUGAUUUUUAAUGCAUUUAACUCCUAACAAAUACAUGAAGGGGGAUACGCUCUUGGAUCCCUAGUUUCUAAAUACAAUGUGUCUUCCAAAAAAGCGUGACCUCUAAUGGGGACAAUACAAGGACGUGUAGGUGCAGGCACAUAUGGUAUCUACUCCUAAGUCAGAUCAUGACAUCUGCACGAGGAAAAACUCGAUGUCCUUGUGGUGCAGUGUUGCUUCACUACUGUCAAGUCUUGCAUUGCUGCACAUGUUUAGUGUUGUGCCUUUAUCAUCAUCACACUCUCUGUUUCUAAAUUAGAGUUAAGUUUAGCUUUAUAUUAAGUGAAACUCUCUUAGUUUGGCUAAGUUACUAUAAAAAAUACUAACAUCUAUAGCAUCCAAUUAAUUUUGAUAAAUCCAUUGAAAUAUGAUAGUACAUUUAUUUGUACCAAAUACGCUAAAUGAAAGUGAACCAUAAUUUAGAACGGAGUAAUUAUAAAGAAUUUGGAAUGAGGAAGUCCUAAUAGGCGGAUAAAACAUUGAGACCUUAAAGAGAGACCGAGACGUGCAUCAUUCAAGUUAAGCAUUUGUGGUGCACACGAAAGAAAUGAGGAAGAAGCAUAACAGAAAAUCCGAAACGAAUGGAAUAUGCCUUGAACUGUGUACUAACUUGGUCCUAUUUUAGUUGAGUCCUUUGGGAUUGACAAAUAGUUCCCAAAGCUGCAUAUUUCAUUUGCUCCCGUAUGUUUCAUGAUGAACCUUUGAGGAAGUACCAAGUAUAGGCAAGCAUGCUAUUACUCUCUCAACAUGGUUUUUCCCUUGCUCAGUACACACAAUUCAUCAGCAUCAGUACAGCCAUACAGCACCAUUAUCUCAUGUCAAGUGCAGAAGAAGAAAAUCACUGUUUCAUCUCUUGUCAAAAGAAGGAUCAAAUAAGGAACGACCAUGAAUGAACUUGGCUUAGAUCGUUCGGUUCUAUUCCUUGCGAUGGAACCAAAUCACCUCGGUUCAAAUCCUAGGAUCGUGUUUUUCUAUAUUUAUUCUAAGAAUUAAGGGCAUUAUUUUUAGAGGGUAGCUAGUCUCGAUCAAUAUCUACCAGAUAUGUUUAUAGGUAGGAUGGCUUACCUUAGUAUAUGUUUCAGUUGAUACAUGGUGAGGCACUUGGCAAUCUCUCCUGACUCUCCAUGCAUCCACACUCACAUGGUUAAGAUAAUAGCGCGAUGGAGGAUAAACUUUAGAUCACUUGGCUGACAUCACCAUGAAUUAAGGAUUAUAACAUCAUCCAACCCUGUACCAACAAGAAGCCAAUGGAGAGCUCCUUAUCCUAGUUGCUGCAACUUAUUUUACUUGUACUCCUAUUAUUACUUCAUCGCGUAGUGCUAUAUAGAAUAUUUCCAAAACAAUAAUCAAAAUAUUUCUAGCUUAAAAAUGCUUUUAUUGAAUAAUAUAGAUUCUCAAAUUAUUGAUGGACUAAAUAAUCAAUUGUAAUGUAUUAUCUGCCACGGUUCUUAUUGGGAUCAGUCUUAAGAUAUCAAGUUUUAUCUGCCACGGUUCUUAAUUCCAGCUACUAUUUGAGAUAAAGAGCUUAUAGGCUAAAAUCAAAGUAUUUUUCCUCGUGGUAGAGAGAGAUCUUUUAGCUCAAUUGAGGUUAAGCAAUUGCUAUGCACAUGGAGAAAUUAAAGGAGGAACAAGCAUGGCAAAUGAUAAACUGAAACGAAAGAAAUAUACCUCGAACUAUGUACUGACUUGAUCCUACUUCAGCUGAGUACUUGGUAAUUGACAAAUAGUUUCCCAUGCUCCCCUAAUUUCAUUUAUUUGCUCCCCUAUUUUUCGUGAAGAACCUUUGCCCAAGUACCAAAGUAUAGGCAAGUAUGCUAUGGUUUUUCCCUUGCUCAGUACACACCUAGUCAUAUCAGCAUCAGUACUAUAGCCGUGCAACACCAUGCAUAAUGCAUUAUAGCAGAUCAAGUGUAGAAGAGGAAAACCACUGUUACAUUUGCUGACGAUAGAUCUACAGCCAUCUCCGUACCGUGGCACCGGUAUAUAAACGCGCCCACACUACUAGCUAGCUCACAAGGCAGCAAGGCCAGUGAUACUAGUUAUCACAUACACCACAUGACCAUGGCUACCGCCUCAGCUUCGCUAGUUGUCGCCCUACUGUUCGCCAGCCUCCUGGCAGGCACGGUGUUCGGUGAUGAUAUCAUACCCAUCAUCCGCAUACCCUUGUUGGAGCGGUUCCAUACCUGGCAGGCUGAAUACAAUCGCACCUAUGCGACCCCAGAGGAAUUCCAGUACCGCUUCAAGGUCUACUGCGAGAAUGUCAAGUUCAUCGAAACCAUGAACCGGCCCGGGAGCUCAUAUGAGCUCGGCGAGAACCAG